rnacentral:lncRNA from 1 species
GCAAAAAUGAAGCAUCAGGAAUUGCCAGGACUGCGAGAAGCGAAGCUGCAAUUAGCGGAGCGGAGCCAAGUAGAUUCAACCAGACGCUGUCGUUGUCGCCGUCGUCACCGCCGGAGGUGGCACAACCGAGUCUGGACAGUUAGUCGUCCACUCACUUCAUCAAAGAAGAAGAAGAUCACACUCUCUCUCCGCAUCUGUAUCCGACAAAUGGUAAGUUCAUGUUUCUUCCGAUUUCGGUGUAUUAUUGUGCGUGAAUUAGGGCUCUCUUCUUCAAAUUCGUUCCACAUUCGAGUCUAAAAGCAGGAGUUCCUCAAACUAGCAAUUUAUUGCCCUUAAAUCUACAUCUUCUGUGCUGCCCUCCCGAGCAUUGGCGAGAUUUCUGCGUGUUUGACCUCUCAUAGAUGGAGAUGAUAUAUUGUGUUCAAGGUCUCAUGUUGAAAUUUCUUUAGGGAGAGAUAUCUCUGUAACAUCAUAUACAAAUUUCUAUCAGGAAAAAGGGAGAAAUCAUGGAACUUGAAAAUAUUCCGAGAAUUCCAUGCCUUGUCAAAAAUCUGAAAUGUCACUUUUGCGCCUUGAUCGCAAUAUAGUUUGGAUUGUCUGAAGAAUCACCUGUAAUCUUGAUUGGUUAAGUGAUGCUGGAAGGAUAAAUUUAUCUCCAAUUUAUACUAAAAUCUUUUCAUAGCAAGUCAAAUUAAUGAAGUGUACUUAAACUGUCUCUAAAGUUAUCGUUUAAGUACAGGCUGGUCCAAACAUUUGAGCAAAUUGAGGCAUCCUGAGCUGAUUUUUUAAGGUCCCAUGCCCCCAAGGCCUCUCACUUCUUACAUCGGCCAACAAAUUUCAAAUGGAGCAUCCCAAUGGAGCAUCCCUUUUUCAAAGGUGGUGAGGAGGCCCUCUUAUGUUGACUUUGGCUUGGUAUGAUCCCACGCUCAUUGACCCAAACUCGCAUGUCUGAAAAUCAAACAUAUGGAUGCUGUUUAUAUCUUUGCUUAUACUCUAGUGUAUUUCCAAGUUGACUUAAUGCAGUAAACAACAUGACAUGUUAUAUUCCUUGAAUUGUUCAUGGGUAUAUGUUUGAAACCAGGUAUAUGUCUUAACAAUGGAGUAAUUGAAGCAGGGGAAACAAUGAAAGGACGGUUAGUGGGACUUAAACUGGUGGUUGAGGUUUGAAAGAAUAACAUUUGUCCCCUUUUUGUCAAUACACGUGUUGGAAAGCAAUUGCUGAGGCAAGUCCAAAGAAUUAGAAUCCAAUUCCUCUUAUAUGGAGGAACUUGACAAUGUUAUUCAAUGCUGUAAAAGUAGAAUAUAUAUGUAAAUCACACGAGGAGACUAGUUGAUACGGACAAGCAAAUUGCAAAGAAUGUCACUAUCUCCAUAACUAGAGGGAAAGACCUGAAAGAUAAGGGGGUGGCUAGUUAUGGUUCUGAAAUUUCAUUGUAGAUCUAAUGACUGAUAAUUUUGUUUCCAAAUAGGGGAUACUAUUUUAUUUUGUUACAUUAAUCGGAAAUUUGAGAAAAAAAGAUGAGUUUACUCUGUCAAAUUGAUUCAGUAUUUUGAUAAAAUUUGAGUUGCGCUUGAAAUAAUUGAACAGCUUAGAUUAAAAUUUUUCACUUCCAUCCGUGUUCCGGUCAUUGAUGUCUUUGCCUUUUCCCCUGCUCUUGUGGUUUGUGUGGCUUAAAUUCAUCGUUUCAAAUAUAUACGGGACAUGGAAGGCUUUUUCUGGUCAUGUACCCUAUUGCACCUAGGAGCGUAUAUUUUGUCAUUUGACUUUGGGUUGCAGUCUGAGAUUGUCUACUAUCACUAUAAGGUUUAUUGUCAAUUAAAACUCCUAAAAGUAGCAACUACUGCCUUAUAUUCACGCUGUGUGAUUAGAUUCUCUCAUUAGUGUAUGCUUAUGUUUUGGUCUUUCUUCACCAGAAGUUGGUUUUCAACCACAUAAAUGAGGAGACUACUCCUGUUCAAUUCAUCAGGCAACAUAAUCAGGAAAACAAGGUAAUUGCAACUCUCAGGUAUUCAGACAGGUCGUGGACGGUGAAGCUCAGGAGCCGUGGACUUUUUUUUUCGCUGCUUGACACCCAAUUGCUAGAGAAGCUCGUUUGCAUUUAAGAGAUGUUUGUGUGUUUGAGCUCAUUGAUAGGGGGGAUGUGUGUUUAGAGUCUACAUUUCCACUAGUACUGGUAAGGACUUGGUUUACGUUGACAGAAAUGAAUUUUGGAAGUGUCACUUUAGAUAGUCCAAAAUAAAUUCAGUAUUCAUAGUUAUAUCUCUUUGUUUAGUCUUGGUGAAUCAAUGAAGUGUACGUCUUCCAUUCCCAUUGGGUUUGUGAGUUUCACAAUAAUCCAGAUGCACACUCAUUAAUGCUACAUCCCAAGUCUAAAUUAACCAAAAAGAAUGUGCUUCAAUGUCAAAGCGAAAAUUAUAACCUAAACGCUUAGCAUGAGAAUUUAGAGGUGUGACUUGUUGGUUUCUAAGUUGCGCUUUUCUGCACAGUGUUGCAUUCUUUUUCUUGGUCUGUCUCAAAAGUUAUGAAAUUUUCCUGAUAAGAUUUUGUAUAUUGAUGGGUGACAUUACAAUUUAGGAGAUGCCAAGUGUAGCUAAUGUGUUUUGUCUAACGUGAAAAACAUGUAAACGUUAGUAACAUGAUUGGAUGCAUUGAUUUGUAGAUCGUUGUAACUUGACAGAAGAUUUACAGCAGUACCUAUGAAAACUCUCCUUUUUCUUUUGGACCAAACAAUCUAAAUGUCAAGUGAGCCCCCAUGAGCAGUUUUGCAUGGUUCCAUGUUUCUGUGGCCUCCCCUGCUCUUGAAAAAACUAGAAAAUUUGAAUCGAAGUAUCCAUCUCUGAAAUUGGUGAUGCGGCCACUAUUAUCAAGGAUAGAACUGUGGUGUGGCCCCUAUGUCCUUUCAUAAUUGGCAUAGCUCAACCAUGAUGCCUUCUACAUCUUUCCCUUUAGUUGACUCUUUUCCCAAGUCGUUUUAAAUUUUUCAUAGGAAUCACAUUAGAUGUUAUUUUCUUUGGAGUGUUCAUGGCUUUAUCUGUAAAACCGGGGCAGUUUUGAUUUUGAAAUUUUAUUUUUUAAAUUUAUGGAUUCAUAAGAUGACCAAUUCUAAAAUGAAAGAUUCUAUUCUCGUUUUUUUUUUCCAGUAAUCAGUUGUAAAGAAGAUUACAUUAUAUAUAGACUAAGAGGAUGUGGUGGGGACGAUCAGUGUUAGCAACUCUUGAACUUUUGUCAUGAGAGUUAAAAAAUUAUGUACACUACUGUAGAGUCUACAAGCACUGUAUUGUGAAAUCUUAACUUCAAGUUGCAGGUUGGGAUUGAAGACUUCUAUUACCCAGUUAACACUAUUAAUUGAACUCCCUGAAACUAGUAAAUACUAGCAUAAAUUUACAUUUGUUUGCGUUUUCCAUUUAUUAUUUCUUUGUAUUUAUUCUUUUCCUCAUUAUACUACAUUGGUAGUGUUCCUUGUGAAUUCAUAAAGAAACAUUCAGAAGAACUAGCAAAUUGCAACUCUUAGGUAUUUGAACAAAUUAUGGCUGGUGCAGCUCGAGACCUAUCAACUCCAUUAUGUAGCUGGUCGGGCCGCAUUUGUGAAAGAAGCUUGUCUGGAUGAAGGGGAUGUCCGCAUGUUUGAGCUCAUUGAUAGGGACGAUUUUAUGGUCAAUCUCCAUCUCCAAUUAUGCUAGUAAGGACCUCAUUUAGGUUGAUUGAGAUGGACAUUGGAAGUGUCGCCUGCAAGCUAUGACAAAUCAAUUGGAAGUGCACUUACUUUUAGCUUUGCGUCUCUUUCUUGACCUGCUUACAGUCUUACCAGAAUUCUCCUCUUUUUUUUUUCUUUGUGCAGGUCAGAACAGAUAGUCUAAAUGUCCAGUGAGCCCUCUUGAGCAGCCUUUUCAUGGUUUCAAUUGUCCGAGGCCUCUCACUGCCCUUUAGAAUGCUGGAGAAUUCAAGUUAGAGUAUCCCUUUUUCCAGAUGGUGACAUGGCCAUCUUUUCUUAAGAAAGAAAUAAUGGUGAGGCCCAGAUCUCCAUUCAUAACUGGCAUAUCUCAAUUAUGAAUGCCACCUAUUUUAUAUAUGUGCCCUAUUGUGCAAUUUUUUCCUGCAUUAAUUUGCUUUCUAUAGAAACACAGGAUAUAUUAUCUUCCUUGAAGUGGUCAUGGUUAUAUGUUUAAAACAGGCUCCUUAACAACUAAAGGGACUAGGGAAAAACAAUAAGUCAGACAGUAAUCAGGAAAUUACCUAGUGAUAGGUGGGUGUGGAGACAAGGUCAGAGGGUUGAGACAGGCAAUAACAACCAUAAAUUAGGAAUUUAAUGAUUUCUAAUUGAAGUAUAAAUUCUUCCCAAAGAUUACUACUUGGCACUUUCUCUGUCUUCUAGUUUAAGUAUAAAUUCCUUCCAAAAAUGACUACUUGGUACUUUCUUUGGCUGCCUAGGCUUGGGAAGAAGAGGCGACACGAAAUGUCCAGCUUAAGCAAUAGCUAUUGCAACAGGCCUAGGCUUGGCAUGACUAGGCUCACUGCAACAGCACGGCAACACUAAUCGGGAUAUUGCUUCCUGGCAACAAAUGGUUUACAAGAGCUACUAUUGCAAGCAAGUUCAAACUUGCGAUCAGAAAUGAAGUGAAGGUAGUGUGACCCUAGACCUCGAAAAUGAGUCCCACCACCUCCGUAGUAUGAAAAAAAGAAAGGCAGCUAAUUUUUUUUUUUGCCAGGCGAAUGAAGAUCACUUUUUGUGUAUAUGUAUCCAUCUAGGAUGCUAGGCGUAGCUUUUCAUGUUUGUUCAAUGCGUAUCGCAAUGUGAGAUUGGUGACUUGGAAAUCCACCAGAUUUGUGCAUGUCUCUAUAUUGAUCACACAUACUUAGCGUAGAGUCUAAGAGCACAGGAUUGUGAUAUUUUGAUUUCAGAUUGCAAGUUGUGACUAAAGACCAUCUCAUCAAGCCUUUUAGACUGCUAAUACGGAUCUCCAGAAAUUCCAAAUACUAUCAUAAAUGUACAUCUUGUUUGCCUUUUCACUUUAGUGUAUGCUUACAUUUCUUUGUCUUAUCAUACAUUGGCUGGUCAAAUGUCUUCAUGGGCAGAGCGUUCCUUAUAAAUUUAUAGAGACAUGCAGUCAAGAAAACCAGCAAAUUGCUAUUCUUAGGUAUUCAGACACAUUGUGGCUGGUGACCAUCAGGAGCUAUCAGCGCUACGCUGCAGUGAACUUCUCUAUUGGUUGGUCCAAGUUUGUGAGAGAAACUUAGUCUUGAAUGAAGGGCAUAUCUGCAUGUUUGAGCUCCUUGAUAGGGAUGAUUUUUAGGUUGAAUUGGGACGUGAACACUGGAAGUGUCACUUUAGGCCAUAUACUAGUUAGAAGCGAUCUAUGCCUCUUUUCUGUUGUGAUGAACCGGAUAAAAGUCCCUUUUAUUUCUGACUGCUUUUUUCUGAACUAGUUACAAUCUUAUAAUUUCUAGGCCUAGCCACUCCAUUUAUCGGAUAUUGUGAUGAAUAGCCUUGCACACAUUUUUUACUUUGGGUAUUUCUCUUGCGCUUGUAACGCUUUUAUCAUUGCCUUCUUGGAAAGGACCUUAGUUCAGCAUUAUCGUGGUUCUGGUUAUUCGACCUGGUUUCGUAGAACAAAUGAAAUUUAUGCAGUAUGCCAUCAGUCAUGGUCGCUUGAUAGUUUUCAAAAAUGGGAGAGAUAGACUCUAUACUCAUGUAAUUAUAUUUGAUUAAAGUGCUUAUAUAGAUACAUUAUCCCCUCAAGCAGGAUGAAAUAUAAAACCCAGAGGGCGAAUUCCUCUCGAGAAAAUGGGAAGAAUCUAAAGACCUCACAGUCCUUGAAGAUUCAGAGGGUUCCUGGCCAUGUUGGAAGCCAUUGGCUAAACUGCAUUUACCUUCUUAUCUGCCUUCUACGGUGAUGAAUUCGUUUUCAAUUUGUGAGUUUCAAAGUGAUUAAAUUGCACACUCAUUCUUUACCAAAAAAAAAAAAAAAUUGCACACUCAUUGAUGCGAGUUUUCAAAAUAAUAUGCUUGGAACCAAAAAGGACUAAGUUUCGAACGUCAAAGAGUGACAGAAGUUCCAAAUUGUUCCUCAAGAUUUGGAGGAGCGAGCACACGACAUAGUUUUCUUAGUCACUCUUCAAAUUUUUAAAAAUUUGAUGAGAAGCUUUUGGUAUGUUAGUUGAUGGCAUUGAUUUGGGUGUUCGAAGUUGUAGUCAAUCAGUUUUAUCUAAUACGAAGAGCGUGCAAACUUCUGUUUUAUGUUCACAUUCGUUGAUUUCCAAACUAUGCUGGAUCUUUUCAUAGUAAAUCGAAAAAAUUCACAUAUGUGCCCAUGAGAGUUCUUUUUUUAACCGGAGGUCAGACCAAACAGCCUAAAUGCCCAGUGAACCCUGUUGAGCCGGUUUUUCAGUGUUUUACUUGUCCAAGGCCUCUCACUGCACUUGAAAAAGCUUAGAGAAUUUGAGUCAGAAUAUCCCUUUUUCAAAAUGGUGAUAUGGCAAUUUCUUGUCAUGAAAGGAAAAGAACUGUACAUUCCUCAUCUCCAUUCAUCAUUGGCAUACUUCAAAUAUGAGACAACGUGACAUGUUAUUUUCGUUGAAGUGUUUGGGGCCAACCGACCAUCCUAAUGGCCGAGUAAUGGAACUUGGUAAAAUGGCAAUCAAAAUGGUAAUUGUGAUACAACCUUCAUGGUUGUGUGUGUCGAUUCAGAUUAUUAACUAGUUCGUCUACCUUGAAACAAUCUACUUCUCUAGUUGCUCCAUCAAGUUGUCUUUUGCUCCCUUUUUACAAGUGGAAAUCAAGAUGUGGAUUUUUUUAAAUAAUAUUUCAAUAUUUUUUGAAUUUUUUUUAUAAUUUUGUUAUUUUCUUUUCUUCUUUUUUUCUUGCCCUUAGGGUCGGCCUGGAUGUAGGCGCGCAGCACCUCACCCAGACCAAGUGAGGGCUGGUGAGGGUGUGCAAGGAAAAAAAAGCAACUAAAAGAACCAAAAGAAAAAGAAGAUAAAAAAUUCAAAAAAAUUAAAAUAUUAUAAAAUGUCCACAUCACUUUCAGCAGUGUCAUGUCAGCGCCAGCUGAUCAAUAUUAGUAGAAUGGACUUAACUGGCACAAAUGCGAAAAGUUUAGAAUUGUAUUGACAAAAAAAAGAAAGAUUCAAUUAGCACAAUUAUAAUAAGUUUAUGAGUUUUUUGAUAAUUCUCCCGACAUUGUUUUCUUAUUAGUGAAUUUUUUCUCGCAAUUCAAGGUACAAAACGGCAUUGUUCUUCAGAAAAGCUUGAAAACGUAUAUAUAUUAAAAUAAUUUUGUGAGAACGAAAUAUCUUUUUUAUCAAGGAAUAGAAAAGGAAAAGGAAAGAAAAGCAAACAAGAAAAUAAAAAUAAGAAAAAUUACUCUUUGCCAUGCCAACCCUAACCUAAAGGUAACAAACUGUCAACACGAUACAACUUUUAUUUAUAUCACAAGAUUUUAUAUGCUCUUCGUCCAUUUAUUACUUGUCAACUUUUCCGGACUUGAUACAUCAUGACCCUUUUCCUCUUUCUUUCUUGAUUCAACAAUAGGGGAAGAAAAAAACACAUUGGACCCUUUUCUGCAAAGAUGGACUCGCGGUCUUGUCCAAAUAUGAACUAAUCGAUUAAUUGCUCAUUGAAUUCAUGUUGCUCGCAUCUAAUUCUAUAGUCAAAAAACUGAAGCUAUGCUUCGGCAUUGAGCGUGCACAACUCUUUAAUUUGACCACAAGCGAAAUCCAUGCAAGUAGUACGGUCCGACUACCCCAGCACGGUAGCACACUUUCCACGGCCGAAGCAUCUGGCGUUGCUGUAAGAGGCACUGGUGCAUUAGUUGAAUCCCCCGAUCGCGGUGUCAAACCUAAGAUCGGUCAAGACUUGACCCGAAGCUUGUGCAUAAUCGUUCGGGUAUUGCAUGCCGUUGCAUAUCUUGCAUAACUUGUACAUAAGCAUCACAUCCAGGUCACUUCUUACAAGUCAGACCCCCACAGAAGCCCCAUGAACAUAAGUGUGAGUGUAAUGAGGUGGACAAGGUCAUCCUAGAGCCCGUUUCCUCCCGUUUGGUUCUCUUUGGUUUGCCACGAGGAAACACACAACACACAAUUGAGUUUGGCUAUAAAAAGGGUUUGUCUCCAUAGUGCUAUCCAUCAUUUAUUCUUUGUUAUUAGGCUAAGCCAUUACCAAGUUUAGUCAUUUAUGACGUCACAUGGAUUUUAAUUGAUAAAUUUCAGAGCUUUUUCUAUGAAUUAUUUGUUCUUUAGUGUAAUAUGUCGUUGCCGUCCUUGCAAACCCUAAUCUCAUAAUUUUUAAUGAAAUUUCCCCCCUCUCUCUUACUAUGCAUGAAAAAUUUAAAAUUGGGAUCCUUUUAAGUCUACGAAAUAAAUUCACAUUAUGAUAAAUGACUCACUUCUUCUUUGUCUGUCCUCUUUCUCCUCUUAUUUUGCAUAGACUUGUCAGCCUCAUGUACUAGUCUUGAAUAUAUUUCUAUAUGUGACAUUGUAAAUUUUAGGUCAUGUAAUUAAUGGAGUUCAUGAAUUUUUUUUUUUUUGAACAGAGAGUUCAUGAUAGUUAUAUAACCCAAAUAACACAAUACUUCUACUACUGCUAAUACUACUACUAGGAGUGUAUUAAAAAAAGAAAAAAGAAAAAAAAAGUCCGAAAACCCGGAUCGAAUCAUCCAAAUUGGCCUGAUAAAUUUGGGCUCAAAUAGUCUUGGGCCGGCCCACUGGCCUCAAACUAUCCUUGAGUUUGGGACUUGAAUGAUUGCCAAACUAGCCCAAUUCAUAGAUCAGAAACUGUACAUAUAUAUGGCCCCUAUGUCAAUUCCCAUUCCUGCUGGUUGAGUGCUUGACUUCUCUCGUUCUCCCAUCUCCCACGCUGGUUGAGAUCCGGUCACUGUUGAGCUGCCAUUGCCACCACCGUCAAGCCCCAUUUUUGUGGCCAUCAAUCCCCACACUCACCAUAUGCCCUCCGUCCAAGACAUCUCGCUCACUCCGUCAGUCCCUCUUCUGCUUGCUCACGUCUUAGUCUUCCUUACGCUCCCUCACUCUCUACCAGUAGAAAACAAGUACUUACCAGUUACUAGCUUGUUUUGAUGUCUUAAGGUUUUUUUUUUUUUUAAUUUUCGUACAUGCUAUUUGAAUUUUUUAUUUUAAAUUUUAAAAUGAUAGUUAGUCUCUCUUUAAAAAGAUGCAAUUAUCUCACGAUAAACUCUAAACUGGUACACAUGUGAUAAAUUUACAUUCUAUUAAAUUUUAUUAUCAAAUUAUUAAGUUAGAUGACACAUGCUAAUUGAUGGAGAUACCAAUUUGGGGUUUUCUCCUCCAUUUGUUACAAUCGUACUAGUUUGUGAUUUUUUGUAGUAUUAAUCCAUUUUAACGAAAACCAACAAAUAUUAAAUUAUCACAAAUGUAUCAGUUUAUGAUUUUUAAUAGUCAAAAUAUUAAUUUGCGGUAAAUGUGUGAUGUACCAAUUUGGGGUUUUGGUUAGUCAAAAAAUUAACUUGAGAUAAAUUUAUCGCGUGUAUACCAAUUUUAGAUUUUUUGUGACAUUAAUUCUUUAUUAUUAUUUUUUUGUUUAACAGUUUAUUAGUUACAUUUAGAUAGUAGAUGGUAGUGGAAAGUGGCCGUUAAUGACGAUUGGCACUUUUUAAGUGCUAAAUGACGAAAAUCGCCUCUGAAUUCGUCUAAAAUCUAACCCGAGCUAUCAUCAUAAUUUGGUUUUUAAGGCAAUCUAGAUCGAGAUAUCAAAAGAGGAACCUCUCCCUUAAAGAAUCUACAAACGUGGUAAUGCUAUUUUAUAAACCAUAUUCUCUAAUAUCUUUAUGUUCAAAUGAAAAUUUACGUAGAAUAAUAAUCGAGUUGGGAGAAUCAUUACCUACACCCAGUGCAAACUCUAUUCCUCUCACAGCAAGCAUGUAUGAAGGCCUAAUAAGAGUGAAAGUCAAAUUAUUCGUAAGUUGUUCGAGCUUGGGUUGAUGAUCAUUUGAGAAGUAAUAUUUAGUCGAGCUCUAACUCGAGCUACUUGAGUAUCUUGCAGAUUGAAAGCUCGAGCUCAUCAACACUCAGCUCAAUAAACUUUGUAAGCCUGAUUAAAAAAAGCAAUUGUUAAUAAAAUUAAAUAUUAACAUCCUCAUCUGCGCACAUGUAAUAUAUAGUAUAUCAUCUUUUUGUUUGAAUCAAGCUCCAGCAUUAAACUAAUGUUUGGGUGAGCUCAAAUCUUGUUUUAAACAUCGAGUAUGAAGUUGAGUGGAUCUCGAGUUUGGCAUUGUAGUGGCUCGGGUGGCUCAAUCAGAGAUCCCUAGGCCCCAGCCGUGUUGACAUCCAAUUCGAUUAAUAAGAGUCUAUGUGUCCAUUGAAGCAAUUAAGAAUUCUGACGUGCAAAAUUAUCAAGAAAUCUCAUUGCUCAAGAUUGGGUUGUGAUCUUCGUCACGCAAGUUUUAAAUCCCCUAUAAUUUUCAAUCCCUAUAUUAACCAAUAGCUUAGAUGAUAAAAGUAAGUGAACAUUAAUAAAUGUAGGAAAUCUUCAAAAGUCACCUUUCCUAGGUCCUAGCUGUAAUCUCGUGGGGGACGUAGCUUGGCUUAAAAAAUCCUUGCUGCAACUUUUCUCCGACAAAAUGGCACUCCAGUUCUCUCUCCUCAGUUCUAUGUAUUUGUUUGUUUACUGAAAAGAGGGCUUUUGCGGCAAUUUUUGUCUCAAUAUAAUUUAAUUUCGGAUAACCAUUUGACAAUUGAAAAAAUCCCUCGGCCGAUAAGAAAUCUUUAAUUUCAAAUGUCCGCCUUUGCGUUUUUCAUAUAUUAACUUGGAGUGUACAUAGAGAGAUCCUUGAUAAUUUCAACUUUUUGAAUUAAUUGGUAAAUCACUAAGCUCCGUCAUGCUAGUCUCUCUCAACAAGUACUUCUUAUUAUUAAAAAAAAAAAGAUCCAUUUUUAUUUCUCACAACUUCAAAUCUUAAAAAAUAAUUUUUUUAAUUUUCCUAGGUCUUUAAUUGAAAAAUUAACCCAAUUUCAUUCCGAUUAUCAUUAUAUAUCAUCAACAUAAACUAAACAAUCACGAUAAAUGAAUGUCCUCUCCUUGAAGUAAAUAGGGAAUAAUUAAAAAAAUCAACAAUUGUUAACAUCUGAGAAAUUAAAAAGGGAAGAAGAUCCGUCAGGUUUUCCAGUUCCUGCGUUUCUAGCAUUCGGUCACUCUCUGCUUCCUCUCUCUCUCUCUCUCUCUCUCUCCCUCCAACCCUCGAGCCGAGCUGCACCGCCUGAUAGGGGGCCUUCGACCGCUGCCGCCGCAUCUACGCCGCCGGGCCACCUCGGCGUUCGGCAGCAGCGCCGCCCCUCUCUCCGCCUCCUCCGAACACCCCCCCGCCCAAAAAAAAAAAAAAAAAAACCUAGUUUCCUGGCUUCGGUUCUCCGAGAUUGCUCGAAGAUGGACGAGGACCAGGAGAUGGAGAGGUUUGGGAUGGACAGCGAUUACGACGAUGGGCAGUGGAUCGACGGGGAGUUCUACUACCGGCGGCGGAGGGAGAAGCGCGCCCAGACCAAGGGCGACGUGCUCUACGGCGUCUUCACGUCGGGGGACUCCGAUUCGGACUACGACGACUCCUCUAAGAGGAAGCGGAGGAAGAACAGGGACCUCCUAUGUAAGGCCGAUCUGUCGAAGCCCGUGUAUUUCGUGUCCACCAGCACGAUCAUGCCGAACAGAGAGAUUGACGAGAACUCGAAGACAGAGAAUGAGGAUGACGAGUCCGCUGACGUGGAUGAGGAUAGGCCGGGCAUGGGGGUUGGUGCUGGGGUGGGUCUGGGGUUUAAGAAGCGAGACGAUGGUUUCGAUGAGAACGGCGAGGAGGAGGAUGGUUUCUUGCCGACGGCAUUUGGGCGGAAGAUCAAGGAGGGAGCGGAGAGGAGGAGAGAGCAAUCGAAAUUGGAGAAUAAAGCGCAACAAGGUGGGGCUAAGAGGGAUUCUUAUGAAUCGGGGAACGUGGGCGGCUUCGAGAAGUACACCAAGGGAAUUGGAACGAGGUUGCUCGAGAAAAUGGGUUACAAAGGGGGUGGUCUUGGGAAGAACCAGCAGGGGAUUGUGACACCCAUUGAAGCAAAGUUGCGUCCUAAGAACAUAGGUAUGGAUUUCAACGACUUACAAGGCAACUCCUGCAGAGGCACCUGUUGCCUCGUUGGAGCCAGAGGAAAAGAAGCCAUCACCUAAUGUGCCCGGUCAGGAGAAGCUUUGGUCUAAGCAAGCGACGCAGAAAAACAAAGCGAAAUAUAUUACAGUAGAAGAGCUGUUGGCGAAGAAGUAGGAUCAGGGCGUUGAAGUUGUGCAAAAGGUACUCGACAUGCGUGGACCUCAGGUUAGGGUAUUAGCAAACUUGGAGAAUCUGAAUGCGGAAGAGAAGGCGAGGGAGAGUGAUGUUCCUAUGUCUGAGCUCCAGCACAAUAUAAGGUUGACUCUGGACCUGGCUGAGUUGGAUAUUCAGAAGAUCGAUAGGGACCUUAGGAAUGAGAAGGAGAAGGAGAAGUUGCAAGCUGAGGCAAAACUCUAGAAGAAACAACUGAUUAACGUGAAGGAGACAAUGAAUACGCUAGGCCGGGUUGAGGAGGAAAAGUCAAUGGGACGUGCGAAGAAGGCUUCCUGAUGAUUAUAAACUUCGUAACUUAUCCUGCAUUGCUUGCUUAUUUGCACUCCCUCUUUGGAAUUCCACACAUGGGUUGGAAGUUGUUUCACGGUGGAAAUCUCUAUUGCAAGGACAGGAAUGUCUUGAUAUAUGGGAUUUGGGAUCCCCUUAUACCUAGUUAGUUUCAGAAGUUGUCUUGCCUGCUGUGUGAAUAUCAGGCAUUUGAAACUUGGGAGGCAAGGAAUCCGGAGCCAAUGCUUCGAUUUUUUGAAGAUUUAGUGAUUAGUCUUCUCGCAUGUGGGCGCAAAUUCAAGUUUGUCAAUUUCUUCUCAAGUGAAGGGCAUUUGGAAUUCAUUUAUUUAUUUAUUUUCUUCAUAUUAACUGAAUGUUGAUAUGCAUAACAAAAGCAAGUAUACGGGCAUCUUUGCGUCGCUGCGGCACGACUCUUCUUCAGCCUCUCUCUGUCGACAAACACAGCACCUGAGCCUCCGGCAGUGGCUUUUCGUCUUAGAAUCGGCAACAUCCCGGCGCUCUUGAACUCGAACUUGCUCUCCACGCUGGAUGAAGCUCGCUAAUUCUCUCUUUUUAUCUCUCUUCCUUGCGAGAGCUCGAUACCUCAUCCAAAGUGCAAUCAACGGUAAUGGAAAUUUGGAAGAUGGCGAGAGGAUGGGAGAAAAUAAAAGCAAAACGGAAAUCAAACAGACGAAAUUUGGAAUGAAUUGAAGACAAUUCUAGAGUUCAAUCGGAGAUGGAACGUCCCAGUAAUUGUUUUGACUGUUGAUUGAAGAAACUCCGUGGUCAAAUUCCGCUGCCACGGCAGCAAGGCGAGCGGCAUCUUCAAACCGGUAGCAACGCUUUUUGUGCUUCGAUCGGUGCUGGAAGCAACAAUCGUCAGAGAGCUCAGUCUUGAUGAAUAGUUGGUGGGUACUCCAUUCGCGGUUGGAUUCUCUCUCUCCAGAUUUUCUCCGACCAGAUGUUUUUUAGCAUCUAUUCUCUCUCUCGCUCCGGAUUCUCCUUAUUCAUCUCCACCAAUUCAGAUCUAUCUCGCGUCAGAUUCCCACAGUGAACGACACCAUCAGAUUCCAAAUUUUGAGUCGUGGCCACACUAAUUCCACUCUGAUUCUUGUCGUCGCUUUCCUGUCCUUGCACAUGUCUGGACCAGAUCUAUAUGUGGCCGGGCCAUCUCGAGCUCAUGCUGCCAUCGCCGCCAAACCAUCAUCAAGGGUGUUUCAUAUCCAAUUGAACUUCCGAGUCAAAAUUUCGAUUCACUCCAGAAAAUGUUCUGUCGAUUCUUGCUUCUUUCUGUUCGCUCCCACUUCAUGGCCAUCUUUCGAAUUCCUUUGUUUUGCCCAUUUAUGCCUUGCGCAAAGGGAAAGCGGGGUGUGUUCACUGCUUAAAAGAGCUUUAUCUGAUUGCCAAGGGUGAGGUUGGAUGGAUCAUCAUCAUCUGGACAGGAUCCGCCGAUUCAAAGGAUGAGAUUCUUUGGGUUCACUCUCGGCACUCCUGCCGGUCCGACAUAGUUUCAUCAACCAACCGCAACGGAGGGCAAUCUGAGUCAUCAAAAUCAUCCGAAAAGAUACGCCAAGCAUGAAGAUUGGCGGUGGUGAGCACGGAGAGAAAACAAGGAAGAAUAAAAGUCGCGAAGCAGUGGAUGGAGAUGAUUCGAAUUUUGCGUGGGGACUGGGGAAAACGGGGCAAACAAGGUGAAACCGGCGGUGGUUCUUUGGAUGAGAAGGAAGUAAAGUGUUGAAAUUUUUUUUAAAAAAAGAAAUAAAAGAAAAAGAAAUAAAAGACGAAAGGAAAAUAUAGAGAGCCCAUGAGAAAUCGGUCAAAAGGAAGACUUGCACGAAAAAUGUAAUCCGUCAUUAUAUUGAGCACCUUCAUUGCAAACUCGAUCCCUCCUCCACAGUGCAAUCGACGGCAAUGGGAAUUCGGCGAGAUAAUUGGAGAAAAAUGAAAUGAAAUAGAUAUCAAUAGACGUAGUCAAUAUGUAUCAAAAUUAAUUCUAGAGUCGAAUGGGAUAUGAAAUGACCUGGUGGUGAGUACCAAUAUUGACCUGACAGAUAUCAUCAUUGUUACAGAAUGGUCUCAAUCUCGAUUUCUCUUUGGGGCAACUCAACGAACACCUUCCCUAAUGUCCAUCUUCAUUUUUCAGCAAGUCUUCCUCCAUCAGGGUCGUUUCCUAUCCGAAUGAACUUCCGAGUCCAAUUUCGAUUCAUUCCAGUAUACGUUCUAUCGAUUCUUGCUUUCCUUCAUCUCCGCCUUUCGGAUUUCAAAUGCCGUUGCUCGCGUCCUUCGUUUCGUCUCUCUAUGCCGCACACAAUGGGGAUGUCUGGCUGGUGGAUAGGAUCUGCCGAUUCGAAGGAUGAGAUUCUUUGGGUUCACUCUCGGCCCUCCCGCCGCUUCAAGAAGCAGCAAGGACUUGCACAAAAGAUGGAAUAUCUUGAGAGCAAGAUUCAUCCCUAACUCAACCAUCAUUUUCUUUUUCUUUUCCUUGAAAAAGGCCAUCAAAAACUCCAAACGACGCCAUCAAGGACGCCCAUUGCGUCUCUUCGCUUCAAGUGCCUUUAUUGGAUCUCUCCCUCCAUCCCGACGCGCUCCCCGGCUCAGUGAGUUCCGAGUCGCUCCACCAUCACCCUCGCUAUCAACUCGCCUCGUGAUCGAUUCCGUCGCUCGCUGUCUUUAGAAACUCCGGUGAUCCUCUCUCUCUCUCUCUCUCUCUCUCUCUCUCUCUCUUUUCCUGUCCUUCUUCCGGUUCGAAUCAUGCAUUCGUUUUGUGGAUUCUUAGGUGUUUUGACGGAGGUUUGAAUCUGGUGUCCUUGAGUGAUGUUUAAUGCUAUUGUCGUUUUGCUCAUCGAUGGAGUUCAUGUCGGAUUUUUUUUCUUUUUUCCUUGUUUCGAACCGUGAAUCCGAGACCACUUGGAAACGAGCGAUGAUUGAACUGAAAACGUCCUGAGAAAUCGCCGCAGUGAGCGAAAGUUGUGCAGAGUUAAGCUCGGUCGAACAGUGGUUCGGUUUUCCUCUAUUUUUUGGCAUUAUAUAGUCACUUCUGGAUUCAGUUGUGGUGCGAGGGUGACUCGCUAGCCAUUCCUGAUCGGUCCUUCGGUUAACGCUUUUCUCUGUAUAGAUUUCUGAGCGGCUUGGGACUUGGAGAUGGGAGUAGCACCGAUGAGUUAUAACAUAAAAGAGGGGACGCUGGAGAUCGGCAUGGGUGAGCUUUCGGCCCUCUCCGCUUUCCAAAUUUUUUUUUUUUUUUUUUUGGAGCUACGGACAAUAAAGAUCUGCUGGGAUGCUUAAAUCUCGUAAUUAAGUUUUGUCUGUAUUGUGGGGAGUAGCUUUCUCUCCUUGUUCGUGGCUUAUUAUGUCUUUCGCCAUCUAAAUUUCACCGUGCUUGGAAUCAGAACUUUAGUCAUGGGAUAUUGUUGUUUUCGAGGCUUUCCAUAUAGCUUUCUCGUUUCUGAAAAGUUUAUGCUGCCCCUGUUAUGACAACGGUUAAUACAUUUAUUACUUAGAUCUACACAAUCUCUAUCAUUUCAUAUAUAUUGGCUGAGAGGUGAGGAAUGAUUUAGCUCUUGUCUGAGUCAAAUGUUUAGCAUGCCUUAGUCGCUGGGUCUUGUUAUUGGUUGUUCAAACAAUUGCUUCGCUACUUGCAGAGUAUAGGACCGUCUCUGGUGUUGCUGGGCCGUUGGUUACACUCGACAAAGUCAAGGUAAAUUUCACCAGUUAUAAUUUUAUGAGGUUCAGUGGACUCCUAUACUAACAUGUUGGAUUAAUUUUAUUGUAUAUCAGGGACCAAAUUAUCAAGAGAUAGUAAAUAUCCGCUUGGGUGAUGGAACAACUAGACGUGGACAAGUCCUUGAAGUUGAUGGAGAGAAAGUUGCUGUGCAGGUUCAGUCUCAGUUGCCAGCCUCUUCUUUUUUCCUUUAGCUCUCUUGAUACUGCAUUUUUGUUGUUUGGACUGCAAUACUUGGGUCAACUUUGUGUGCAAUACUUUUCAGCUGAUGACCCAGUGAAUUCUCUGUCAUUCAUUGCAAGCAUUAGAAAAAGCAGAACAUGAAGAGUAUUAUCUUAGGUAUAUGUGAUGAAAUGUGAGAACAUCAUAUGGGAUGAUAAUUGAAAUGUGAUAGAAUUUCUUGAGAACAAUGUUAAGAGUCUAAUUAGCAUUCCGUUUAGGCAAUUAUAGAUCCUCUUUGCUCUCGAGUGAUGGAAGUCUAGUCAUGGUGUGGGUUAUUUUGGCUCUGCAAAAGGCUAAUAAUCUUUCCUAUAUGUCUCUAAUUGUUGUCAAACUUCCGUAGGUUCUGUUAUUCACUAGUUUCUUUGUCAGUAAAAUUUAAAUAUAAGUAUUCUACUCAUGCUUGUGUGAUCGGUGGUUGUUCAUCUUAGACUUCCAGUACGUAAAGCUUUCUGGUCAUCCAUGUUUCACUCUCUUGUCGCUAGGUUUAUGAAGGUACUUCUGGGAUUGAAAACAAAUACACCAUUGUGCAAUUCAUUGGUGAGGUAAUUAUGCAUGCUGUUUGUUUUUGUUUUCCUAAUAAAACAAUGUUUCAUCAUUCUGUAGAAAGAAAGAGUUAGAUUUGUUUUUUUCCGUAUUUGGGAACUAAAUGCUCCUACAUGUUGGCAACAAGAUUUCACUUGUAGCAUGAGAAAUAAUUUGGCAUAUGUCUUGGGCUUGGCCUCAUGAAAGGCUGUCAAAAGUGCAUUGUUUUCCUACCUUUACAAAUCUUUUUAGCUGUGUCAGCAUUUACUCUCUUUAAUCUUGGAUAAAUAAAAAAACCUUUAGAAAUUUAUUGUGGAGUUCUCACAUUUUUCUUUUAAUGCAGGUUCUAGAAAGCCCAUUGAUAAUGGCUCUCCAAUUCUGCCAGAGGCUUACCUGGAUAUUUCUGGUGAGUUGUGUCAUUGUGAUAGUAAUUUUGAUUGGCCAUGGAGCCAUUUAUACUUCAUGGCACCUAUGGCAAUCCCAAGAUCCCAGUGAAAGAACCUUCCUGGAAGAGAUGAUACAAACAGGAAUUUCCUCCAUUGAUGUAACGAAUUCCAUAGCUCGUGGACAAAAGAUCCCACCUUUCUUUGCUGCUGGUCUUCCUCAUAACAAAAUAGCUACUCAGAUUUCCGCCAGGCUAGUCUUGUGAAGCGAUUGGAGAAGGCUGAUGGUAUUACCAAGAUAUAUGUUGCAUCUUUGUUGUAUACCAAUGUUAUAAUACCCUGCUCUAUGAGUUUUAUUGCCUCGAUAAUUUAAGGAACUACCAUUAGUUUUACAGAAUUUUCCUACGGUUUUGGAGUUCAGGUUCAGAAUUCACCUACAAUGUAUUUUAUCCUUUGACUAACUAGCUCCACUAUUAUAUGCUAGACUUCUCAAUUGCUAAAUGCAUUCUUUGUGAAGAUUUUUGAUCUUAUUUUAUUUGUUGUUUUUUUGAGAAUUCGAUGUUAUGAGCCUUCAUCUUUCUAUUCCAAACACUCUCUUUCAAUAUCAUUUAUGAAAAUGUGCUGCAAAUUUAUGUAGGAUGACAAAGAGGACAAUUUUGCCAACAAUGUUGCCAUAGUAUUUGCUGCUAUGGGAGUGUACAUGGAAACUGCACAAUAUCUCAAACGUGACUUGGAGGAAAAUGGGUCAAUGGAGAGAGUGGCCCUUUUUCCUUAAUCUGGUAAUAUCUAAUGAGCUAAUAGUUAAUUGUCUCGCAGAUUGUUUCUUUCUGGCAAUUUUUGCAAGUUCGUAGAUUCAGUUCGUGACAUAUAUCCUUGCUGAUUAAAGGGUUGUACGGAUGCCUGUAUUUCAUUUUACGAAGUUUGCUAUUUUCUUUAGGCCAAUGAUCCAACUGUUGAAUGCAUCAUCACUCCACGAGUGGUGGUCACAACUGCUGAGUAUCUGGCUUAAGAAUGUGACACAUCUAUAGUGAUUUUUUUAUUUAUUUAUUGUGAUGUCAGAAUUUCAAAAUUAUAUCCACUAUGGAUGAGGAUAGGCGGGGCUUGGGGGCCUUGGGAAGAACCAGUAGGGGAUUGUGACACCCAUCGAAGCAAAGUUGUGUCCUAAGAAUAUGGGUAUGGGUUUCAACGACUACCAAAGAAACCCCUGCAAAGGCGCCUGCUGCCUCGUUGGAGCCAGAGGAAAAGAAGCCAUCACCUGAUGUGCCUGGUAAGGAGGAGCUUUUGUCUAAGCAAGCGAACAAGACGAUGCUGAAAAACAAAGCGAAACACAUUACAGCAGAAGAGCUGUUGGCGAAGAAGCAGGAACAGGGUGUUGAAGUUGUGCAAAACGUACACAACAUGCGUGGACCUCAGGUUAGGGUAUUAGCAAGCCUGGAGAAUCUGAACGUGGAAGAGAAGGUGAGGGAGAGUGAUAUUCCUAUGUGCGAGCUCCAGCACAAUAUAAGGUCGAUUGUGGACCUAGUUGAGUUGGAUAUUCAGAAGAUCGAUAGGGACCUGAGGAAUGAGAAGGAGAAAGCUCUGAGCUUGCAAGAGGAAAACAGAAGCUACAAGCUGAGGCAGAACUCCAGAAGAAACAAAUGAAUAAUCUAGCAACUAAAUUGUGCACAUGGAACAGCGGAAGCACAAUCACGGUAGAGUCUGAUUCCGUUAGUUUGUACCCCACCUUAUGAUGCCAAAUUGCGCUGAGUUAGCAGCAUGUGAUUGGGGAGGGGUGGCCCAUAGCGCUGGAGGUGUGCAAGAACAUAGCUACAUCCGAGGGAUCGUUGACAACUGUGGACAUCGAGUCGAGGCUCGGCUCGGCUCUACGUCGGUCGAAGAGAGAGUGAUUUGGUAGAGUGAAGAUUGGCGGUUAGGUGGGGGAUGUUGAGCUUGGAAGCAGCGGAUUGAGCCCGUCGGUUUCCUUCUUGCAGUGUCAAUAGGAGCUUCGGUUCUGAGUCGGAAAGGUAGAACUUGAGCACCUUAGCUGUGUAGAAGGGAUUGAGCGGAGCUGCGGUGGCUCAGCAAUGGAUUACCGCUGGAAACAGGAUCACAAACUGCAAAACGAACACAUUUUCCAAUAAGAAAACUAUCACACCAGUCCCUGCGGAUUGGAGAUACACAUACAUAUGCAGGAUAUGCAGACAACUAGUUUGUCAACAUUUAAUUUCAUUAAAACCAUCCAUCUCCUUUUGAUAAGCGUUGACUUUGUUUUACGAUGAAUCGGUGCUUGUACAUCCCAGAAAACAACCCUUGGACCCGACAGAAAAUUCUCUUCAUGCUUUUCCCAUUUCAAUUUGUUCCUGUUCAAUUUGCACCACGCGCUCGCAGAAAUUUCAUGCCUCAGAUGCAAUUUUUUUCAGUAGAAAUCGAUGCCAUUUCCGUCUCUCUGUUCUCGAAGUACUGUAAAACUCCAAGAAACAUCUACCUCUUUCUUUCCCAAGCUAUUUCCCAGUCGAUGUUUCGCAAGUCAUCGAUCUCAUCAUUAGAAAUUCAUCGUCACCGCAAUCUUCCAGAUAUUGUGUUCUCAAAUUUAAACAGCAUCAUCCGUACUUGCGAACAGACCGGGAUGACACAGACAUACCUCGAUGUUGUUGAGGAAAGUAAGCGCGGCGGUGUCGGUGCGAGGCAGUGAUGAGUACGGUGGUGCAAUUGACAAGCUCCUGCAGCCGCAUGUGUGUCAGGUCGAGCUCCUCGCAGGCGGAGACGGCUCUCUUGUUGGGGAAAUCCGAUGUUGCCUUCUUCAAUAGGUCCGUGAGCGUAAGUUCUCCCAUCACUAACCACAGGGAACGAAUCGACGGCAAUCGGCUUCAGCCGAAACCAAUCCCCGAUCAAACUGAAGAGGGGCACCACAAUCGCUUGGCGAGACAAGAAUGAAGGAUCGACAAGAACAGGAAUUCGCACGUAUGCAUAUGAGAUGGAAAUGAGACCAGAGGGAGGAAGGGAAGGAAGUUGAUGCAAUCGAGGUGGCUCCGCGGCCAGUGCGAGCUCGGUUAAGGUGGCGACGGAGACUUAACGGAUCAAAGGCUGUAACUAGUCUCACUAAUGUCUUCGCAAGAAAAUGUUUCAAUAAACUAAUGAUAGCCACGUAAUCAAUACAUUUGUCCAUUCAGUGGACGACAAGUGGCACUAUGGCGGCCCGCUCUAUCAGCAAGUCUGCAAGUCCAUUCUGCACGACAAAAUAAAUGUCGUCCAAGUUUGAGAUAAGAAAUGAAAACCGCAGCAUCAGAAAAGGUCAUCACCAAAGGAUUAAAAUCCAGUCCAAGUUUGGGGCAAUGGCGAUUCUUGCACAGAUUGUAUAUAUGCGAAGAUCAAUGGCGAUUCUGACAGUCCAUUCUUUGCACGCACACACGCAGAUCUCCUGCUCCUUCACAACAAAAUACACAUUCAAAACUCAAUUAUGUUCAUACAGAACACUUUAACUCGAACCAGAGGAAUCAACAAGCCACGAGACAGCAAUUUUCAUGUCAUACGCCGAGCAUACGAGGUGAGAAUACUAACACUAUUUGACAAAUGAGCAUCCUAUUCUGACAAAGUCGGCCAUAAUAAGUAUUCAAAAAGUUGAGAACAAAUCGAAUUUAUGUAAUAUGAUUCUGCGGUUUGAGAAUUGAAUCGAAUUUACAUACUGAUCUAGUUCGAGCAUUUUAUCAAACAAGUAAUGUGCAUUUUAACCAAGGAGCUCAUACGCCAAUGCACAGCAAGGAUUGACUUUCAGAUCAUCACGAAAAUAACAGCACAAGUCCGAGUUGUUAAAUAAAGCUUCAAUCUCAACUGAUUUACUCACAGACAUUAGCUAAAGCUAACCGGCUCUGUUUCGUUCAUGAGCAGCAGAAACAGAGUGCGUGGGAUUUACCUUGAUGAGAGUGAGUUUUUCACUUCGGUCCGUGAUCAGAUCGGAGAAAAGUUACUGGCGCUCUCCACGUCGACGAUUGACCUCUGGCUCGUGCACGUUUGGGCGGCAUGACCAGAAAACAGAGCAGAAGGAGAGGAGGCCUUGCGGCAACGGAACCGGCAAUGGUGGAGCCGCUACGGCAGCGUUUCGACAGUGUCUAAAGGACAAUGGAGAAGGAGAACCGAUGAAGGAUCCUCUAGAAUUCCAAAGAGAGAGAGUUUCUUCGUGAGCUUCGGUGUGUGCGUUCUAUCGUGUCAUCGCUGAGCCUGUGGUGGCCGUCGAUGGUGGUGCGACGGUGGCUGUGGUGAUUGUAGACGGCCGACGGUGGUCUGGGCUUCGCCUUGUGGAUAAGGUCUGGGCUACACGAAUUAAACCAGGCCCAACAAACCGGACCAGGUCCUUUCGAUUAUGAUUUUUUCUUUCUUUCUUUCUUUUCUUUCUUCGUUUGUUAUUUAUUUUUAAUAUUAUUUUUUACUUUUUAUUUAUUUAUAUUUACCCAAAUGCAUGUUCGACUUGUUGGCAAAAAUUCAGGAGUCAAUAGGAGCAAUAUUCCAUCAUUUGGCCUAAGAACAACUUCACACCAAACUCAAUUACAAUUCAUUGUUUGUGCAAUAUUGUGACAUUAUUCCCUUAAAGAUUAGUCCUUGUACUUAACUCUUCCAUCCUUGAGUUGAAUUUGAGCGCUGAUAGCAUGGCUGCACUCGUACUUGAGUUGAUUUCUUGUAGAAUCGAUGCACACAGUACAGUUUGCAUCUCGAAGCGCAUUUUGCACGUUCUGUGCACGCAACACAUCGCGAUGGAAUCAUCAUGCUCCUGUAAUAGUUGUACACAUGACUUGCCAUCUUAAUUUAUCAUCAUAUAGGUGAUGCGUGUACUUUUAAGAUUGCCACUUUAUCUGUGUUCUUAGCACGUAUCUCAGUAUUGAUUUGUGCAAGUGGGUGGCACAUAUUCCGUCCAUGGUCUCCUCUGUUGAAUACUCUUGGCCAAGAGAUUACAAUGUCCUCUUUUGACUAACAUCCUCGUCUGUGCUUUGUCGUAUACGGUUUGUUAGGCAUUUAUACAGGUUAGAUACUUUUUGUGAUCAAGAGCAGUACAUUCCAUCCUAUAACAUCAAUUAUCUUGUGGGAUUGUGACGAACAUCACAUCAGGUCCGUUUUCACGUUCUCGUUCUUUCGCCCUUCGCCCGCCACUUGUAUCCGGCAAACUCAAUAAGAUAGCUCCACCACCCGUCAUUUCUCCGGCCUGCCAGAAUUUCUUCCGAUUUCCGUGUCUUGUUGCGCGCGAAUCAGUUGAAGUCGGAAGACGGUUUCGUAAAAAUCUCCCUUCUCAAUCUUCAUCGUCGUCUUCUUCUUCAGCUAGGGCUUUGUUUUCAAAUUCGUCCCAUGUUCGAGGUUAUCUCAUGUUUUAUUUUUUUGGUUAUGUUUUUCCACUCGCGCUAGUGACUUCAGAUCAUGGUAGGCUACCUUAGAGUGUCAAAAGGAAAAGUUCCGAAACUAGCUGAAAAAGACGAGGAUUGAGAGUGUAUAUAUGGGUCUUUCUUUAUCGAACUGGCUGUUUGAAAAUGCGGAUGAGCAGACCACUCCUUGUGGCUUCAUCAAGAAACAUCUUCAUGACAGCAAAGUAGUUGCCACUCUUCAGGCAUUUAGACAGAUCGCGGCCGGAGAAGUUAAGGAGCUAUGUGCACGUGGCAAUAAUAUCACGUCAAGUGUAGAUGUCUGCGUGUUUUGAGCUCGUCGAUGGAGAUGAUAUCGUGUUCAAAGUCUCAAUUUUCGGCCCUGCUGGUGCGUACCAGAAUUUAUUUGGGCAAAUCAACUGAAUCUUGAUAUGCAUGGCCAAGCAAUUUUCAAUCUAUGCUACAUCUUUUCAUAGUUAGUCAAUUCAAGAAACUUUCACGCCACUGUCUACUAAAUUCCUCAUCAUUUAAUUGGGAGAAAAGGUUAAUCAACUAAAUCUUGACCCUUAUCCCUACCAGUUUUGGAUCUAAGUGCAACUUGGUCUCCUUGUCAUGCAAUCCCCAUCGAUAUUGACGUCCAAGAACCACAUCUGUCGCUAGACGUUAGACGACGUGGGAACGUUAUUGGAGGGGCUUAUGACAUCUCAAAGUUAGAAAUUGGAUGGGAGAGAGGGACUUCAAGAUAAAUAUCCUUGUCCGAAUGAUCAUCACAUUAUACAGUUACUCAAAGUGUUAUUUUCGAGAGUGGGUCGGAUGGUUAAACCAUUGAACGGUACUACGGACAUCCAAUCAACCGAGUUUUAAAAAAGACAGAAAUUGGAGAAAAGGAAGAUAGUUUUAUUAAAUAAAGAGGCAAAGGUUUCGGAAAAUAGCAAAAAGUGGAUAAAAUAGCUAAAGAAGGUCCUACACACGUUCUCUGCCCUAUCGAACGCCAUUGCUCACCUGCUAGCUACAACGGCUACGCGCUUGCACCCUCUCUCUUGGAAAAAUGGGCUCUUGUGGGCACCACAUGCACCCGAGUCCCCAACUAGCCAGGUUGGAAGAGGAAAAAAUAAACAUAAAUGUUUUGAAAAAGCCUUUUUCUUAAAAAUAAUUGAUUAUAUCUCGAAUAGUCAGUCAAAAAAAUGUUUUUAUUACCAAUAACAAUUUAAUCAUUUUCAUUUAUUCAUUUUUGCAAGUGAUAAAAGCAAUUAUUUAUAGAGAAAUAUUUUUCAAAAUGUCAAUUUUUCACGAAACAAAUGAAUCGGUUUUCAUUAUUUUUAUUUAUUUAUUGCCAUCAAGUUCGUCUCACCAUUGACUAAUAAGUCAUAAUCUUACUUGACUCUAUCCUCUGAAACUUGAAAAAAAUACAAUAUUAAUACCCCAAAACUCCGGCAACUUUUUAGAAGCCCACAAACGAUAAUGUUACGAAAGAAAUUGGUAUAGCCUUUUCAUUUCCAGUUUGUUUCAUCUACAACAUUGCGACACCGAAAUCUACUUCCCGAAGUAAAUUGAGAGAUUCACGUGGUCGCAUUGAUGGCAAGCGUGCAGUGUAUCUGAUCCUUUGCGGUUCUUGAACUGCGACAAUUUGGUAUAGUAGAAUGAGGAAUAUUGUCUCUCUAAUAAACAUGAAGAAAAGCAAACCCAAAUAAUAAUCCAUUCAAACCCUAGAGCACCAGAGCAUGUAAUUAACAAAUUGAAUUCGACACGACUGACUAAUUACCCUUGUUGCCAAACGGAAUAACAAUUUAGAGAAUAGCGGUUAAGCUAUACAACAAUAGGUCACCCAUCAAAUUUUAUGAGGGCAAAGAGUGUCAUUGAAUAGCAAAAGCAAUUACUAAUUUACUAUUUCGUAACAAGACGAGCAUGUCCAUAAUCUGCCAAUGAUUGCUUACCCUUUCAAACAAAAUAAGGUAGGAAAAAAGGACGAAGGAGGCGUGAAGCUUUCUAAGGCUAAUACCAAACAUUAGCCUCAGAAAGCUUCACGCAAAUUAUCCACCCCUUGACGACAACGCAUACAAAUAAUGCAACACACUGCAUGUAAAAAUAAGCUGACUGCAAAUCUGAAAAAAGCAGAGGGUGAGGACGAACUUUGGUAGGAGGGACAUAUCGGAUAUGUUAGACAGUUCAUGAGAACCUCUCAUUUUGCACGCCACAGAUGAUUCUCACGUCCGAUAGAUCCUGAGGGUGAUGAGUGAUCUAAUGAGGCAGGAUCCAGUAAAGCUUCCUCUCGGUGGGAUGGCGACGUCUUCACAGGGGUUGGGAGUGUUGGGCACUGAAUCUUGCUACAGCUCUUCUUUAAACUAUAGGGACUGAUAUAUCGCCACAGCCGACACGCAGCGUAGCAAAAUUGAAUGUCGUAAAAUCCAUGACAAACCUGAGGCCAUAGAAAGCAGCGUUGACUUCAACUCCAACGAAACCAGCCUCUGUGAUUGCAGAAUCAACAACCCUCUCAGGUCCAUACUACUAAAAAGAAAAGAAGCUUUAGACACAUUGAAAGACUCUAGGAUCUGCAAACAUUUCCUCAUCAAACGCAGCAUUCAUGGCCUCUCUCACAAUCAUCUCUUUCCCAUAGUAUCAUAACUACGUAAAGGCAUUUCUGCAGCACAACUCUUCCGUGGCCUUUCUCUUGACAACAUAGCAUCCGAGGGCUUUUCGUAUUAGAAUCGAUAACAUCAUGCGCUCUUGAACUCGAACUUGCUCUCUCUCUCUCUCUCUCUCUCGAACGGGUAUCCUUGGAAACAAAGUCCAGCUUCGUCAUUCCAUCGAACACCUUCCUUGCAAACUCGAUUCCCUCCUCCACAGCACAACCAACGGCAAUUGAAUUUCAGAAGACAGCGAGAGAAUUGGGAGAAAAAACAAGAUCGAAACAGAAAUCAACAGACAAAUCUGGAACGAAUCGAAAUUCAUUCUAGAGUUCAACGGGAGACGACGAAUUUCGUCAUCGCUUCAAUGUUACGAGGAACCGGCUGUCUCUGAAGAUCUCUCGAAGCAAUGAUCGUAAGAGAUUCCAGUUGACAGGCUCACUCCCUCAUGGUUUCGUACAGAGAGAAAGAGAGAGAUUCUUCUCUGAAUUUUAGACACCUCGUUCUUUUCUCCUCUCUCUCUCUUUUAUUUUAUUUGCACUCUUGUUAUUUCUUUUUAUUUUGUUUUGUGUCUUUGAUUUGUAUUUUAUAAAUAAAAAAUAUACAAAUAAAAUUCAGCUUCUUCAAUGAAGGAACUGAAUUUUAAUAUUCUAUCCCCUCUUUUCUUUUAUUUGUAUUUUUGUUAUUUAUUUUUUAUUUUUUACAUCUUUAAUUUGCCGGUUAAACUAACGAUACAGUCAAAAAGUUGAAGCUAUGCUCCAAUACUGGAUGAGCAUCACUCUUUAAUUUGGCCAUAAGCGAAAUCCAUGCAAGUAGCACGUACCAACUAUGCCAAUCCAACAAUGCAUGCUCCUUGGCCAAAGCAUUGGACAUCACCAUAAGAACCACCGGCAUAGUGGUCUAAUCAUCGGGUCUCAAUGUCAGAUUUUCAAAAUAUCUUUCAGUUGGGCCCAAUUUAGGAAAUUUGGAUUUUAGUUAAAGCUGAGAUGGCCCAUAUCCGCUUUUUUUGUAAUUUAGAAAUAAUGUCUUAUUUUCCUUCUCACCAAGCCUCUUUCAUUUUCCCCGAUCUCUCGUUCUCUCUUGUCUCAUGAUCAUCGAGUCGUCCAGUCCCCACCAACCCGCCACCGCGCCACCUUCGAGCCCUGAGCUCUGCUUUCUCUCUCUCAGUCUUUCUUCUCGUGUCUCGCCCACAUGUCAGCGAGUUACAAAGCGAGAGAUGGGACGGACUCACUUUUUUGCUCGUGUCAUGGUCUCCCUCCCGCUCCCCCUCUCUCCAGCAAGUGGCAAAACAGGUUUUUACUAGCCUGUUCUGAUGUCUUCAAGGUUUUUGAAUUUAGGACGUGCUAUUUGAAUUUCUCAUGGAGAGUAAAAGCAAAAAAUAAAAUAAAAUAAACACUUUUUUUUUUAAAUAUCGGGCUGUGCCAGACCCUUGGAUCUGGGCCAUAUGGCAUGGCUUCAGUCCGGGCCAGGUCCUCAGUCACACAUUUUUGGACUGACCCUCGAAAUAAGAAAAAGGUUUCGCUCUGGUCCUUUGGCCACGAGGCCUUUAUUGGCUUCCACAGCUAAUAGGUGGUCCAGCGAAUGACCGCAGAGCCGUUGGAUAUGAUAAGGGACGCUAUUCUUCCAUAUCAGCUAACCUCACAAGUUUUCGGAGAACGGUUUGGUUUCGCCUCUUCUCUUUGUGUUUUUCCCCUUUCUGGGGUUCCUUUUUUCUCUCCCCUUUCUCUCAGCAUUGUGUAAUAUCAGCUCAUGCGAGCGAGCCAAUUGUGAGAAUUGCUUGUAAUUUUCUUGUUUUUCGUUUCUUUUCUUGGCAAAUGGAGCAACACCUAAAACUCCAAUCGCAUUUCAUUAAAUUGGGUAUCAUUCAUCCGGCCAAACCUACAACUUGAGGUGAGUUGUUUUCUUUCGUGACAAAAGCAGGAACACUAGCAUCUUACUAGUCAAAAGUUAAAAAGACUUUUAUCAAGAUACGAUAGUUGGAGCUAUAUAAUUCGUGAUAAAAUAUUGUGCUCUUCUAUUUCCUAUUGAUCGAGUGACAUGCAAAGACUAACAUAAUUUCUAAAAUAAAGGGUUUAUUGUUAUUAGCCCGUGAGAAGACCCAGGAAAAGGGCGAAACAAGAAUUGAAAACGUGUCGAAGAGGACAAAGGAAGAGCAAAUUCUUAUCUGGGUGCGGGGAAUCAUGACCAAAGGGGUUCUCAUCGUUGUCGUUAAUCGUUAAACGUGUCGUUAACGGCUCGAUCUCGGGUGCACGAAUCCGGAUCCAAGGCGAAAAGAGGGAAAGGGCCCCGUCCUGAGGAUGAUCGGGCGCGGGAGGAGGGAGGGAACCCGGUAAAAGCGGUAGGGUGGCGGGGCAGGGGAGUGCACCGGCAGACUACUCCUGUUCAAUUUCGAUUGGGUUUGUGAGGUUAAUAAUAAUUCAGACGCACACUCAUUAAUGCCACAUUCCAAGCCUAAAUGAACUGAAAAGGACGUGCUUCUGGAUGUCCUUAUCCUUUCUCGUUAUGUUGUUCUUCAUUUUGAAUUUGAAAUUAAGUGUCAUGACGUAGUUAAAAUUAUGGGUUUUAUUUUUCCCACGGGGAACACCAAAGAGGUUCAUGAGAAAAUGUAAUGAGAAUCUUCCAAUGGCCUGUGGAAUUGGAAAAAAUGUGAUGAGAUGAUUUGGUUAUCAAACGGUUGGGAUGAAUUCGUAGAGCGUUACUCUAUCUGCGAGGGACAAUUUUUGGUCUUCAAAUCUGAAGUGGACUCCAUUUUCCAUGUAAUCAUAUUUGAUAAAAGCAAGUCCAAGAUAGAAUAUCCACCAACAAAUGCCAAUGGUAGGAACCGACCCUCAGCAGUUGGGCAUUUGUCUGGUUGAAAGUGGAAGAUGCCGACGAUUUCCGUGAUGUUUCGGUCAAGCUUGAAGUCUAGGGGGAUGAAUUGCAUUCACCCAAGUGUCCUCGGCUUUGUAAGGCAAUGGAAUCUGAUCGGGUUUGCGAAGUUCAUGACGGUUCCUAUGCACACUCAUCAGCACAGAGUUUGCGAGGAGACGGAAGUUCGAACUACUUAUCAUGAGAUUUUCAAUCCAUUUGAUUGUGUUCUUGUGUUUGAUUCCAAUUCCGUAUUCCGUAUAGGAACUCUCCAUGUGAUUUGGCUAAGAGAGGGAGCGUUAAAGCUAACUCAUUCUUGUAGGGCCCAUUUGGUUCGGCUUUUGGAGAAUGCAUUUGCCAAAAUGCAAAUACCUUUGGGUGAAUAGGGUUUUCCGAAAUGCAAAUAUCGUUUGAUAAAAUUUGCAUUGAGAUAUAACUUUGGCCAAAAUACCGUUUGGUAAAAUUUGCAUCUGUAAAGGACUUUUAUUAAAUUAAAAAAAACAAAAAAAAAACAUUAGUAUUUUUUUUUUUGAAGUCUGGCCAUCGGAUUGCCGGAUCUGGCGGCCGGAUGGUCGGAUCUAGCGGCACGACCCCAGGCGACCUCAUGUGGCCGCUUGGGUCGCGCGACCCAGGCCAUCAAUCGCCUGGGUCACGCGACCCAGGCGUCGCCUGAGGUCUGGCAACGGUCACCGGGGUCGGGCGACCCUCAGGCGGCAGUCACUAGAGCCUCGUCGGCACGCGUGACCCCUUAGCUGAUGACCCGCCGGCCUCCGAUCAGCUUCUUCCGAUGGUGUGCGGUGGUUUUUGAGAAGAUGAACAAUACUGAACUUGCAUUCCAGAGAUGCAACUUCCCAAAAUACCUCCGGAGCUGCAUUAGACUAAAGGCCUUUAGAGCCACUUGGAGAUGCAAUUGCAUCUCGCCAAAGUCACUCAAAAAAACAAAUCAAACACAUUUGCAUUUGACCAAGGGACUUUAGAGUCCCAAAGGGCUUUCCAAAUGCCCAACCAAACAGGGCCGUAGUGUUUAUCUAUCUCUAGCUUUCCCAUGUGUGCAUAUGUAUGUUUUAGGGGAUCUCAUAAAUGUCAAGCCAAUGGAAACAAGCCGAAUGAGUCAUAUCGGAUUUGAUUGUGCUGAAAUUGACAUUGGUGUGCAUAUAGGCCUCGAAAGCUAGACUAUUAGAAAGACCCAGAUCCAUCAAAUUGGGGUUGAUGUGUCCGGAGAUAUGAAUUUCACAUAAUAAGAAUAGCAUAUGCCUAAGCUUUCUUCAUGUUCUAAUUUGUGACUGUUGCAGAUAAACUGAAACAACUGGGUUUGCGCAGAGUUGUCAAAUCAGCCAGCAAAAUUAAACCCGACCACAUUGCGGUGAGGUGAAUAUAUCUAAAGAAAAGCAAUGUGGUAUGAUCCUCAUGACAAUGACAACACUUGAAUUUAAAUCACAGAGUUGCUAGACUAUAUUAGCUCUAGAUUGAUUGUGCAUCAGGUCAUUAAUUUCUGUUUUUAUCCUUGACAUGCUUUGAAAAGGAUCCUCGUACUGUCUUGGUCAGAAAUCGUUGGUUGUCUUCUUCUUUCUGAUGACAAAACUGCAGAAAGUGCACUUGAGUAAAGAGUUCCCGGCCCAUUCCCAAAGAUGCACUUCAAGAAAAGCCUGUGGACUGUGGCUCUCAUAUAUCAGGACAAAUCAUGGCCGGUGAAGCGCAUUAGCCACGAACAUUAUGGAAAGUUAUCUGUUGGUUGGGCUACUUUCUCGAGAGAAACUUCUCUGAAGGAGGGAGGCUUGUGCAUGUUCAAGCUCUAUUAGAAGGGGCAACGUCGUGUUCAGAGUAUACAUCUUCAAGACCACUAGCCAGAGGUAGGUGAAAAAUCCUAUGCAAUAGGACACGGCAAAGGAAGCAUCACUUUAGCUCAGAAUUGCUUGGCUAAAAUCUGCUUCAAAUUUGACAAAUCAGAAAAAAGCAUGAGUUUUAUUCUAAUGAAUGGAAAGAUACCUUUAAUCGAUCCUAGUGUUACAGUCACCACGUGGGGAUGACCGAAUGAGUCAUGAGUCAUGAGACGGAGGAAGCUGAUUGCUUCUAGUACAAGUCACACAGCCUCAUUUCCUUACUCCUCCCAUAGUAGAUUUUCGUCGUCAUCGAACCACUCUCUAUAUUUCAAAACCCAAAAGGAAAUUUAUAUUCAUUUAAGCAAAGAGAGACAAUAAAACGAUGUAAAAGCCGUCCUUCAAGUCUAUAUUAAUCAAAAUAUCCAAUGCUCUCUAGUGAUUAAUACAUAGAUUCUAAUUAUAAUCGGACAUCUACCGAGCACAACCGAAAAAGAGUUCUAUAAGCUAGCAAUGACCUAAAAAAUAGUUCCACAAGAGGGCUCAACCUCCUCGACUUAUUAAAUGAAUCACGAGGCAAGGAAAAGAGAACUUGGGCAAUUAAUGGCAUUAAACGCAAUUAAUGCGAAUCAUGCAGAAAUUAUUAGAAGUAUAGUGAGUUGGGGCUUAGAUGGUGUUCCUUACUCAUGUCAAUUGGCAAUGAUAAAGAAAAGUAACUAACUUGUGUGAAAGUUAUCAAUCAUUUAAAAAUUUAGUGUCACUUUAAAACUUACAAAAUUUAUUAAUCAGAUAAAAAAAUUAAAAAAAAAAUGUACGAUUACAAAUUACUUUCAAUCUGCAGAGCGUUACUUACAAAUUUGAAAAACUCUUUUAUGCAUGUGACACUCCAAAUUCCAUAUGGAUUGGAAGAGGGAUAAUUGACCAAUAGAUAAGUGUGAACACAAACCACCACCGCUAGAUAUUCACCUCCUGAAAAACUUAUUUAGGGGCUUAGAUCAUAACAAAUCGGAUUGUUAAUAUUAGAAAAUUCCAUGCCUAACUUAUAGCUCGAACUUGCACAUUAAUUAAAGAUAUUUAACUUGGUAUUUGGCUCAAAUAAAAGUUGUACUCUACAAUGCUAACCUAAGAAAAGUAUAUAAUUCUCUCAAAUUAAGAUAGGUAAUUUCGCACAAAAAGUGUUAAGCGUGAUUGUGGUUGGUGGAGGAGAAAUACCUAUGUAGAUAAACCAAGAAAGCGAAUCUUUUUAAUACGAAAGUAAGUUAUACUAGCCAUUUAGCUUAAUUCUCCAAAAAAGUAUCAACUUUAUCUGGAGUAUUAAUUCAGGCAUAACCUUUUUUUUGUAACAAAAAAUCAUCAACUUCCAUGCCUAAAUCUGACUCCGAUUAGCUUUCCAUCAACUAAUGGUGUUAAAUGUUUGAUGCAUCAAUUUCACGUCAUUAUCUUUUUCCAAGUCAGAAUUCAUAUAUAUAUGCUGUCUUCUUUUUUCUUUAUUUCUUUUUUCCAUUUCCCUUUUUCUUUCUUCUUCUUCUUCCUUUCACUGGACGAUAACCUGACCACCGUGAGUCAGCCGUACGAUCCAAUCAACGGCCCAGCCCUCCGUCCACCACCACCUCGCCACCUUCCACAACCCCAGCCGUAUUCCUGUUUUUCCCAGCCUCUCGCCACAUAUCUCCACCACCACCGCCUCUACUCUUGGCCGAUGACCCCUGGCUUCCGAUGUCCAGUAGCCUGGCCGUGGCUUGUCCUCGCUGUCGUCGAGCUCGAGCUCGGCCGGCGCUCUCGAGCCUCAAAUUUUGGAUCUAAGCUCAAGCGAGCCCUAGAUUCGAGAUAGGGGGUCAGCUGGACCUCGGACUUGGGUUGAUUAAGGUCGAGCGGGGUCGACGGCAAUCACAACUAGAUUUUUGGAGGUUAAUAUCCGUUCGUCCAUGGCUUUUCAAUCCAAGUCUGUGCAUGUUGAUUAAUUGAAAAUGAGUGAAUCAGCAGAAAGUUUAGAUUUUUUUUGUUCAGAAUAAGAUCACGACCAGUUUCAUUUAAAAUAUAUGCAAUAAAAUAAAAUAAAAUAAAAUAAAAUAAAAUAAAAUGCAAUGACAGAAGAGAAGCAUUGUACAGUUAGUCACUUUGCCUUCAAGAAGCUGAAAAAAAAAGUUGGAAAUGGGCUCUGGAAUACAGAUUUAGCUCAUUCCACUGAAGAGUACAAAGAAAUGUGUGCAGAUGGAGUAGAAGGUCGCCGAGGUAGGAGGUCUGGAUGCUGGGGUUCCAUCCACGGUUGCCGCCGACAAAUGUGGUCGGUGACGGUGGCAGAGGCCGGAGACACUAUGGCGGCUGCAAGGAGGAAGUGGAGGAUGACAGGGUGGGAUGAUGGUGGCCAUGGACGGACAACCUUUAGGUAGCGAAAGGAAGAAGGAAGAUUAUAAAAAGAAUAAGAAAAGGAAAAGCUACAUAUAAUUCUGAUUUGGGAAAAAAGAAUGAGUGGAAUUGACAAAUGAGACGUUUGAGGUUGAUGAUGCUCUUUGGACGGACAAAAAGUUAACAGAGGUCAGAUUUGGAUAUGAAGUCAAAGUUGGUGAUUGUUUAUGAGAUACUAAAGAAAAAAUAUUUGGGGCCAGAAUUGAGAUUUGAACCUAAAUUGGUGCAAUUUUGAGGAAUUAAGCCCUUGCUAUUUUUUUUUUUUUGGACAAUAAGCCCUUGCUAUUUAGAAUCAUCGUUUUCGACUAUGUUUUAAAAAUGGUAGUGUCUAUAACAUGAUAACAACAUGAACAGUAAUAAGCAAGAGAAUGAAUUAGGGCAUAUUUAUUUUCGCGGCAGAAAAUGCUGCAGGCAGAGUCUUUCUAUUGAAGAGAUGAUCCUGCCCCCACGGACGAGGACACUUAACACCUACAAAACACAAACGGGGCGAGGGAGUUUCUAUUGGUGGGUUCCAUCAUCAUUAUAUUUAUCUAUGUGAUGUAGAUGUUUCCGUAAUGGGUUCUCCAUUCUUUUCAUUUUCUUGAGUUUAAGCUUCCAUCACUUAUCUGAAAAUGGAGAAGCUGGACUCAAAAAAAUUUUGAACUACUACCAAAUAAAAAAUUGUUGGAUGAUAAUUAAUAAUGUUUCAUUACUUUAAUAGUUUUGAUGGCUUAAAUCUAUUACCAAAAAAGUCAUAAACUUAUUUUUUUGACUAAUUGAGUCCUAAACCUUUUACAAUUAUUUCCGAUCAGUCCAUUCGGUCAAAAUUGGGUAGUCGGCACUGAUGUGGCUGUGACACCCCUCGACGGCCCCCGAUCCGAUUAGGGUCGUCACAGUUCGCUUACCAUUCACUUUCCUUAUUAACAUAUCACUCUGAUACCAUUUCAAUUGUAGCGGGUCCAUACAACCGUGGGGGUUUACACACAUUUUUUUUUUUGAUAGGUCCCUUGCGCAAUUCAUAUACGGAAGCACAUCUAGCAAACUCCCUUCCUUAUAUUUAGAAAACUAUGCACACCUACUAAACAUCUUAUAUAAGUUAAAGCCGUACACUUUUAUUUACAUAAAGCAGAUGGACAUCUUUAGUCGGUACAUCAAAAUGCCGUAGUUUUCUAUACUCGGCUACACUUCAAAAGAUGACCGACAUCUCCUCCCACAAUCGCAUGCUUAAGGUCCAUCAUCCAGUGUCGGCGUCCAAAGGUUCCCUCCUUUGCUAUCCUUCUCCUCGCGGUCAUAUCCAACCGCUCAAACCAUCUACUAAUCUGAAAUGUUGGUCCCCAAAAGGGGUGAGUACUACCACUCAGCAGAUAAGGAAUCCAAUAACAACUCAAUGCAUCAUGCAAAUCAUACAUGCAUUGCAGGCGUAACUUACCUUGCAGCCAUGCGUAAUACUAUCAUGCAUCAUCAUGCCUUAUCAUCAUGCAUAUCAUAUCAUCAUAUGUCAUCAUCAUAAUCAUCAUCAUGGCAUCAUUAUAUCAUACAUGUCAUCCUUAUCAUGACAUCAUCACAUCACAUAUUAUCAUCAUCAUCAUGCAUAUCAUCAUGCANNNNNNNNNNNNNNNNNNNNNNNNNNNNNNNNNNNNNNNNNNNNNNNNNNNNNNNNNNNNNNNNNNNNNNNNNNNNNNNNNNNNNNNNNNNNNNNNNNNNCAUCACAUAUCAUCACCAUCAUCAUGCAUAUCAUCAUGCAUAUCAUACCAUGGGUGAUCAUUAUAUCACAUCACAUAUCAUCACCAUCAUCAUGCAUAUCAUCAUGCAUAUCAUACCAUGGUUUAAUUUUCAUCUUUAUCUUUCAAUUUUGAUCACCACAUCACCCAUUCAUCAAUCUCAUCAUCAAUUUCAUCCCAUAUUUUACCCUCGCAUCCCAUGCGAGAAAAACCUCCGGGCAUGUAUCCAAGAUACAACCGGGCAUCCGGCCCCCCACAUUCCGGGCAUCUCGCAUCCCAACUAGCAUCACGAGGAACCUCCAGGCAUGUAUCCAAGAUACAACCGGACAUCUGGCCUUUACCCUUCUAGCCAGGCAUCCCGCACCCCAAUCCUGGUGUCGCGAGGAACCUCCGGGCAUGUAUCCAAGAUACAACCGGACUUCCGGCCCCCCACAUUCCAUGCAUCCUGAAUCUCCCAGGGAAUCUCUGGAAUUACGCCACCAGGCCACCAGACAUCAUCAUCCACCACAACCACAUCCUCAUUUACCAUCAUCCACAUAUACCAUUUCUUUAUCUCAAUUUAACAUGGCAAUUGGCAUGGUAUCAAACAAAUCACACUUGACAUGGAAUUCACACUUGCAUCUCAAUUCAUAUGUCAUACACAUGCCAAAACUUUAUCCCAUACACAUCUCAAUUCAAUACAUGUACAAGGACCAUGUCAUACGCAUACCAAGACUUUAUUACAUAUACAUCUCAAUCCAAUACAUGUGCAAAGACCUCAUCACACAUAUGCCACACAAAUAGAAUUGAAUCCAUGGCCAAAUAAAAAUCCAUUUUAUUUUAUUAUUAUUUUAUUUAUUUAUUUUCAUAAAUAAAUAUUAAAUUUAAUAUCUAUGAUUUUCCCAAAAUCAUAGUAUUCAAACAAUCACUAAACAAAUCAAUAGGAUCACAAUUUCAUACAAAAUUCAUAGCCAAAUUGAAUUUCUCAUAAUUUCACAAUUUCCACAAAAUAGCACAUGAUAUUCGGAUAAUGACCAGAAUUGCACAGUUUUCAAAUAAAUUAGAUUAAAAUACUCAUAUGGCCUUCAAAAAUUACGAAAUUUUACAGGGUGAUAGCCAAGACAUUUUCGUGCAACUUUCAUGAAGAACUCUAAGUCAGAUUAUUUUUAUAUUAAUUUAUACAUCCUCACGAAACUUCUGGAACCACUACCGCAUCGUCCAGAAUACACAUCUCCGAAAUAUUAAGGUUUCACCCAUCUAUUCUCUUUCUUUUCCUCUGAAAUUUGAGUAUGUUAUGUAUCAAGGUGUCCUUUACAAGUUUCAUGAAGAGAUCUAGGUCACAUAACCAAAUUAUGGUCACCAUUUAAGUCCAUCAAGUCUCGGGUGUCUCGGAACACAUCACCAGAAUCAUCGUCUCCAAGAUCUAGCCGAUUCACCAAGCUAUACUUGUUCUUUUUGCUUCAAAUUUGAGUAUGUUGUAUUUUAAGGUGUUACCUUCAACUUUCAAGAAGACAACAAAGUGAGAUCUCCAACAGAAAUCAACAUGCAAAUCAAGAAAUCAACAAGAGGUCAGUGAAAAUUUCGCAGAUCUAAAGUCUCCGUACAAUAUAACUUUUGACCCCUCAAAUAUCCAUCGUUUUCUACGAAUUUUUAGUAUGUCAUAGUACAAGACGUUAGCUUCAACUCUCAUGAAGACACCGAAGCCAAAAUCGAACCCCAAACUCACAUGAAACUCGAACAAGCUACUGACUUCAACAAACCGAACAAGAACAGUCACACGGUUUACAAAUAACCAACUCUUACCUCGGUUUUUCGCACAAAUCACACCUAAAAUCUAACAUGCAACCACCACAACAAACAUGCAAGAGAAGUUACGGACUCCACUUGCCUUAAAGGUGAACAAGCAACGACGAACGGCGACGGGACACGGCGAUCGGACGGCGAACGGACGGCACACCCCUCCGGCUCCGCCUCCUCUCCUCUCGGUUUCUCCCUUUCUCUCAAGCUCUCUCUCUCGCACACCCUCUCUUUGGACGAAAAGCAAAGAACCGGCCAUCUCUCUCUCCUCAUCCCUUUUAUAUCCCCUUAAUCCCAUGAUUAGCAAUGAUUACUUUGCCUACAAACCCACCAAUGCAUGCCAUUCCUUCAUGCCACUUGUCACACUAAUUUUGAAUUGAUUUGGGCUUGGGCUUAGGCCCAUCCGGCCACUCCCUUGGGCUGGUCGAAAUCCUCCUCUUCUUGGGCUCUAAUGGGCCGACAAGCUUGGCCCACCAAGCUUUAGGCUAAUGGGUCCAAGGCCCAUUCCAAUUUAACCUAUUUUUCCCUUCUUUUUUUUUUUUUGAAUUCCUUUCUAUAAAUAUUUCCAAAUUCAAAUUUCAUCUUGGCCAAAGUCUUGGGACACUUUGUUUAUUAAGAUUUAAAUUUAAAAUCUCAUGGCCAAUUAUUAAUCUAUAAAUUUAAAUACACAAAUCAUCAAAUUAAAAGUCAAAUUGGCUAAGGCAUAAGCCAAAAGAAAUUCUAUCACCUAAUUAGGAACUUCAACUCACCUUAUGGCUUGUCAUUAAAUUUGGGAUGCCACAGUGGCAGCCGGUCAGCGCUAAGUCUGGUGAGGGGAGCCCUGCCGGAUCUGGUGAGGGAGGCUCGUCGUCGCAUUUGGCGAGGCCCUCCUCACCGGAUCUGGCGAGGUCUCGCCUCGCCCGACGACCGUGAGGCAAGCCCUCACCAAAUCCGGUGAGGGGGCUUGCCCUCGCCAGAUCCGACGGGGGCUUGCCCUACCGUCGCUAGGCGUGAGCUUGCUGACUAGCAAGGCAAGCUCGCCGGAUUGCCUUAGUCUAGUGACCAGCCAACUUGGCCAAUCACUAGAGCCAAAGGAAGGAGGAGGGAGGAGGGAGGAAGAGGGAGAAGGGGAAAAAAAAAACAAAAGAGGAAAAAGGAAAAAGAAAAGAUAAAAAAUUAAUAAAAUAUUUCAAAAAAAAAAAUAUUAUUAAGAAAAGCUCGCUGGCAUUGGCCAAUCAAUUUUAGCAGGAUGGACUAAUCGGAAUAAUUGUAAAAGGUUUAAAACUCAAUUGGUCAAAAAAAUAAGUUAUGACUAAACUAGCACAAUUGCAAUAGGUUUAUGACUUUUUUUAGUAAUUUUCCUCUUAUUUAUCAUAAAUUCUAUUUCUUUGCAAUCAAGAUUAUCUGCGAAGAAUGAUGGAUUGAUGAGAUUUGUGGUUAUGAAGGGUAUUCGCCUACAAAAUUUCUUUCCUUGAACUAAAAGGAGGGUCUGAUCCCUCCGUGCAUAGAGAAAGGUAGAUUUGUGCCCUUGAAUCCAGCGAGGCUUAGUUUUGCUUAUCAUUUUUGUAAAUCCAAUGAGAUUUUGUUAUAUAUAUGGGGUUGCAGAGGAGGUGAUUGAAUAUAUGCAUGAUCAAGUGGCAUAGAUCAUUGUUUACUUAUUUAUCCAUAAAAUCUCACACACACUAAUCGUUUAUCGAACAACAUGCAUGGCAGACUAGAUCAGGCUUUCUGUUGCAUAAUUAUUUCCUAAUUCUCUCCGCUUGACUUUAGACCUAGCAGGAGGGCUUGAGAGAAUGUGAGUGUAUUCAUGCUUAUAAUCAAGUUUACUUAACACGAAUUCAUUGGCUUGAUGGGAUUAUUUGUAUAAGUGUAGUUACUUUAUGGAGAAGCUUGAGUUAUAUAUUAGAGAAGUAUCCGCAUUGUCUACGUGAAAAAUUUUCGAGGCUCCUUCCGUCGUAGCACUAAAUAUCUAAAGUCCAUAUGAAAACAGAAAUCUACUAUAGAAAAAGAUAUCUGCCUCUUUCUACUAGGCUUAAGCUCGUGUCCGGUUUCAUACAUCGGUCCAAAGCCCAAGCACCAAAUGGGUCCGUAGGGUCUAGCCCUCAACAUAAGCUAAGGUGAGCUCGUUCCUAAAACAUCCUAUCUUCUGGUCAUUAUUUGACGAUUUAAAGCCCAAAGGAGCAAUUAAUCCAAAAGGAAGACUUUCCCUGCUUGAGGAGCGAAGCUUCCCGCAUCUCGUAUGCUCUGAAUUUGAUUAUGCUUAUCAUUGUUUGUUGGGUGUAAAAUUUCCUUUCCAGAAAUUAUACUUUACGACACAAAUUAUUAUGCACCAACUCCACGUACAGAAUCAAUUGGAGAAUACAUAUCUACAAAAUUAUACAAUAACAGCUUUUCUCUAAGAUUGAAACACAACACUCUAAUAGCUAGAAAGGACUUCUCCUUGUUUCAAGAAUUAGAUUUGCAACGUUCUCUAGAAAAAAAUACAUAAAUAAUGUGGCCACGUAGGCUCCACCUGAGCUGAUAUUAUGCACUACUGACUAAAUAGAUUACUCAAAUGAGAAUAUUUUUACAUGCACUAAUUCCAAAAAAUCUUGACUAGACCUUAGAAUUUAGAUUGAGGGCAUGUAAAUCGCAAAAUAUGAUGAGUAUUAUAGGAUCAACGGCUGUGAUUCAUCUGAUGAGUCCGUGUAAGUAUUUGUCAUUCCAAGCAGGGAGGACGGACAAUAUUGUGAUCUUACAUGGGGAUUCUGGAAAAGGAAAAAGCGACACGACUGCAUUUUCAAAAAGCAAGAGAGGCUAAGGAUAACUAAGGAUGAAAGUAAAGUAGUGGGGACCAUAACUAUUUGGCAUUGCCUCAAAAAGGUCAAGAGAUCCAUCAAUUAGAUUGGGUUUUGGUGGAUUAUGAGUUGAUUCUAGUGCUUUGAAGCAGUGUGAAUUGGAUUCCAAAUAGAAAGCAAAAGAGGUGGAAAAAAGCAUACGUUGGUUAAAUUGAACAUCGACACCUCAUUCCAUCACUCAUCACUUUUGGAACUUGUGCCUAUGUAAGCUAUUUUGCUUUUUCUUAAAGUAUUAGACACAACAUGACCGCUUUAGCGUCCACAUUGGAACUAGCCAUCUUCUUUAAGAUUAGGAUAUCCAUUAAAAAUGACCAUGAACCUACUUUAAAGAUUCACCCACAUAAAGUCACAAUCCCUUUAUCAACUAAAAUUAAUUUUUUGAAAUUCUUUACCAUGGAGACUACGGGAGUCCGGAGCAAAAGUAAGUGACAAUGGAUGUCGACAUCGAACUUUUUCUAGUGGAAAAUAAAGCAUGCUUUUUUCUUUAUUUUUUGGGUACAGUAUUGCCGAAGGGAUAAGGCAGGUUCGUCAAAUGUAUGGCGCUUGGUCAAUUAGCUAUCCCAAGGUGGAUGUCUCCGUCGCUAAGAUUUGCAAAGCCUCAUUGAUAAUGACUCAAAUGGGCAUAGCUAAGACAGUGAACAGUCGAAAAUUAUUUGGUUACCCACGAACUUUUUAGAUGGUUGUACAAUUCCAUAUUAAAAUUAGAGUGUAAAUGUGACUUCUAUUGGUAAGGUAAGGUUUUAAAGAUUAUGGCAUUUUCACUUAAAUAAGUAUGAAAGCAGAGUACGAAGAUAAAGAGGAUGUUUCAUCUUUCAAUUGAAAAUUAAAACUGUCCAAGCACUAGAAAUCUGACCUUCAACAAGUCAGAGUACCACGGCUGGAAACAACUUAAUCCAGAAAUCGCGCAUCAUGGGGACCUCCAAAAGAAGGAAAAAAAGCACGUUAGAAACAAUUGGUGAAAGCGAAUGAUGAACCGACCGAACAACCUCUACAUAUAUGCAUAUAUUUCCAAAGAAUAACCCCGCAUGAAACAAGAAUCAUUUUCCCAGCUAGAACUAGGGAUGGCAAACAAAUAGAGAAGAUUGUGGAGCAGAUAAGAAAGCUCACAAUGAUUUUUCUUUAUGUGAGGAUUGUAGAAUCGAUAUUUCAUGGGAUUUUAAAUAGACGUGUCUACACGUGCAUACCCCUAAAUUACCAACAAAAAAAAAUGCUUACUUUAGGAAAAUGCUAACUAAAUUUGGUAACUUUUUUAUAUACACUUAUUCCUCAGAAACUAGUAGCUAUUAUGCAAAAGGUCCAUAUGACCUUAAUUUCAAAGAGAAUGUCCCACAUGACUUUAAUUAGUCAUAACAAUUUUCUUUUGUUAAUUAUUAGUCAUAAUUUUUUUCAUGUAGUCAUAAUAAAUAUAAGGAUUUAUGAAUAACAUGACAUCAUAAUUUAACAAUUAUGCUUGGCAAACGAGGUUAAACGACUUCAAUUUUUACUUAUGAAGUGAAUUUCUUCUUCUUUUCUCACUUAUAGGGAUGAUUAUGAGGGGCUCUCUUUCAACAAAUCUGUGAAAAAUUGAAGGACGAUUCAUGAAAAGUCAAAACUUAUUUUCAACUAAUGCUCAACAUUAGCUGGGUAGAGGGCUCCAAGUUGGCUCAAGUUAUAUAUGUCAAUAAAUAGAAUCUCAUCAAAAAUUGCCAUUCAAUAUAUAAAUCAAUAACACGGCCAUUUUACAUUUUAGAGCUAUUUCGAUUUGCAUACCAAUUCAAAAGUAAAACCUCAAUUUUUUUCCCAUUCAAUUAGCUUGAUUAUAAUGUUACUUCUCUAUUUUUUAAUAUGAUUUCAUGCCAACACGAGGAGUGGGCUUAGGAAUAGUACCUAAUCAAUCUCUUUGCCUUCUUUGUCCCUAAUCAUUCUUGCUUUGUUUCGCUCUUCCGUUAUUCUCUCUGUCUCUUUGUUUUUGUUUUUGUUUUUUUUUUUUUCUGGGUUCUUCUCCACUAAAAAAGAAAAUCAAAAAGAAAAAUGUAAAAUCGAUGAUACUGUUGAGGAAAAUGGGAAACAUCACAUUAAAUUCAUCUCAAGAAGUAAAAUUAUUGAUAUAAAGGUCUAAUUUGUGGUUAAAGAGCAAGAGCAAAAAAAAAAAAACACAUUAGAAAAAUCUCAUUUAUAUCAUCAUAGUAGGAGGUCCUUAGCAAGACCUUAAAAGGCUAUGACAUUCGGGAAAGACUGCAUAGAAGCGGGGAUCUAGGCCUCGAAAAACAUUCUAGCCCCAUUGCCAGACCCGGCCAUAACCCCUAUGGGGGUAGGGCUGGCAACUCUGAUCCCCGCGAUGCCUUCCCCUCUGAAACACGGAGGCAUGGUAUAGGGAAAUGAGGGGUCUCCCCUGAAAGGGGGAGGCGCCGGCCGGAAACAUCUCCCCUUUUCGGAGGGAGACCCAUCAUUUUCCUGCACCACGCCCCCAUGUUUCAAGGGGAAGGCGUCGCAGGAAUCAGGGCUGCCAGCCCACUCCCGAAGGGGUUGUAGCUGGGUCUGGCAAUGGGGCAAGUAUAUUUAUCAAGGCCUUGAUUCCAGCCUCUAUCCAGUCUUUUCUGGAUGUUAUAGCCUUUUAAAGUCUUGCUAAGGACCUAUGAGCAAGAGCAAAAAAAAAACAUUAGAAAAAUCUCAUUUAUAUCAUCAAAUGAUAAUUUUUUGAUGAUGUUCUACUUGGAAUAUGAGUGCAUCAACCUCGAACAAUCCACGUCUCUGCUGGCUCCAUCAAUUUGUCUUCUUGACUCCUUUGAAGUCAUGAUGUUGUUUUUUCUUGGAUUGCUACAAAAUUUAACAGUUAAUACUUUUGACAUUUCACACAUAAUCAAUGAUGAUAUGGACAUCCAUCUUCAAUCUUCCAUUGCUGCUUUAUUGCACCGAAAGGUGAAAUUCCCAAGACUAAAAGAGAGAGAUUCCUCUGGUGGGCCUUCCGUUCCACCGAAACCCUUGAAAAAUAGUCAGGAGGAUCUUCUAAAGUCGUUGUGAUGAUUUGGUGUAUACAUGCAUAUUCACACACAUUGCGCGAGGCUAUUCCCGCUCCCAAUUUAGCUUAAAAUCACGUCCUUUUAAGAAAAUUCAAUUAUUGAUAGACCUGCCUUUUAUUUAAAAAUAAACAAAUAUGCCUCUUCCAAUUUCUCUCUCAUCGAUUGUCUGGUCUAUUUUCUUAUUUACUACAGACAGUUGAUAAGAGUUUAUGGUUUCAAUCUUGUCAUCUACUCCUUUGAUUUCAAAGUUUUUUUCAUGUAAGAAUUUACCUAAAAAACGUCUUCAACCUAUGAAUCAUGCAAAAAAAAAAAAAAAAAGAGGCUGAUUUAUUUAAAAGAUUGGAGCAUAAGCACGUUUCGAAAUAUCAAAUUACACGUAUGCUUUCAUCGAGCUUUAGCCAUAAUUUUUUCAAUUUAUUAUGACCAAAUCUUCAAUUCUUCGAUCUAUCAUGUUCAAACUUUCAUUAUUUUGUAGAAGAGAAUAUUUCAACAAGUUAAUUUGGUAUAUUUUAUUUACGAACUUAUAAGUUAGUGACUAAUUGGUCAUAGACAAGGAUUUUGAGACAUUUAAAGUUAUUUUUCUUAUUGAUAAUUGGUUUUUCUGAAUUUAUCAUGCUAGUAAAUUUGGGAGAUCAUUGAGUGAGAGUUUCAUUUUGAGCAAUCUCAAUUUUUUUCACACUGCAUCUCUAGAGUUAUUUCAAAGUGGUGGUGCGGCCGUUUGAUAUGAAGAGAUUCAUGGAAAGGUCCCAAGCUUAAUUCAUUAGGAGCAUGUUUUCAAAUUGAAAAGCUUGCCUCGUAUUUUUAGUUUGUUUUUGAGUUUUGAUUUUGUUUGCUUUAUUCCUUAUACCUGUAGCUAGGACUUGAGAUUAUAUUACAUACCCCAUGAAUAGUUCAAGAGCAUAAAUUUUGAUAGUUUAAGAUUGAUGUCUUUCAGAUUUUGCACCGUAUUAUAUAGUUAAGGUUGCUGAUUAUAAUUCUUGAAACUAACAAAUUGUCGAGUGCUGUGAAAUAUACAUACAUACAUAUAUAUAUAUAUGUAUUGUGUGUUCUCUCAUUCUGUGUACUUGUAUUAUGGUCUUUCAUAUCCAUACGUUGCUUGUUAAAAUAUGCAUGCGGGCAAACAAUUCUCUUUACAUUCUUCAAGGAAUAUAUUCAGGGAAUAAUCAAAUCACAACUCUUAGACAUUUAGACAAAUUGUGCAUAGUGAAGUUGAAGAUCCAUCACAUCUUGUUGAAAAAUGAUGACUAAAUUACAUUUACCUUGUUCCUUGCCAAGAUCGAAUUGCAAUCACAAGAAUUUGGUGGUGUUACUUGUAGUUUGAUAAGCCAUGUUUUUGCUCACAUUGUGUUGUUUUUAAUUGGUAGUUAAAUCACGUCUUUUACAAAUGACAAGUAAUUGAAAUUAUGAGUUCCUACGAAUGAUAAGCAUUACGUGACGAAUGAUUUGAUGAUAGCAUUCGGGGCUCUUAGGUUAAACUUUUGUUUUCUAUUACAAUUUGAUUAAAAUUAUUAUUUUAAAGAAAGCAGCCAUGGAUUCUUACUGGAAUCCCAAUCCCCAUGAUUGAACCAUGCAGUCAAAAAUGGGGUCCAUAUGCCAUUAGAAGAAAGCUAUGCACGUUGCUCAUGCUUGCCUGUGGUCAUUCACUCGUGAAAGGGUUAAUAGUAAGAGAGUGAAUAAAACAGCCAAGAAUUUGCAAUAAUUUGACUAGACAUAAAAUAGUGGGAUGUCCUAUCUCCCCCUUGAGUCUACCUUAGUAUUAAUAUUACAAAAGCAUUGAUUAUUCGUCAAUGGCUUAGUAUAAGGAGCAUCAAACUCCCAAAACUUUUCUUACAAAUCUUAGUUAUUAUUAUUAUUAUUUUUUAAAUCAUAACAUUCAAAUAAUUGAAAAAAAAAAGUUAUGACACUCAAGUUUAUGUUUUUUAGAAGCCAUGGUACUCAAAUAAUUGAAAAAAAAAUGUGACCACUUUACAAAAGUCAUGACACUUCCGGUGUUUUUUAGCUAUUCUUUUUAGGAUUUUCGUCCUAUCGUUUUCUCAAUCUUUCUUUCUCAAAAGAAAAACAUUAACAGAUGCUGCCAUCGAGAAAAAUUCGAAAAAUCACAUUAAACUCAUAUCAAGAAGUAAUUGUUGAUUAAAGGGUCUAAGUUAUGGUUAAAAGAGCAAGGACAAAAGACAUUAGAAAAUUUCCAACCAUAUCAUCAUAUGGUAAUUUUUUACAACGUUCUACUUGGACUAUGAGUGCAUCAACCACGGACUAUCCACUUCUCUAGUGGCUCCAUCAAUUAAUCUUUCGACUCCUCUCUAAAGGGAAAGCCAUGAUGGCUUUUUCUUGGAAUGCUACAAAAUUUAAUUGUAAAUACUUUUUGGCCUUCGACGCAUAAUCAAUGAUGAUAUUGAUAUGCAUCUCCUAUCUUCCGCUGACAAUUGCUUCCUUGAACCGAAAGGUAAAAUUAUCAAGACUAAAGCAACAAGAUUCCUCUGGUUGACAAAUAGCUGUUGGGAUGAUUGGUGUGCACACACAUAUUUGGUGGAGCUAAUUAUGCACCCAUUUUACACGUGAUACUUUGCUAGGGUCAUUCCAAAUUUGUCUCUACGUAAUAUUUCCUUAAGAGAACCCAAGGACAAAAUGCUAGAAUAGCCAACCUCUUAUAUUUCCCCUUAUUUCACAUUUUUAGCUUGCCAUCACCUUUCUUUUGUCUCCUUAAUUUUUCCGUUUUCACAUGUAGUAUCUCUCUGUUGGAAAGAGCUUUGAAUUUGAUUAUGCUUGUCACUGUGUAUUUUGGGUGUAAAAUUUCUUUUUUGAGAAAUUAUACUUUUGAUACAAAAUUAUUCACUAAUUCACGUACAAAAUAAACAUGAGAGUCGAUAUCUAUAUAAUUAUGCAAUAACAGUCUCUUCUCUAUGCCCUGCCUCUAAGGUUGACACAUAGAAUUCUAAAUAGCUAGAAAAGACUUCUCCUUAUUUUAAGAACUGGAUUCUCAACGUUCUCCAUUAAAAAAAUGUGCCCACUUAGACUCCACCUAGGCUAAUAUUUUGCAUUACUAACUAGAUAGAUUAUUCAUAUAUCAUGAUGUACUUAUAGGCACUAAUUCCUUAUUAGCUACGUGAGUUAUACUCAAUCUAAUUACAAGGAGAUUGUCUCUCAUGACUUUAAAUUGUUUCUAUUUAGUCAAAAUGUUUUCAAACGGUCAUAAUUCAUAUAUGGGAUUAGGGGUAAAUUGACAUAUCCAACACAACAAUUUUUUAUGGGCAAGUUUGUCAUGUGAAACUAAUUAAGAGAAUUUCAACCAGCUUAAUAUUCAAAACAGAUCAGAGACCAAUAUUAUGCCUAUCUAUCAUAUGUCACUAUUAUUUUUAACGUUAUACUUAGCAUCUCUAUCUUGCACUUAUUGAAUAUUACUAUAUGAUAAUUUUAUGCUAACUUUGUCAUUUUCUUAAGAAAGGGUUCGGAAUAGAAAAUACACUACUCUUUACUAUAUAAAUUAUGCUUACAUAGCCCCAGAAUUGGAGCAAUUGGUUGGGUCAUUAGGGAUUUCCAACUUAGGAACUAGGGAUCGCUAGUUCGAAUCCCACAAACUACAUGCAAACUACUUUGGGUUGUAGUCACCUAAAUAGACCAAAGAUUUGAGUUUAACCGGUUCAUGGAAUUGGCAUGAUAUUUCAUGAGCUUCUAGGUAAAUGGCUCUCCACACUCCUACCCCUAUAUUACACACGCGUGUGCACACACAGAUUCACUUUAGGAGAAUGCUAACUUUACAUGGUAUGGCACUUACUUUAGGAGAAUGCUAAUUUUACAUGGGAUUUUUUAUAUGCACUUAUUCCUCAUAAACUAGGUAAUCAUUAUGCAUAAGAUCUAUGUCAACUUAAUUGCAAGGAGAACAUUCCUCAUGACUUUGAGGAAUAUUACCCAUCGAUCCUAAACAUAUUGUACAAAUGCCAAUUUAGUUCUAAACUUUUCGAUUUUACCAAUUUAGAGAUAAACAUUUGCACAAAAUUCCAAUAUAGUCCUUUUGGCCAAUUUCUGUUGUUGAAAUGGUUGUGUUACUUAGAAUUGUCAGUGAUUACUGGACUGCCAAAUCAAUAAUUUCAGGCAAAAAUUCAUCAAAAGGGUUUUCUUGGAAUUUUCCGUAAAUGUGUAAAACUAAAUUGACAAAAAAAAAAUUGAAAUGAUUUAAACUGAAUUAGCAUAUGUAUAAUAGAUUUUGGGACUGCUUAGAUAAUUUUCCCCAUGACUUUAAUUAGUCAUAAUAUUUUUUUUUAUAAAUUAGUCAUAACCUCCUUAAAUAGGCAAUACAAAUAUAAGGUUUAUGAGGUAAUUUGAUAUUCUAAUCUAACAAUUAUGGGUGAGUUUGAGAAAAGGAGCGAGGAUGUUAAGCAGCCACCCGGUGUUCCGGUUGAGCAAGCCAGCGAAGAAGACGCGUGAGUUUACUUUUUGCUUUUGUCCGAGUAUACGAGUAGUUAAAGAAAAUCAAUGUCGGAAUGCACUCAUUCGAGGAGCUAUGCGUAAUGACUCAGCAAGUUGCAUAUAAAGGAAACGCCUUCAUAGUUAGUGAUAUAUCCCCUUUCAACGAGAUUCACGUGGCACUCGGCAUAACAAUUUGUCAUUGUCCGAUAUGAUUGUCAUGAAAUGGGAAUACGCAAGAGUGAUUUUGAAAAAAUUCCACGAGUUCCAUAGUCACUUUGGUCGACAUCUAGUUCUAUUUGCUUACGCUUAAAUAUAUAUAUAAAAAAAAAAUUCUGCAUUUUGCUCUCCCUUGAGAAAAUUAAAAAUGGGGAAAAAUAGGUUUCAUAAAUUAUGAAAAACCAUAUAAUAACUCUACUUGUAAAUAAAUGUAUAUUUUUGAAAAUUUUAAAAAUCAACAUUUUAAAAAUAAAUUUGAAAAGGAAAAGCUCCAGACAGAACCAAACAUUUGGGAAGAAAAAAAAAGAAAAGAGGGUUUUUUUUUGGGGAGGUGGGGGGGAUGCCGGAGACUUCAAUAUGAAUGAGAGCCCACGGAGCAAAGUUAAUCCUGGCUGGCAAUAAUUUUGCAUGUUGAUUUUGUCAUGUAAAGAGUAGCAAUGGUCGCUAUGAUUUUGCGUUUUAAUAUUAUCAUCUAAAGAGUAGUAGUGUUCAAGAUAGUAAAUUAGUUUAAAAUGUUAAGAGGAUAGCAAAAAUUUAAUUUCCUCAGAAGUUCUAAUCUAACAAUUACAACUGCAGUUAUAUCUAACCUAACAAUCAUAAUUGGCUUUAUAAUCUAACAAUCAGCCUAAUUAUUAUGUUAAUUCUAAAUUUUUAACGUGAUUUCAUGGACCAGCACAAUGAGCUGGGAAGCACUAUUACCUAACCAAUGUUUGCCCAUUGGACGUGGAGGAAAAACUAGAUGCUUAAAUUAUGUUUGUCGAAAGCGGUGAAGGAAAGGAUGGAUAUCUAAUCAAUGUUUGUCCAUUGGCAUUGGAGGAAAGGAUGGUGAUUUCGACAUUGGUGUUGGUGACCUGCUCCAUGUAUUAAUAGAUUAUUUAUUAGAUUACCAUCAUUGUCUUGAUUGACGCGACCGACAACAAUCGUUUUUAAGUUUUUUUUACUUUUGGCCGGUGGAGGCUCUAAGGACUUGGAACCCUUUGCUCCCAACUUUUUAGCUUCCGAAGGAAUUGAGUGGAGUUUAUUAAAAGUCUUAACUGAGGUUAGAUUACCGAGAUCCAUAGUCCAUACACAUCCCAUCUUUCUUCCUCGUGAUUUGGGCCUUUGUUAAGAUUUUAAAUCAUUGGAACACUAGUAGUAACAUCUCAAUCGGUGUUGAUCAAAUAUUCCAGCAAAAAGUUACCAUGUCUCUUUCUCCAUUGAUUGCUCUUUGACGCCCCCCCUUCCUUCAUCUUUUCUCGCACUCGAAUUUCUUCGCCUUUUCCUCUUUCAUCAUUCUUGCUCUGUUUCACUUUUUCUUCUCCUUGCUAUGGCCCUACUCCGCCUCUUUUUCUGAAGUAUCUACGACUCUUUUUCAUCGUUCUCUCUCUCCCUCUCUUUUUCUCUCAACUUUUCCUUUUGAGGGGUUUUUAUCCGAACGUUUUCUCGCUCUUUCUUUUUUGGAAAAAAAAAAUCAAAGAAAAUGUCAGAUUGAUGCCGCUGUUGAGAAAAAUGGAAAAUUAUAUUAAACUCAAAUCAAUAAAUAAUUAUUGAUACAAAUGUUAAGAGUGCGUAACAAAAGUUUAAUCCCUUUAAUCGGAGAGGUUAUCAAGAGAAAGCUCAAGUUUGAGCUCAUUAACAUAUUCAAUUGACCCAUCUUAACUAAAAAAAAUGAGCUAAAAAGUUAUUGAUCAAUUAUGAUAUAUUAAUUGUUUAAUACGACAUCAAUUCUCCAUUGUGAAACUUUUCUAACCCAACUCAUACAUUCAUCUUAACAUUCGCCUCUCGCGUGUUGGCUUAGUAUUAUGCAUGCUUUCCCUUAAUUCAAGUAUCAUUCUCCAUUUACAUGACUCAAUUAGAAUCUCUGCUUUGGUGCGUGUGCUAACAAAAAUAACAAUAACGCCCAUCUUCAUCCCUAGUCUCUUUCUCCAAACCGAAUCAUGAAGGUUACCAUCAAGAUCACAUUUCUACACAACAACGCCCACCUUCAUUCCAAGUCUCUUUUGCUAGAUCGAACUAUGAAGGUUGCCCAAAAACUGCGUUGAUCACGAGAUUCCUUUCCUCAGAUAUUCUCCAAACAUUGGUAUACAUUGGGAUUGGCCAUUAGCUAUCAAUCAUCGGCUCUGGCAUCAUUUCUUAGGAGUGUCUAGUAGAAAUUUGAUACCGUUAACCAGAGAGAUCGCCAAAGAAAAGCCCAUGUUCGAGCUGGCCAAUAUGUUUUAUUGAAGCCAAGUUCACUCAAAAACUAGGAUAUAUUAAUUGCUGCAUACCAUACCAAUUAUCCGGUAUAAGACUUUCUAACAUAAGUCACGUGUAUAUCUCAAUAAGAAGGAUCUAACUAAUGGUUAAAAGAGUGAGAACGGAGAGAUAUUAGACAAACCCCAACCACAUCAUCAUAUGGCAAUUUUUUAUAACGUUCCACGCGGAGUAUGAAUGUGUCUACCUCAAAUCAUUCAUUUCUGUAGUGGUUCCAUCAAUUUGUCAUUUGACUCCAUUUUUUAGUGGAAGUCAUACUGAGGUUUUCUUGGAUGCUACAAACUUUAACAGUAAAUGCUUUUAGCCUCUAGCGCAUGAUCAAUGUUGAUAUUGAUAUGCAACUCCAAUUUUCCAACGAGAAUUGCUUCAUCAAAUGACUAGUGUGGCUGGUAAAAAAAAAAAGUGACUAGUGUGGGAUGUUAACAAAGAAGAGUUCCGCUAUAGCGUAACUGCACUAUCCUUUCCAAUAGCGACGGCGCAAAUGGGACCACGAGUUCUAUUAUGCUGGUAAUGCGCAACCGGAUUACAACUUUAAAAUGGGAAAUCUUUACGAGUAUCCUUAAAAUUUGUAUCCCUUUCUGAAUGAAAUGUCAGUCAAAAUGCCCUCCCUCCAAAUUGAGCACCAAGUAAAGUCAUCAAUCAUUUCUUUUCGUUUCUCUUGAAAGCAUAAAACAUUCAAUAUUAAUAUUAGUGUGCAACUAGCUUAUAACCGCACACAAUCUUGUCAUAACUAUAUACGUAUGUAUGUAUGCAAGCACACAUGAAUAUGUCUAAAAGUAUAUGCUUUUAAUUACCUCUUAUUUAGUUAGAUGUACAUCAUUAUCACAAAAAACUUUUUUUUUUCAAAGAAUUGGCAACCGGAUGAGUUUUGAAAUGACUUGCAUUUGCACUUCUGCGUUCUCUUUCAAAUGUUUUUUUUUUAAACUUUAUUAACAAAGAAAAAGCUUCACCACGUAUUGUUGCAACUGUUUCUUCCUACUUCCUCGUUAAUUGAAGAAUUAUUGUGUACAGCGGACUUAAAUAACAACGGCUCUAUACUUGGUUACCACGAAAUACUAUACAGCCUAUUAACAUAUCGUAAAAUAAAAAUAAAAAUCACCUUUAACCUCUUUCGGUUAAUUAAUCUAGUAAAAAUAAAAUGGGGGAUAUCCAAUCAUUGCAAAAUAACGUAAUAUAAGGUGUUGACUUGCAUAUUGAUUUUUUCUUUUUUGAGAAACCCCUUUUCAGAUAGGUGAAGUUCAUAUUAAAGGUAAAGUGAUUGAUGAAAAUAAUGCCAAUACCAAAACGAGACCAAAAAUAUGAUAGAGAAGGACUUUUAACACCAAAAGAAAUGGAAGUUGGGUUGUAUCGAAUAAGUAUGUAGCUUUUUUCUUUUUUUCACUAAACAGAGAGGAGAAUCAAAGUACCUAUCAUGGGCAGGGGUGUGGAGUUUAACUCUUAUAAGGAGGCUUAUGAAUUUUAUAACAAUUAUGAUAAAUAAGUAAGAUUUUGUAGUAGAGUUUCAAAAUUGUAGAAAAGGAAGAGUAGAGAGGAAAAGUGAGGCACAGUUUUUUGGGGCUAGCUCCAAAAAAAUAAAGCACCAACUUUAGUUUAAGAGACAAAUCUGACCGAAACUUUUUUUUUUUUUUUUGUCUUGUAAAAAAGCACAAAUUUUAGGUUAAGGGACAAAUCCAGCCUAAACUGUUUUUUUUGUCUCGUAAAAAAAUGUCAAUUUUCGGUUAAGUGACAAUUCUAGCUCAAGUUUUUUUUUUUCUCGUAAAAAAUUACAAACUUUCACCAUUAUUCAACUUUCUAUUUGAAGUUAACCUUGUUUCAAGAAAAAAAGGUUCUAGCCAUGAGCUUGGCGGAUCUUGUUCAUGGGGUCUCUCGAUGGGCGGUGGUCCAUAGCUUCAUUUUAAGACAAAAUGACAAAGUCUAGCCAGACUAAUUCAAUUUAGAGAUUUUUUGACUUGCUAGUGAAGUGUAGGAGAUGAUGAAUAAUUUACCGUUAUUCUCCAAGCUAUGGCUCAAACAAGAAGAUAAUGAAUAGUGUUUUAAAUCCGGCCAGCAAGUGCACAUGGAUUUAUCACUAAAAACAAUCAAUGGAUCUAAAUUAAAGGGGGCUAAAUUUAGGAUUUAAGUGAAAACUAGUGAUUUUUUUUAGACAAAAAAAGUUAGGAUCAUAAUUGUCACUCAUCCCAAAGUUAGUGUUCUUUAUGUGACAAAAAAAAAAGUUUGAGCCAAAUUUGUCACUUGACUUAAAAUUAGUGCUUUUUUACGAGACAAAAAAUAGUUUGGUUUAGAUUUGUUCAUUAACCUAAAGUUUGUGCUUAUUUUUGGAAUUAGCCUCAGUUUUUUUGCUGCAUUUGUCAAAGGCUCAAGAAAAAAAAAAUGGGUCAGUUAAGUCGAUUCAUUUGAAAAGGUUAGAAUUCAAUAUAUUUUUUUUAAUUACUCAAGCACAAAGAAUGAGAAGCCCCAAAAAUGUACAAAAAUAUCUUUAUUAGUCUAAAAACAACGGUUCUGGUGUUUUUCUUUUCUAUUUUAGAAAUAUAAGUCAUAUUUAUAAUAAAAUUAAUAAUCUCUUUUUAGUGAUAAUUUUCGUACUUGUGAUUCUUAUAUUGUAGCAUUCAAUUUCCUUCAAGUCAUUUUUCCCUUGCUUUCGUAAGGAUGGAAAUUCAAGAAAUUAAUUGGUGUUUAGUUGAGGCCUUAAUCAAGGUUAGGUUAUAGACAAGAAAAUCGAACAUGCACUCUAUUUUAGCUAAAUUUCCAUAUUGGUUAUGUCCAUAUUUUUAACCCACCAAUCAAAGAAUUGGUAAGGAUGGAAAUAAAUAAACUCUGACUUAAUAUAAACUCGCAUACAUUAAGGAAGCCAUUGCUCUCAAUUAACAAAGAAAUCCAAUGAGAUGUAAAUACUGAAUCAUUCCAAAGCAUGAGAAGAAAAUGUAACCUUAUCACUGCUGCGUCAAAUAAAUUUGUCCUUGUCUCUUUCACUUUUCCCAACCUAUAACAAUUGAAACGAGUAAUCUAAUAUCCGCCAACCUUUGUAUCACUUAUAUUAUGUUUGUGUAUAUGGGGCAGCGCACUAUCAUUUAGAUAUAGGAAAUGUGUGAUUACCUCUAUUUAAAAUCAAUUAAAUGGGAUUCCUAUCCAUGUCAAUAGUAUGCGAAUCAACCACCAAAAGAAGCAAAUCCAGACCAUGUAACUAGAGACAAUUUUUUUUUUUUUAAGAACUUCUGCGGAAUGCAAAAUACACUUGUACUUUACAAGAAAAAAAAUUAUGCUUACUUAACAUCACCAUCUUGCAAUUAUCAGACAUCAAUAAUAUUAUAAUUUUAUGUUAACACAGUCAUUUUCAAAAUGAUAUAGAAUGCAAAAUACACUCAUUCUUUAGAAUAAAAAGAAAAAAAAAAACAUGCUUACUAAAUCCCAGGAGUGACAUAGCUGAUUGGGAUGCUAGGGGAUUUCCAACUCAGGAAUAGGAGGUUGCUUGUUAGGAUCCCACAAACUGCUUUAGGUUUGAGCCAACUACACAGGCCAAAGCCCUGAGCUUAACCAAUUCAUAAAGCCUACAGGAUAUUUCAUAGAAUUAUGGGUAGAGAGGUCUCCAUACACAUGCCCCCAUAUCAUAAGAAAAAUUAUAUGCUUACAUUAAGAGUAUCCCAAAUUUAUAUGGUACUCUUUUUAUAUGCACUUAUUUCUCAUAAACUAGGUAGUUAUUAUGCAAAAGGUCCUGAUCAUAUUAAUUACAAAUAGAACUUCCCUCAUGACUUUAAUUAGUCAUCACAUUUUUUUGUUAAAAAAUUAGUCAUAAUAGUUAUAAAUAUAUGGACUUAGGCCUAAUUUGAAAUUCUAAUCUACCAAUUAUGUUGGUAAAAAGGAAACAACUUCAAUUUUUUUUUUCUUUAAAACAGAGUUCUUUUUCCCUUAAACGGAUGAUUCAAGGGGCUUUCUGUCAACAAAUAUGUGAAAAUUUUGAAUACUACAUAAAGACUCAAGAAUUAUUUUCAUCCAAUGGGCAAUAUCAAUUAGAUAUGAGGGUCUAAAUUAGCCCAAGUCUAUUUUGUCAAUACGUAGAAAACUUACAAAAAAUUGCAAUUCAACUUAUAAGUGAAUAUCAAUAAUAUAAUAAUUUUACAUUAAAAUUGUCAGUUCUUAAAAAUGAUAGAUAAUACAAAAUAUACUUAAUCUUUACAAUAAAAAUUUAUGCCUACUUAACCCCAGGAUUGGUUCAGCUAGUUGGGAUGUUAUGGGAUUUUCAGCUCAAGAACUGAAGAUCCAUUAGAACCCCACAAAUUGCGAGCAAACUACUCUAAGUUACAGCCUCUUACAUAGGUCAAAAGCCUAAGCUUAACUGAUUCAAGGAUUAUAUGAUAUUUUCUAGGCUUCUAAAUAGAUAGGUUUCUAUGCCUAUGCACUUAGAUUAUUAAAAGAAAAUGCUUACUUUGGGAGGAUGCUAAUUUUAUAUGAGAAAUUUUUCAUGUGCACUUAUUCCUCAUAAACUAGGUAGUUUUUAUGAGAAAAGGUCGUUAUCAACUUAAUUACAAAGAAUAUGUCCCUCAUCAUUUUAAAUAGUUAUAACCUUUUUUUUUGUUAGACAUUAGUCAUGGUUGGCAAAACAAUUAAACAACUUCAAUUUUUUUUCCUAUGAACUGAGGUUUUUUAUUUUAUUAUUAUUAUAAAUUUAAGACAUGAUUUGAGGGGCUUUCUGUCAGCAAAUUUAUGAAAAUUUGAAAGAUAACACAUGAAAUUAAGACUCAUUUUCAACUAAUGUUCAACAUCAAUUAGAUAUUAUGGUCUAAGUCAGCCCGAUUCUAAUAUGUCAUUAAGUAGAACAUUAUCAAAAAUUGAUCUUCAAUAUAUAAAUCAAUAACGCAGCCGGUGAAUCCAUUUUUGUGUUUAGCCGUGGAGGAAAGGAUGGUCCCUAAUGAAUGUCCAUGAGCGGCGGAGGAAAGGAUGGAGACAUAGACGUUGGUGUGGUGGCCGGUCAAUUAAUUAAAAAAUCAUCCAUUUCUCUUUAUAUAAAUGUUUUUAAAAAUAUAUAUAUAGUUCAGCCAUUUCUUUAUAUUGCUCGAUUGUUUCAUUCAUAGUUCAUUGCCUGACUGACAAGAGGACUAUGCAAGAGUCUUGGCAGUUGGGUAUUCCUUCCCAGUAAAAAUUAAUUCAUAAAAUGACAAAUAAAUUCUUAUUAAUUAUUGAUAUGACGAGUGAUGACUCUUGCAGCCUCUCAUAUCUCUUUAAAAAUAAUCUUAUAAAUGAACCAAAUGUCUGAGGAUUAGCCGACAUCCAAUAUCAUCAAUCAUGUUAGAAACUAUCAUCGAUAAAUUGUAUUAUACAUUUGGCUGAACAAAAUCGUGUUCUAUAAUUAAAAUACUAUUUUUGUACAAUCUUUGUUGGAACAUUUAUGGUACAGAAAAUUAUAUAAAAACUGCCGAUUAGUAAGGAUUUACACAUUGAAUGAUAUAUUUCCCUCUACUUUUUUGUAUGGUUGCCAGUAUAGAAAGUAAAGUUUAUUUAAGUAUCUCAGUUGGCUAAAUUCUCAUCAUGAAAGCACAAGGUCAUCAUAAUGUUUCGUGUGUUACUUGACUUUCACUGUUAUAAUGACUAAAAUGCUUAGUAGCCUGCAACAACUAAUUUCAUAUAUGUAUAUGUGUAGGCUAACCUCUUCCUGUGGAAGGUUAUAAAAGUGAAAAAAAAUUAGGGUUAUAAAUUAUCAAAAGCCACAUGACUUUAUUUGUCAAUAAUUGUAUAUUUUUGAAUAUUUUAGAACCGAUUUGUGAUAAUUGCAAUAUUUAAAAAAAACAUUAAAUGUAAAAUACUCCAAACAGACCCAAGCAUUUGAAAGAAAGGGGGGAAACUUCAAUAGGAACAAGAGAGACGCAAAAUAAUGUUAGCGGUGACUCGGGAUCGUUCCCCGUAUUAAUUUUAUCUUGGAAAGAGUAGCACUACUCAAGAAAAUAAAUUGAUUUAAAAUGUUAAUAAAGAAUGGCAAAAGUUUAAUUUACUUAGAAGUUUUGAUCUACAAUUCCAAUUCAAGUUACGUCUAAGGUAACAAUUACAAUUGACAUUAUAAUCUAACAAUUUGCUUAAUUACAAUGUUACUUCUGCAUUUUAAAUAUGAUUUCAUUGAUUCGCACAAGGAGCGACUUUAGGACUAGUACUUGAUCAAUGUUUGUCCAUUAAUGGUGGAGCUAAAGGAUGCGGAAACUUACCCAUUGGUGAUGAUGAUUGGUCAAGUUAAGAAACAAGAAAACCAUUUCUAUUACCAUAUUCAACUUUUAAUCAAAAAGUAUUGGGGGACACUGAAAGGAGAUAUCACCCAUGAUAGUAGUAAUAAUUUAUUUGCUUAUUUUGCUAGACUCACUAUGGGUUGAAAAUGAGUCUGGUGCAGACCCACGUAGGCUCACGUGGAAUUGGUGAUGCUUUUUUCAUAUCAUUUCAACUGGCUUAAAAAUUUCAAGUGUCGCACCAAAAUUUUGAUAAUGGGUUUCAGAUACAUACUGCCACCUCUAGAUGAAACUACAUGUCUUGUGGGUUUUGAUCCGUCCUCGUCCUUUUGUUCUCUUUAUUAAUUACAUUUGCUAUAGCGAAGAGUGACAAACUACAUAAAGUACCUAUUAUACAUGAGUGAUGAUUCAAAUCCAAUCAUUUUAAUAAUUGCGUUUUGAUCGAAGGUGUUAUAUACGAUUCGGAUUCUAAUCGUCACUCCAUGUUGAUUCACAAAAGUGCCCACAUACAAAUAUUGAUGAAAAUAUUAAUAUUAUGAACAAGAUUAAGGGAUAAUAUUACGAAAAAUCUUAAACUGAUACACAUGCGACAAAUUUACUUCGCAUUAAUUUUUUUAUCACAAAAAACCCCCAAACUGAUUCAAUUAUGAUAAAUUUAUUACAAACUAAUUUUUUAACCAUGAAAAAUCUCUAACUAGUACACAUGUGAUAAAUUUACUCAAAACUAAUUUUUUUACCGUCAAAAACCAUAAAUUGAUACAUUUAUGACAAAUAUACCCCCGUUAAAUUAUAUUAAUACUAGAAAAAAUUACAAAACCGAUACACUGUGACAAAUAGAGAGUAAAAUCUCAAAUUGGUAUACUUGCCAACUACCACAUGUCAUCUAAAUCAACAAUCUAACUUGAAAAUUUAACGAAAACUAACAGAUAGUAAAUUUCUCAUAGAUUUAUCAAUUCAGAGUUUUUUAUAGUUAAAAGAUUAUUUUUUUGUAAAUUUAUUAUAAGUGUACAGAUUUAAGAUUUUUUGUAGUCAAAAAAUUAAUUUGUGAUUAAUUUAUCAUGCGUACCAUAUUAAAGAUGAUAUUUGUCAAGUGCAUGGGUUGGUGUGGCCUCUCCUUAUCAAGUGGGCGCCAUUUAUUUUGCUAUUUGUUGCUCUUUCUUAAUUACAUUUUAUUAUAUCAAUCUGACACGGUAUAAAGUAUUCAUAUAAUUCUAGUCAAAUUAUUUUGUUACUUUAGAAGUUGGUAAUCAUUUGUAUUUUAUUUUUUUAAUCCACUUCAAUGAGCGUGCAAUUCAAAUAAUGCAAAGAAAUCAAUUUACUCCACAAUUGUGACGCAACGAACAACUGCCGUAAUUAAGGUACAUAUUGGUGUUUAGUUAUGGCCUCAACUAAGAUUAGAUUUUUCUAAGAUCUAAAGUCUGUUGUCCACGUGACUAGUGGAUCAUGCAUGAGUCUUGUGAGUUGGGUUUUCCUUCCCAAUGAAAAACUACUUCACAAAAUGAUAUAUGAACUCAUAUUUUUUAUUGAUAUAAAAAGGAAUGACUCUUGCAGCUUCUCAUAUAUUUUCAAAAAUCAAUUUUAUAAAAUGAACCGUGUAUCAUCAAUCAUUUUAGAAUUAUCAUCCACAGAUUGUAUCGUUGUUUAACUCAUAAAUGGAUUCCAACCUGAGUAGUGAACUAUCUUCAACCAAAAGAUAUAUCUUUUAUUUUUAUGAAAGGGGUUCAGUGGCGAUUUUAAACAUGAGUUGCAAUUGGCAUGAUAAUGAAGAUGAACAACGAAUUUAAAGGUAAAAGGUGAUAGUAAAUGUUGGAAAUUAACAUGACAUUAAAACUGAUAAAAGUACAUCAAAAAAUAUUCGGAAUCAUGAUGAUCCUUGCAAUAAUUAUAUGUUGCCAUUUUAUACUCCGCCAAUCAUAACCGCUUAUUAAGACUUAACCAUACUAGAUGCAGUUGUAACUGCAUUCCCGAGAUUUUAGGACUCCUAUCUACACAUCGAUCCUAUCCACAAGUUGUUACGACUCUUUAAGUGUCACUAGGUUAACCAUUGCUUGGUGCCCUUAUAUUUAGUCGACAUUUUCACUAUCUCCUUUCUUCUUAGUUGAUAAUUGUCGACCAGUCAUCGUGGUACAUCGACAAUGGUAUCUCUCAAUCGUCAAUAAUUACUGUCCAUUGUCAUUGAUAUGUGCUUCUAUUGUCCUUAACUUACCAAAAACCAUAUAAGUUGUCACAAACUAUAUACCCACUUAUAUCAACAUUAUGUCAUUCACAAAAACUUUAUCAUUUUUCAGUGUAAACAAUUAUACAUCUAGCUAAAGAAAAUCUAAUUAAGCGACUAUCAUGUGAUUUAAAUACAAUCUUUAUUCUAACAAUUAUGGUACAACAAAUUACAUAAAAUGUACAACCAAUCAUAUGGGAUUUACACAUUGAAUGAUAUGCUCCUGGCUACUUAUUUGUGUGGUUGCCAAUUUAGAAAGUUAACUUUACAUGAGUAUAUCCGUUGGCUAAAUUCUCAACAUGAAAGCACAAGGUCAUGGACUCAAUUUUGUAUUGCAUGCUACUCAACUUUCACUACUAUAAUGACUAAAAUGCUUAGUAUCCUGCAACAACUAAGUUCAUUUACAUAUUUACAUAAGCCAAACUCUCGUCAUGGAAGGUUGUAGACCUAUCAUGCAUUGCAUGUUGUGAUGCUACUUGACUUAUGCACCAUAUUUAUAGUGUCAUUAAUAAUUAUGUAUUUAGUCAUAUUUACUUAUGAAAAUACAUACCUGCGUAAUAUAACCCUCUUUAUAAUUUUCAUUCUAUAGAAAUUUUGUAACAAGGGAUAGUUUUUUCUCCUAUUGAUUUGCUAUCAGUUGUUUCUUUUACUUUUUAAAAUUUAUUGCAAAGCAUGUACUGUAAUUUCGUUUUUAUGAUGAUAGAUAAUUUUUUGAAUUCUCUAAUAUCAUAUAUUUGUCAAAUAUAGACAAUCAUGGACUAAAAGAUGUUUCUACAUUAAGCAUCUUAUUUAUCACAUACAUGAUAAAUAUUUAUAUUGUCGAUUUGUUAUAUAUAUUGACUAUCACAUCACGUAAUUUUUCUAAAAGUUUGUCAAUGAUAUACCUGAAGAAGGGGUGCCCAACGUCGAACGAGCGAUCAAAAAAGAUUCCGAAGCAUCUUCAUAGCACGACCCAGCAAUCAUGUUCUUUGGGGGUCCUCAGGCUAUAAAGCCGAUUUCCUUCCUUUUGGUCCGUCUGUAAAAGGCAACCAUACAUUUAUUUAAUUAUAAAAUUCGAAAGUUACUGUACACUUAGUUAUAUCUUAUUUUUGAAAUAUCUAAAGUCACGUAGUGAAUCCUAUAUAUAUAAAGUGGGUAUCCAUGCAUUAUUGAACUCCUUCGAGAGCUUGUCAAAAUUUGUAAAUCAAAAUAUUAACAGGGAUAUGUUAAAGUGGUCUUCAAAACCAAUUUGUUAAAGUGCAAAAUAGAACUGAUAUUCAAAUAAACAACAUAUGUUUAGGAAUUUGGGAUUUGUUAAAGUGACCAUUGAUAUCAAAUUGUUGAAUAAAGUUUACACGUGAUUGUGCUGGCUCAACUCUCAAGAGAGUUUUACCAUAUAUAUAUAUAGAGAUAUAUAUAUACAUAUAUAUAGAUGCUUUUCUAGUCAAAUCAAUUUAUUAAAACGACUCAAUUUGUCUACCAUUUAAAUACAAUGAGGAAAAACACAUUAAUUUAUCCAGGUCAAUCACAUGUUUUGAACAUUACCAGUCUCACAUAUGACUGAAAUAAUUUGUUAGUGAGAUUUGGUAAGUCCAAGCAAAAAGGAUUUUACCAUCCUUUAGGAAAGAGAUAUUAUCCGGUAGAGAGUAUUACUGUACUGCAUAUUAGUCGGGAAAAAGUUGUUUUCCGGGACAUUUUUCCUGACAUUCAAAGCUUACCGAAGGCUAGCUAAAAAAAAAAAAAAAAGCUUACCGAAUUACCAUCGGACAAUCCUCUAAAAAAAAAACCUUUAGGAGGACUUAUUCUGAGAAAGAAUAUAGAUGCCGUUUUCAUGUAUUUUUCUGAAGUACUCUGGAAGUUCCGAGGGACCACUUGUGCUUUUCUGCCUUGGCCAUAUGGUCCGCAUUAAAAAUUGAGUUGAUGGCAUACUGUAAAGUCACGUGGGUGCGGCCAGUCCUUGUCCAUUCAUUUUCUUAAAUCAUUACCUUUUAUUAUAUCAGUGCUGACACACUGUUUAAGUCGACUCAUUUGUUUACUGCUACUUGGACAGCUGAUGAUCAUCUCUUUCUUCCUCGAUUCAUCGCUAUUCGACGCUCCCCUUCCUUCGUCCUUCUUUCGCGCUCGAAUCUCUUCGCCUUGUUUGUCUCUCGCUUUGUUUCACUCUUUCUUCUCUUCAGCACAAUCAUUCUUCCUAUUCCUCCUCUUCUUCAGUAUCUUCUCCUUCUUUUCAUCAUUCUCUCUCUGUGUCUCUCUUUCUUUCUUGGGAAAAAAAAAUCAAAGAAAAAAUGUCGGUCGAUUCUGUCGUUUCUAUUGCGUAUGAUGUCUUCAAGAGCUAUGUAGUUGAUCCCGUCAAGCGUCGAUUCAGAUACGUGAUCUCCUCCAAGAAUUUCGCCGACGAUCUUCGGGUGGAAGUCCGGAACCUGGAGAACGAGGCUCAGAGGGUCCACAUUUUGGCAGAAGUGGCCCGAAACAACCUUCGGAAUUUCUAUGGUUACUUCCCAGAGUGGCAGCAAAGUACUGACAAGGCCUUGGAGGAGGCGGGAGACCUGUUGGGCGACAUGGGUGAGGCGAGCAAGACUUGCUGCCACGGGACUCUUCCCGACGCCAAAUGUCGCUAUCAGUUCAGCAGGAAGGCCGAGGACAAGAUCAAGGUCAUUAAGCAACUCGCUCAAAAAGGCAGCGGAUUCAAGGAAUUGAACGACAUCUCCUUCACUGAUCCUGCUCCGGGAAAUGUCACUGCUACGAAUCCAGCCAGGAGAGAAGGCGAAGAAUUCGUCCAGCCGACCCCUGCAACGGCCUCCGCUUCUUCUGCCUCGACGUCAAAUGAGCUUAGUAAGGAUGGCGUCUUCGAAUCCAGAACUGCGAUCAUAAGGGACGUAAUGGGCGCUCUUGCCGAUAACAGCAAUAGUGUGGUCGGGGUUCACGGGAUGGGUGGGGUCGGCAAGUCCACCCUUUUGGACGACGUGGUAAGCAGAAUAAGAGAAGAGAAGCGGUUCGAUCUGGUCGCCAAGGCCGACGUGUCACAAAAUCCUGACAUCAAGAGAAUUCAAAGUGUGAUUGCCCAUGCGUUGGGCCUGGACAUGAAAGAUUAUGAGUAUGAGAGCAUGCGAGCGGAUCGUCUGCGCGAGAGGUUGGGAAAUGAGGAAAAGAAGGUCCUCAUAAUACUGGACAACCUAUGGAAAGGGCUUGACUUGAAAUCUGUUGGAAUUCCUUGCGGGCAUGACAACAAAGUCAUGGGAUGCAAGUUGUUAUUGACGUCGAGAGACCGAAAUGUUUUGCAAAGGGAAAUGGGCUGCGACAAGGACUUCUUUCUUGAUAGGCUGGAGGAGAAAGAGGCAAAUAUAUUGUUUGAGAGGAUGGUGGGAGAUAAAGUUCAUAAUGAUGAGUUCAGACCCAUGGUGAAUGAAGCACUCCGCAAAUGUGCAGGUUUGCCUUUGUUAAUUGUCACAAUGGCGAAACAUUUGAAAUACGGUCGUUUGCCUGAAUGGAGGAAUGCUCUAAAUCAAAUUGAGCGGUGUUCAAACAAAGGGUUAAGUGCAGCGAUCAAUACGAUGUUGCAAUUAAGUUAUGAUCAUUUAGAAAGCGAGGAAGCGAAAAAUUUGUUACAACUCUGUGUUGCUGUUGACGUCUCUAAUCCCUCUGUUGAAGACUUGGUGAGGUAUGGCUAUGGUUUAGGGAUAUUUCAAAGAGAUAGUAGCAUAAAAGAAGCUAGAGAUGAAGUGAGUACACUCAUCCACACUCUUCAAGCCUCCUCCCUUCUGUUGGACAAUAGAGAUGACAAUGCUUUCAAGAUACAUGACUUGGUUCGUGACUUUGUUGCUCAGUUCAUUUUAAAAGAUCGGCCUCUUCUCGUGUUGGAAAAUGAAGAAAUGUUGGCAACACAAUUGUGGAGGGAGAGGCUCGAAAGUUGUAUGGCGAUAUGCUUUCCCUAUAUUGACAUGAAGGGCCUUCCCAAAGAAUUAGAUUGCCCCGAAUUGCACAUCUUUUUGCUUUUCGCCCGUAGUGGAUUUCUUGAGGUUCAAGAUUCAUAUUUCAACUCUAUGAGGAAACUUACAGUCCUAGAUCUUUCCGGAAUACAUCUCACUCAUUCACCAACCCCAUUGCAAUUCUUGGAGAACUUACAUACUCUAUGUCUUAGUAGUUGUUCACUAGAGGAUGUGGCCAUUCUCGGCAAGCUGAAAGGCCUUCAAAUUCUCAGCUUUGUGUACUCGAGAGUUGAACGAUUGCCAAAAGAAAUUGGGCAACUAGUAGAGCUGAGGUUGUUGGACUUGAACUAUUGUUCACAUCUUCAGAUAAUUGAACCGGGUGUGCUUGGAAGAUUGAUCAAAUUGGAGGAGUUGUAUAUGGAGAAUAGUUUUGAUCAAUGGAAUCCUGUGGAGCAAACUCAACCAACUAAUGCGAGUUUGAUUGAGUUGAAUCACCUGAAGAAUCUUUGCAUUCUACAUGUCUCCAUUCCCAAUCCAAGUGUGCUCCCUGAGGACCUAGAUGUCAAGAAAUUAACCAAGUACAAAAUCCGAAUAGGUUAUGCAACACGUUGGAGCAAGGACCUAGGAUCGAGGAUUUUGGACCUCAAGUUGGAUCCAACAAGUGAUGUUCUUCGAAAAGGAUGCAUACAAAGUCUCCUAAGCAAAACAGACAAUCUGUUUUUGGCCAAGUUGAACGGAAGCAAGCAAAGUAUUUGCGGAUUAUCUCAAGAAGGCUUUCCAGAAUUAAAGCAUCUGCUGGUCAUGUAUGGUUCCUCUAUCCAAUACAUCCUCCAGUGGCGUUCUGUUAGUACUUUUGAGAUGUUGGAGUCAUUAUUUCUCAUAGAGCUCAACAACUUGACAAAGAUAUGCUACAGCCAUAUUUCCUCCUCCAAGUCCUUCGGUAAAUUAAAAGUAAUUCAAGUCAAACGUUGUGACAAGAUGGAAGUUUUGUUUCCUCUUUCAUUACUGAGAGGACUUCCACAAUUAGAAGAGAUUGAAGUUGUCUAUUGCAAGUUAAUGCAUGGGAUUGUAGAUGUUGAUGAUUGUGGCAAGGUGGAGUUGCAAAAUUUGCGUAUAAUGAAAUUGCACCACUUACCAAAUAUCAAGAAUUGUUUCACCGGCGGAUCAACUCUUUCGAGCAAUACAUCAGACGACCAAGUUGGAACUCAAAUUGCAUUCUUCAAUGGGCAACGGGUAAUUUUCUAUCAAAAAAAUAUAAUUUUUAUUACUUUUUCCUACCUUGCUAAUUAGAUGCACAACAUAUCAUGUUGCUUAUUCAUUUUGUUAUUUUUAGUUUACUUCUUUCCUAAUAACCUUAUCCGUUCAUUCCUUCUUUGCAAUUAGAUAAAUCAGUCUUCAGUUUCCCUUCAUUGUGUAGAAAUCCAACUAAUUGUAUGAUAUCCAUGUAAAUUUAGUUUGUGGUAGGUUCUGAGUUAUUUUCAAUUUAAAUGCUACUAGUAUAUCUAUGUUAAUAGGGUUUAUUAAAGAAAAACUAAAGAGAAUUUCGGCACUAAAGUAAUUCCAUAAGUAAUUUUAAAUCUUUUGAUAUGGAUUUGAUUGAAUUUACUUAUCAAACUUUGUUAUUAUUCACAAAAUGGGAAGGAGGACUAGGUUUUUUCUUCUUCUUCUUCUUCUUUUAUAAAUAAAAGCAACUAGGCUAAUGUAAUUGAUGCAUGUCUUCUAUGUAUUGUGUUUAAAUAAGAAGUUAGUCAUUGUAUAGAUCCCAUAAUUAUAAGAGUACAUAGUUUUGUGCAUGUUCAUGCAUGUACAUUGUAUACAUAGAUACCUUAAUACGUACUUUUGGCAUCACAAAAACAAAUUCACAAUUUGUAUUUAAUAUCCUAUUAAAUUGGUUAUUGAUAGUGAUUUGCUAACAUUAAAGAGAAGUUAGUAAAGCAAGGAUGAUCAAUUGCUCAACUAAGAAAAGCACAUGGCUAUUUUACACGGGGAAAAUAUUGCUACGAGUGGGACCUUUUAAUUGACUAGAUAAGAUAGCCCUUUAAUAGUGGCCCAAUUAUCACUGAAGUUGAUCAUUGGCCAUGAGACUCACAAAAUAGAUUAGUUUCCCUGUCAGCAAAAAGCGGUGGAAAUUUAAGUCGUGGGUCCCACACGCUAGUGUGUGACUUCUCUUCUUCCCCUGCUUUGAGCUUCCAUGGAGAGAACGCUUUCAAAGAUAAUGGAACUACAUCAGAAAUUUUUUACAAAAAGCCUUUAUGGCUUUGCUUCUUUUUCUUUUUUACAUCAUAAUCUUGUACAGUAGAUCCUCUUAGUAUAAUCUUUACACCAAGCUUAAAGAAGAUGACAAAUCAUUCAAGCUCAACAAGGGUGAGAAAUUACAAAGUUGAUAAAGUAGUUUUGCACAAAAACAAUUAAUUGCAUUCAAUUGAAAUUGAAGGCGAUUAUUUGUAGUCUAUUCAAUUCUAGACUAGUAGGUGGAAAUAUAGUUAACAGUUAAACUAGCUUUAGUGAUAAUAUUUUAUAGGAGAUCCUUUUCCUAUAAUAUCUACACCAAGUUUAUAGAAGAUGACAAAUCAUGCAAUUUUAAAAAUGGAAGCAAUUACAGGUGAAAAUCUUUUGUUAUUUGUUUUUCAAAGAAAAUGAUGUUAGGCCACUGUAGAUAUAUUUUAUGGUCCUAUUUGCACUUAUACGGAUAAUAAUUUACUAACAUGAAAGAGAAUUAGUAAAUUAAGGAUAAACAAUGCCCUCUAUUAAGGAAAGCUCACGGCUAUAUUAUAUGGGUGAAAACUACCGCAAUUAGGGGGUUUUAUUUGAUUAGAUAAGAUAGCUCCCUUAUAGGAGCGCGGGCCCAAGGCUGGUGCCAUACGCAGUUUCCCUUGUAAGAAAGAGCGAUGGAGAUAUAAGUGGCGGGUCCCACAAGGCUGUGAUGUGAAAGUGUGACCUUUCAUCAACCCUUGCUUUUAAUAGAAACUAGAUCGCGAAAUUUUGCUUUGUAGAUUUGCCUCUUUUUUUUUUUUGGCGGUAUUCUUUGGGGCUUUUAACUUUGUGUGAUUCUAAUUCUUCAAAAAAGAGUUACUGAUGCUUUAGUACUUCUUUUUAUUUUUACUUUUGUGUAAAAUCUAGAUAUGCAAAGAUUCAUGGGUUUAUAAUGAAAUACUUCUUAAAAUUGUAAUAAGUCUCCUCCGACAUUAUAAAGUGGUGGUAGCAUACAAAGUAGUAGUUAAGGUUUGUCAAGAAUAACAAUAGACUAAUGAACGAGACACAAAAGUUAAACUUGUUGUAUAGGUGGGAGUGAGGGGUGAUGGCGAGAUACAUGGGAGUUUGAGAGUAACUUGGCAGAUGAAAGCUUUCUUAGAGUUGUAGCAAUGAACUUUCGGAAAAAAACUAGUUACUCUUUGCAGAAAAAAAAAGGAAAAGAAGAGAAUAAAUAAAGCUUUCCAUUGUCAUGGCGACCAUGGGUCUCUUCACCUUUCAGACAUGUUGAUUAACAAAAUUACAACAACAAGGAUAAUUAAUUAGGAUGGGCCACAUAUGCAUCCGACUUGAAAGGAAUACUCGAGGUAAUUUACAAAUGAUAGGGAAAAAGACGUUCAAAUAAUCUCAAGUUAUUUACUCUUUUUCAAGGAUAGUUGGGAUCUCAACCCAUGGUGAUGACUAAUGACUACUAAGUUGUUGUGAUAACCCAAUUGCUGACGUGUCUAAUUUCAUGUUGUUUGCGGGUAAAUUAGUCCUUUUUUGCCUAAUAAAUUUGGAGAAAUCAAAGACAUUUGAAAAGGAAAAGACAAUAAAAUGCCGUCUUGUUGGAUUUUAUCAAGGAAGCAGGCAAUAACAGUGUGUGAGAAGUCCUCUUGACCUAAAUGAGAAUGAGGUCACAUUCAGCUAUCAACUCCCUGUGUCCGUAGGUCACACUCAUAUACCAUUGCAAUCCCAAGGUUUAAUUUCUGAGUUGGGCUCAUAACUAGAUGAUAUAUAAUAGGCCCAAUCUUACCUGAGACCAAUGGGACAUAAGCGGCAUAUAUCUCCAUCUAAUUGUCAAAUAAUUGAUAUAAUUUGACAAUUAGAAAAAUAUUUCAUGCAGAAAUUGAUUGUUAUUAGUAACCGGAAUGAGAGCGAAUUCUUGAUGAUUGCAAUUCCUGAUAUUGCUAGUAAAAUACAAACAAAAUCCAAUUGUAAUAGUAUCCCUUUUUAUGUCGUAAAGAAAAGGUCAAGUUCAUUAGUUGUCUUUUAAGGUCAUAAAUUAGCUUUUGUUUAUCAUAGAUUUUCAUACGUGUGAAAAUUAUCCUAAAGGCUGUACAUUAUCUUGCUUAUAAAUUUCUUUGGCAACCAUUUAUAAUACCUGCUAUAUACGUAAAUUUCCUAACUGUCUUUUGUAAUUGUAAAUGCUAUGUUGAUGGAUUUGUCUGUUACAUUUCAAUCCCGUCCUUGUGGUCCUUGACAAUGGAAGGACUUCCCAAUCCAAAAGAAAUAUGUUAUCAAACUAAUUGUAUAAAAUCCUUGCAAAUUUAGUUUGUGAUAGGUUCUGAAUUAUCUCAACAUUGCAAGUAUAUUUAUAUUAAUAGGGUUUCAUCAAAACAAAAUGAAGGGAAUUAUUGGUAUUAAAGUAAUUCCAUAAGUAAAGUAAUUUAUAAUCUUUUGAAAUAUGUUCCCUUGAAUUUAGUUAUAAAAAUUUGUUAAUAUCCACAAAAUGUUUAAUAUAGGUGACUCUUAAAAAGCAAUACGAAGAAUGAGAAGGAGGACUGAAUUUUCAAAUAAAAGCAGCUACGCUAAUCUAAUUGAUGCAUGCCUUUUGUGUAUCAUGUUUAAAUAAAGCCCUUAAUCAUUGCAUAGACCCCAUAAUUGUAAGAGUACAGAAUUUUGUGCAUAGUUUUUUUUUUUUUUAUAGUAAAAGUAGGCCUUGGCAAUUGUAUGAUUUUCAUUAUGUCACAACAAACUCGUCAUUUCAAAUUCAGAAUUCUUGUUCUUGGAAUUCCUAAGUGGUAUUCAGAAUUCUUGUUAUUGGAAUUCCUAAGUGAUGUUCACCAUUUCUUUACUCCACACAGCAGAAUUUGAAAUCCCCUGUGGUAAAAGAAAUUAAUGUCUUGCUAAAUAAUUCAUGAGUAAGAUUCACCUUAAAGAUCAUCUUAUUUGGUGAUCACCCUUAGAUACUCCUUUGGUGAGAUUGGGACACAUGAAUAAGGCCGCGUCUGUAACAAUAUCAAAUAAUGGAACUUGAUACCUUAAUGGAAAAUUCAAUAUCGUGAAGUCCAGAAAAUUUUAUAGACUUACUUCAUAAGUUUCAACGGGUCUUGUAUUUCAAUUCAGCUACUUAGUAUGUGUUAGUUUAAUUUCCGAAGCUUCAAGUGUUUGACAUUAUAAUCUUCAAGAAAUUUGUGCCAAAAUUUUAGUUUUUAUUUUUUAUUUUUUUAUUGUUGAGUCCAUCCAACUUAGAUUGUAAAUUUUAUGUGGCUUCAAUAUUUUAUCAAGAAAUGGUUGCCUAGUCUCGUAGGACCAUAUGUGGUUAUUGCGGUUUCUCUUCAUGGCGAUCUACAAAUCUAAAUACCAAGUCCUUUCAACUAAGUGUCUUUGCAUUUGGCCUUUAUAGUAUUAUAGAUAUAAUUGAAUGCACUUUUGGCAUCAUGAACACAAAUUGACAUAUUUAUGUUUGAUAUCCUGUUAAAUUGGUUAUUAAUAAUGAUUUGCUAACAUUAAACUAAGGACAAAAAAUUGCCUGGUUAAGAAAAACGCACGACGAUUUUGUCCAGCAAAUGUUGAGGCGGCUACUUAGUUGACCAGAAAAGAUUGCACCCUCAUAGUGGCGAUUAGCGCUAAAGUUGAUGGCGGGGCCCAAGACUCCUGUGAUGUAUUAAUUUCCCCUCGGUCAGUAAAGGGUGCUGGACAUAUUUGUUGCGGGUCCCGCAAGGCAGUGUGUGUGAGUCUUUACGUAUUUGCUUUUUCUUAAUCGUCGUAGUCUUUAGAGCUUUUGACUUUAGCCAUAGUUCUUGGUGGACACUGGCAAUGGAUAUGAGUUGAACUCUUUUUGGGCCGAAAUUUGAGGUUGAAAGUGUUGUUGGGUUUUGCUUUAUUGUACAUAGAGAGAUGAGCAAUGCUCCACUCGCUUGUCCAUUUCCGAAGGAGAGAUUCUUCGAACGAAAUAAAACUAGCUCACUAAUCAAACUAAGCUCAGCAUUGCAAGUUAUUUAGCGAAGGAAAGAGUGGAAUUAGAAACGGCAUUAAUAUAGAGAUUUUUUUACUCCGUUUUUCUUAUUCUCUUUUUUCUUUUCCUUUGGAGCUACCUUAAUGAUCCCCCUCUCCCCUUGGCACUCGUAUGUAUUUACAUUUUGAAAGUUCAUGAAUUCAAGAUUUAAAUUAAUUGUCAAUUUCGUGAGCAAAUUCUGCAGGUUGCCUUUCAAAGAUUGGAGACAUUAGAAAUCAAUGACUUGGAUAACAUCAAAUUUAUAUUUUUCCCAUCCAUGGUUGAAUCUCUCACACAACUAAAAAAGCUGACCAUAUCGAAUUGCGAGAAGAUGGAGGCGAUCAUUAUGAAGGAAGAAGGGUUGGGAAUGGAAACAUCAGAAAUUUUGACAUUCCCGAUGUUAACCAAUUUAUGCUUAGAACGAUUGAAAAGUUUGACAUGCUUCUCUUGUGGAAAGGGUAGGAUUGAUUUUUUUGUUUUUAUCGCUAAUAAUUGUCUUGUAGAUAUGUUCUUCCCUACAAUACAAAUGGUGAUAUUCUUUUCAUCCAAUGAAAUACCAAUGACAGGUGCACGAGAGAGUCAAAAUCAAGAUCGCGUCAGAUCACGCGCCACUACUCUCUUCAAUCAAGAGGUACAUGAUUGACACUAUGUUAAAAUAUUAAAUAUAUCGGACAUAAGCAUAGCCAAGAUAAAAAUUAAGUUACUUAUAAUGUAUAUUUUGGUUAAAAUAUUUUAACAGAAAACGAGUGUCGUACAAGCUUAAGUGUUCACGGUUAUUGACAUGUAUGAGUUACAACUUCUUACUUUUAAUUUCUCUACAAAUAGUUCCCAUAAAGAUGGUUGAACAUCUCUUAUCGUACCUGCACGAAGCAUGAACAGGUAACACAAUUGCCAAAUAGGAUCUCUAAAUGCGUCUGAUGUUCCCAAAAAACUUAAAAACUCUCAUCAGCCUCACAUGUAAAUUUCCUAACCGUCCUUCAUAAUUGUAAAUGCUCUGUCAAUGGGUUUGUCCGUUAGAACAAAAUCCCAUCCUUGUCCUUGAUAAUGGAAGGACUUCCCAAUCCAAAAGAAAUAUGUCGUCAAGCUAACUGUAUAAAAUCCUUGCAAAUUUAAUUUGUGAUAGGUUCUGAGUUACCUCAAUUUAUUUAGUUUGUGAUAGGUUUUGAGUUAUCUCAAUUUACGCGUCGCAAGUAUAUCUAUAUUUAUGGGGUUUCAUCAAGACAAAUUGAAGGGAAUGUUGGCAUUGAAGUAAUUCCAUAAGUAAUUUAUAAUCUUUUGAAAUGUGUUCCAUUAAAUUUAGUAAUCAAAAUUUGUUAUUAUCCACAAAACGUAUAAUAUGGGUGACUCUCUUAGAAACCAAUACGAAGAAUGGGAAGUAGGACUAAAUUUUCAAAUAAAAGCACCUAUGCCAAUCUAAUUGAUGCAUGCCUUUCGUGUACCAUGUUUAAAUAAGCACUUAAUCAUUGCAUAUGCCCAAUAAUUGUAAGAGUAUAGAAUUUUAUAAGUUUUUUAGCAAAGGGAAGACUGGAAUUAUGGAGAUUUUUUUACUCCGUUUUUUUUAAUUAUUAUUUUCUUUGUUCUUUUCCUUUUGGGCUACUCAAUAAUCCCCCUCUCCCCUUGGCACUCACCUGUAUUUACAUCUUGAAAGUUCAUGAAUUUGAGAUUUAAAUUAACUACCGAUUCCGUGAGUGAAUUCUGCAGGUUGCCUUUCAAAGAUUGGAGACAUUAGAAAUUAGUGACUUGGAUAACAUUGGGUUUAUAUUUUUCCCAUCCAUGAUUGAAUCCCUCACACAACUAAAAAAGCUGACUGUAUCGAAUUGCAAGAAGAUGGAGGCGAUCAUUAUGGAGGAAGAAGGGUUGGGAAUGGAAACAUCAGAAUUUUUGGCAUUCCAGAUGCUAAUUGAUUUACGCUUAAAACAAUUGAACAGCUUGACAUGCUUCUCUCGUGGAAAGUGUAAGAUUGAUUUUUCAUUUUUAUUGCUAAAAAUUGUCUUGUAGAUAUAUUCAUCCCUAUAGUACAAAUGGUGGUAAUGACAGGUGUACGAGAAAGUCAAAGUCAGGAUUGCAUUAGAUCACAUGCCACAACACUAUUCAAUCAAGAGGUAUGUAAUUAACAUUAAUCAAAUUAUUAAACAUACCGGAGACAAGCAUAGCCAAGAUAAAAACUAAGUAAGUCAUUUAUUAUAUAUAUUUUGGUUAAAAAAUUUAACGGAUGAUGAGUGGUGUACAAGCAUAAUUGUUCAGAGUUGCCGAUAUGUAUGAUUUGCAAUUUCUCGCUAUUAAUUUCUCUAGAAAUAAUUUCCAUAAAGAUGGUUGAACAUCUCUUAUGGUAUAUACACAAAGCAUGAAUGAGUAAUACAAUUGCCAAAUAGGAUCUCUAAAAGCUUUCCGAUAUUACCAGUAACUUAAAACUCUCAACAACCUCACUUGUAUGGCUUAGACAUUGCAUGCAUGUACAUUGAAAGCAGUUGACAAAACAAUCGAGAGGAAAGUGAGCUAUAAGUUUCAAGAGGCUGGAGAUGAAGGGCCUUUUAAGACACUCACUUGACUUCAUUUGCACUAACAAGAUCUUCUUCUUUUUUCCUAGUUAAAGGAAGCUUUACUCUCUCUUAAUUGCAUUAGCAAAGGGAAUCGAAGCCUUCUCCGUCGCCAAACUGAGCGAGACCUCUCGGGUCUUGGGCUUCAGAUAUCACCCCUCUUAUUUUUUCCAUGAAUGGCAAGACCAUUAUUAUGGAACUUUUAUUAAAGAAAUAAAAUACAUUUUGCAAAAGCAACCAUUUUUGUUGAGUCAUUUGAAUUGUCGAGCGCAUAGCGAAAAAUGUUCCUGUGGAGAAUGAAAUAGAGCAAUGUACAGACCAGUUGACUUUGACUAAACUAAAAGCAAUAUAGGCCGUUCACCUAAAAUGUUGUCUAUGCAGCCAAAAUAGGCUGUACAAAUGGGCCCUCCCAUGGGAUUAAUACGUUGACCUUCUUAGAUAUUUUUAAUAUAUUAUAAUGAGAUAUUUAACACCAUUUUCUAUAAUUUGACUCCAGUUUAUGUAUAUGAUCUAUCGUUUGCAUAUAACUAUUAGACCUUCUAGCAUUAAUAGAAAAUCAAUUUUAAAGGAAAAUUCAAUUGAUUUAAGUAUAUAGCAGUUUGAAGUGUGGAAUGAUGUGAGUAGGAUUUGUUCAUUUGACCCAAGCGAUUCCUAUUUUAAUUGCUUUCUCGUAGCCUAACUAUGUAAUUGCUUUAUAGUGAUCUAAUAUUGAUUAGUGGCAUUCGGUAUUAGAUAAAAUCAUAUCUCUUACUGUAGUGCACCAUUUGAUGGUUGAUCUAUCACCUUUUUAAUUUCAAUCUCUCCAUCAUUUUCUUUCUAAUGCCUAAUGUUCUUCCUCAAGCGAUCCCUCAACUGCAUUCUCUAACGGUGAUUACCCAAUUGACUUGCUUUUUGUUUCUUUAACUAAAUUCUUCCUCAUACUUAAUUAAUUUACGAAAUGGUGCAGAUUCAUUGAAGAAUUUCAUCCAUAUUGUAACUAAUGUCAUUAGGUUAUUGUUAUAUGAGCGUAUUCAAAUUACCAUUUUGCCCAUAUUUAACACAUUCUGGUUAGAAUCCCUACAUAGAACUUUUUGUUUUGUCUCCGGUACAUUUCAAUAGCCUUCCCAUUCUAGAGUCAUCGACAUUGGUAUGGAGAUUUUUUUUUUUUUUUACUAUUUUCAUUUUAUUCUUUUUCUCUUUUGUGCAACUUAAGAUAGAAUUACCAAUUCCGUAAAUUUGUAAUUUACAUCUUGGCACUCUUCUUAUUUACAAUUUGAAAGUUCAUGAAUUUGUAAUUUAACUAAAUCACCAAUGCUGUGAAUACUGCAGGUUGUGUUUCCUAACUUGGAGAAAUUAUUUAUCGAGGGCAUGGAUAAAAUCGAGACAAUAUGGGAUGAUCAAAUUCCUACGAAUUCUUUCUCUAAGCUAAGAUUGCUUUCAAUGAAUGAAUGCAAAAAGCUUGUGCACGUUGUACCUUCUUUCAUUUUAGGACAGCUCUUGAGCCUGGAAAUUUUGAAGGCAAAAGCAUGUGCUUCCCUUGAAGUUAUUUUUAAACUCCAGCCACUAACUCCUCUAGAUGGAAAUAGUGUUGCUCGUUCUCCAUUAAAAGAGCUGAAGUUAAAUGAAUUAUCAAAGCUAAACUGUGUAUGGGAUAAGGAACUCUACCAUCAUAUUAAAUUCCAGUGCCUACGUUUGGUUACCCUUCAGGGAUGCACUAGGCUCACCUCUUUGUUUUCAGCCUCAAUAGCCAGAGAUCUAAUCCAACUUGGGAAUUUGGAGAUCAAUCAAUGCGGCAUUGUGGAACUCAUUGAGAAGGAAGGACCCGAUGAGUUGAGCAUCAAUGUGGAAGCCAUAGAAGGCCCAAGUCAUGGGCUAAAAGUAGCAUCAUCCUUUCCAAGUUAUUUUCAGCAUUUGAAGACUCUAGAUGUGUCAUGUUGUCAUGGGUUGUCAAAUAUGUUCACACCGACAAUGGCUAUGAAUUUGGUGGAACUCACAAGAUUGAGAAUUAGUAGAUGUGAAAUAUUAACAGAAGUCAUUAGUGAUGAGGAAGGUGGGGAGGGGCAUGUGGUGGCUUUCAAUCAAUUGAAGUAUAUGGAGCUUGAUGAGUUGACUAGGUUGAGAUAUUUUAGCUCAGGUGGAUACACUUUGACGUUCCCUCUCUUAGAAGAUAUCAUUGUGAAUAGAUGUCCUGACAUGAAGUUCUUCUUCGAGGGACCAAUGGAGGCCCCAAAGCUAGAGAGAGUACAAGUACGUUUGAAUGCAAGGUAUGAAGCAAUAAAGUACCAAUAUUUUUGGAAGGGAAACCUCAACAUGACCAUCCAAAAUAUGUUUGAAGAAAUGGUAUGCUUCAGUUGCUAAAUUCUAUGCAAUUUGAUUUUUUUUAUUAUGACCAAUAAAGUAAUUGUUUUAUUUAUUUAUUUAUAUGAUAACUAGAAUUUUAUGUUUAAUGAUGCAUCUUCUUAUAGGCUACAUUUGCUGGGAGUAAGUUUAUGCGGUUGUUGGACUUCCCGAAGCUGAUAGUAAAAUGGCACAAUGAACCUAAUCCCAUCACAUCAUCUUGGCAACCAAAAUCGCUAGUGGUGGAUAAAUGUCCAUCAUUUAUUAAUGCUAUUCCAUCUAGUUUGAUGCUUGUUUUAGACAAAUUGAGCUUUUUGCAAGUCCGUGAUUGUGAGUUGCUUGAAGAAAUAUUUGAUUUGGAAGGUUUGGAGGCUAUGGAGAGCACUAGAGUACUACCUCAGCUACAAGAAUUGAACUUGGCCAAUCUACCAAAAUUGAGGCGACUAUGGAACAAAGAUCUUCAACAAUCGAUAUGCUUCAAUUCUCUAGGUAGUCUCAUCCUUUAUAAUUGCAACAACUUGGGACAUGCUUUCGCUCCAUCGAUGGCUCGGUGCCUUGCCAAUCUUCAAAAUAUAAAAAUAAAGGAGUGUGGUCAGAUGGAGGGAGUGAUCGCAGAGGAAGAGGGGCAAGGAAGUGUAGUGGAGAAUAUUACAUUCCUAAACCUUUUGCGGAUGGAACUGAAAUGCUUGCCCAAUUUGACUUGUUUCCUAUUGGGAAAAAAUCAUAAGCUGGAAUGCCCCAAAUUACAAACGUUGAGCAUUGCCUAUUGCCCUAAGAUGAGAACUCUGAUUGGGCAGUCUUGGAUGGAGAAUGACCACAACGCCCUUUCACUUUUCACUCCCCAGGUCAGUCUUUCAAACAAAUGCAUUUUUGGCAUUUCAUUUGGAACAUAUUCUCAUAGUAUUGGACAAUGCACGGUACAAUGCAAAUUUUUUUCUUUGCGCGGGUUUAUGUACAUAAUCUUCUAAUAUUUAAUACGAAAACUAAAAAUAUUCUAAUCCUCAAUAAAUAUUACUAUUAUAUGUACAUCUCUAUAUCCUAUUAGAAGCGUUAAGUUGGUGUAAGUUCAUGCAAUCAUAUCAUGCGCAGUACUUUAGAAUUAGUUAGUGAGGUUCCUAAAAAAAGUUAUCACAAUAAAAAAAAUUAUUUUCUGCAACUUCAAUUAUAAUGAACUAAAUAGCAAAAAUAGAAUAACAUCUAAAAAUGGCAAAAAAAUAUGAAGUAUCGCCCACUUCAGAUUUUCUUGCACAGAAGCAAAUUGGCGUCAUUCUAUUAAAAAAUGAAGAAAAUGGGAAAAAGAAAACUUCAUAAUUAUAAAGCCUAGUUCACAAAUUGCUUAGCUAUUAUGAGCAUAAUCAUCUCCCCAAUCAAUGAAAUUGGAGGAAUUAGAGAGAAGUGCUCUUUCAAUUGGAGUGCUCUAAACUUCGAUAAUGAUCAGUUAGUCAACUUUUUUAUAUAUUAAUAAUCACCAAUGCUUGCACUGGGUUUUGAUUAUAAAAUAAAUAAAAAUGGAAAGGCCAAUAUGCAUGAAGUCAUUUGUCUUUUUUGUUCGUAAAUCAUACUCAAUCGCUGUACUCCAACAACCUAUCAUAUUACGUACGUGUAUUAUACAAUAAAUAUUAACUCUAAACUAUCAUAUUGAGUGAUAAUUAGUAUGAUAUUGCACACAAUCUAUGUUUAACAAGAGAAAAUACAGAUUACCUUUUUCAGAAAAAGAAAUGGCGAAAAAAAGGAAAAAAUAAAAGAGACAAAAGGAUAGCUGGAUAAUAAAUAGUAGCAAUUCUUUGGCGGUUGCCAACAUUGCAAGUCUUAUUUCGUAACUAGAUGACAAUAUUUAGUCAAUGUCCUGACUAAAAUAAAAUUAAAAAUCGGAAUAAAUUAUCCAACCAACGCCACCACAGAAGGGAAAAUAUUAGGAUUCGUAUUGAAUCAUCCGCAGAUUGACACGUGGCAACGCCGGACCCACUGCUCUCCUCUUCCUGUUAUGGCUCUGCUCCCUCACUCUCUUUCCUCAGCGAAGGUGCAUCUAUACGUGAACCACACCACCGCCUUGGCCUCCAUCAGUUGCGGUGAAAAUAGAAAAAGGAAGAAAUUAGAUCAAGUCUAUUGGGUGUUUUAGACUUUUCCCCCCUUAAGAAUUGUUCUCUCUCAGCCAUUUCGGUUCACCUUGAUCCUCCUUUUCGCAACGAGGAAAAAAAAAAGUUGAACCAAAUCUACACAGUCAAAGUAACAAUAACUCUUCUUUCUUCCCCUCGCCCCCCUUCCUCUACUUUCUUUUUUUGGGGCGAUUGAUUGGGUGGUCCGUCCAAUGGUUGAAUCGGAAGCUUCGGAAUCGCUUCUCUGAAACUCCCCUCCUCUCUGUGCGCGUGCUUCCAUGGGUUCCGAGUGAUUACGCGAACCGGAGCUUGUUGGUUAUGGUGGGUCGAAGUGGGUCUCCGAAGCGGAAGCGAUUUCGGCGAUGAUUCGGUCGGGGCGUUGAUUCUGGCGAAGAAAAAUUAAAAAAAUCUUCUCUUCAGCCCUCUCUUCCUCCUCCUUCGUCCCACAGCCGCCCGACCUCCGCCCCUCCUCCCCUAUCGCCAACGGCGGAGUCACCGGUGCCUUGAUUAGGCUGACCCCCGCUAUGUCCAAGCCGCGUAUGGCCGGCUUCCUCUGUUUUGUCCGUCUCAUCAUUCUACAGAUCUCGAAAUCUGGCCGUCCAUAGCGACGGAGUUGCAGAUCUGGAAGUUGACCACCGCCGCUCGCAGCCAUGGACGAGCCGCUGUUGCUAGAAACAUGGUUGCAGAUCUAGAAGUCCCGUCGCGAGCAACGACGGCUUAUGGACUGCCAUUGUCCCCUCCGUCGUCGCCCGCGAUUGGCUCGUGGUCGUCGCCCGUCCAGAUCUGGGCUGGAGUCGUGCCUCCAGAUCUUGCAGAUCUAGAAGUCCCGUCGCGAGCAACGACGGCUUAUGGACUGCCAUUGUCCCCUCCGUCGUCGCCCGCGAUUGGCUCGUGGUCGUCGCCCGUCCAGAUCUGGGCUGGAGUCGUGCCUCCAGAUCUAGUAUCGUCCAUGGACGCAAGCCUAGCUCGUCCAUGGCUCGCCAGGAGGCUCCUCCACAGAUCUGGCGACCGCAGCUUGUCCAUGGCCAUGAGUCUUGACGGCGAGUUUGAGAUCCCUUCGUCCAUGGACUGCGAGGUCAAACGGCGAAAGAGAGAACAGAGAAAUAGAUGUCAGGGAAGAGCGGCCAUGGACGAGAGGCGUCAUGAAUGAGUAGACCACAGAGACGAUGUAGAGGGUUGGACGCUCGGCAAUGGUCGCCUUGGACGCGACGCCGGCAACUCCGCCGGUGGCGAUGGCUGGGGGACGCGGGAAGGUUGGGCUCAAUGUGGCUGGAGAUGGAGGAGAAAGCGUAGAUGGAGAAGGAAAGUGAGGGGAAUUGAGAUUUUUUAUAUUGAGUCAUCUGACCAAAAAACAGUCAAUAUUUAGUUAAUGUUGUAGCUACAUAAAAAAAUUAAAAAAAAAAUGGACUCAAUCAUCCAGUCAACACUUCCUUUCCGUCUCAUGAAGUUCUCCUCAUGUGAAGACUAAACGCAGUAAAUGACGACCUCCUCCGGCACUUCUUUUUUUGGGUCGAAACUGAGGCACUUGAAAAUGCGCGAUAUCAUUUUUUUAUUACAGAUUCUAUACAAGUUUUUUUUUUCCCCUAACACACGAAAUCCUUUUUUUUUCCUUAUUCUAAUACUUUUGCGCAAUUCUUUCUAUCGUUUUAUACUAGUAGAAUAGAAUGUUUAAUUAUAACAAGUAUCUACACAUCUGUUUACUUUUUAAUUGUAAGAAUUAUCACUAAUUAUUUAUUUAUAAUGCCAUUUGCAUGGAUAAGUUAUUAUAUAAUACCUAGCCCCACAUUCUAAGAAUAUUUCAAAAAGUCAUUAUAACACUCAAUCAACGAUACUAAUAAAUUUGGGGAAGUAUGAAAAUAGUCACCUGAUCUUUUGGUAGUGACAAGUUGUGAUAGAAUUGUUUUCAUUUUAGUGUCAAAUAUGAGCUGUCAUAUAAUAAUUGAUUUCUCCCACAUUAUUAGAUAAUUUAAAAAACUCAUAAAAAUCCUCAAUUAAGAAUAUUGAUAGAUUUAAGGAAGUGUGGAAAGUCUUUUUUUUUUUUUUUUGUGACAAGUCGUAAUUGCAUUAAAUAUAUUUUAACCAAAUGAAAAAUAUCAAUACUUACUUUUAAAUGGACAAUUCGUCGAGGUCAUGAUGUAGCAAAAAGAAAAAAAGAAAAAAAAGCACUCUUGAUUUUCUCCAUACAAACAAAAUGCAAUCAGUGGGUGCACACCCACUUUUUGCCAAAGGGUGGACCACUCGUACGCCACAAGAUUCUAUUUUUUUUUUUCACCUCAAAUUUGAAUAAAAUAUUAUUUCAAGGAUGUUAUUAAAGGUCCAAUGUAAAACUAGUAAAUUGUCCCAACUUGCUUUUGCUGAGAUCAUAACAUUAUGUUAUUUAUUCAAGUCGUUAUGUUGCCCAUGCCUAUUAAGAAAUUAUUUUCUUUUAGUACAAAAUUUUUCCAUGCAUAAAAAAGAAAAAGGUUGUGAACAAUUGAAGUUACUAUAUUUAUUUUUUUAUAUCCGGUUCGCCAUAUCCUUGACCUUAGCCAUCAGUCAACUUGUAUAAAAGCAUCAAUCAACCUCUCCCUAUUUAUGUCCCCAACAAAAUCUUGAGUUCUCAUGAUUUGUGAGAACAAGGGAAGUCUGGAAAUUCCUUCUUUAAGGUCAUAACUCAAUGUAAUCACAUUCAUUGUGUCAUUUUUUUUCUCACUAUGGCAGGUACAAUUUCCUGAACUUAGGUCGAUGGAUCUCUCCCACAUGAACAAUUUAAGCAAAAUAUGGACUGACACUCCUCAAGAAACUCUUACUUUUGAUUGUCUAAGGAAAGUGGAGGUUCGGAAUUGUAAGGGCCUUGAAAAUUUGUUUCCGUAUUGGGUGGCUACAAGUUUAACCCACCUUGAAAAACUUCAAGUGGAGUCUUGUGAGAUCGAGGAAAUAGUCGCUAAUGGGGGUGACACUCCAAGCUCCAAUACUACUCAAGAUCUUUUCCCAGUACUAACCUCUUUGGUGUUACGUGACAUGCCACGACUCAAGAGUUUCUAUCCUAACUUGCCCACUUUGCAUUGGCCAUUAUUGGAGGAAUUACGAGUGAUUCACUGUGACAAACUGAACAUGUUAUCCUUUACGGCAUCCAUGAACAGUUGGGCUCAAAAAUAUGAUCAACAAGACCUUUCAAAUCAAGAAGCACACUCUUCAUUCGAGAGGGUAUGAUUGUAGCUACUCUCCAUUAGUUUCUACUUUGUUCUUUAAAGCAGUCAUUAAUAUCAUAUCCAUUGCAUAUCAUGUCGCGUUAUAAUGUUAUAGAAAACAUGAUCUCCCUUACUUAUUAGUUUGUCGACAACAUUAAGAUAUUUCUAAUAUCUUAAGUAUACUUUCAUUUGUGGACAUGCAUAAGAUAUUCCAUUACCUAGAGUUACAAAAAUAUUUAUAGUAUUCUAUUGACAACAGAAUAUAUUCCUAAUCUAACUGAAUGGUGCUCCUUGGUGACAUCAAUAAGAAUUUGACAAGAGGUCCUCUCAAUUAUUGACAUGUGUCGCACAUUUGAACUUUUCUUCUCUAUUUCAUCUUCUACAAACUCUAAAAAAACACCAAUUGAAACUUUUUUUUUAAACAAAAAUAACAUCAGUAUUUAGUGCACCAUUUUCUAAUGUAUUUUUUAAUACACUGCACAGUCAAGUCAUCGUGUUGUAACAUUAGUAACAUUAGUACCUUAGUGCAUUGCAUAGUCGUCUUGUUGUCCUAUUAUAAUAUUAUAGAAAACUAGAACCCCUUUCCUAUAAGUUUGCGGACAACAUAAGGUAUUUCUUAUAUCUUAAGCACACUUCUAAAUUUGUGGACCCCAUAUGUUUUAGUAACAUCAUGAGCGCAUCUCAUUACAUAAGAUUCCAAAGAAGAUAUAUUUUUGUUGACAAGAUAUUCCUAACAAAAGAUGAAUUUAGUGAUUGUAUGGGUCUUGAAUUUAGAUUCACAUUAUCCACUUGACCUGACCAACCUUCCAUGCAAAUCAUCUAAAUAGGUUUACUUUUAACAACACAUGAUUUAUUGCCAAAACUUCGUAGAAUUUACUUCUCUUAUUGUAUUGGCUAUUUGACAGGACUUUCCCAACUUUGAGAGACUUUUAUUAGUCAAUAACAAUAUUCAGAUGAUACAAGAUGGAAAAUUUCCCGAUGACAUCUUUAGCAAACCAAAAGCACUAACACUGGCAUGCUUUCAUGAUGAAAAGGCCGUUUUUCCUUCUAUAUUCCUCUUAGAAAGAUUUCAGAAUCUACAAAGUCUUGAGGUAUUCUGUAGCUCAUUUGAAGAUAUAUUCCCGGACGAAGGGUUUGUUGAAGAGGGGAAACAUCUGGAGCUUGAAAAUUUAAGAGAAAUUAAGUUAAACAAGCUAUGCAACCUGAAGCGUGUGUGGAGAGAAGACUCUUUAGUGUCGAAAAUUCUUCAGAGCAUCAAAACAUUUGAGAUUUGGGAUUGUCCCUGUUUGACGACAAUAUUUCCAACUGUGGCAUCCUUCCAAAAUUUGACGAAGUUAGUGGUGAAGAAUUCCUCUGGAUUGGUACAUCUAGUAACAGUUUCAACGGUCACAAAUUUGAUGCAUCUGGAGAGGAUGACUAUAAUAGAAUGUGAAAGAGUGAAAGAAGUAGUGGCCAAUGAUGGAAACGGAGAAGGAAAAGUGAUUUCUUUUGGAAAUCUAAACUUUUUGACACUCCAAGAUCUGCCAAACCUAGAAUGCUUCUCCUCCAUCUCGAGUUGCACCUUCAAGUUCCCAUACUUAUUGAGGAUUAUAGUGGAAGAGUGUCCGAAAAUGAAGACCUUUUCUAAGGGUACGCUAAGCACACCACAACUAUUUAUGUUGGCUAAUGCGGUGAGCCUAUUCAGAUACAAGUGGAAAGGGAAUUGGGAGGAGGGCGAUGAUCUCAAUACGACCAUACAAAAGUUAUGGGCAUAAACAAAUGCACAUAGAAUUGGUAAAUAUUCAAUUGAUGUCAUUCUCUCAUCCAUUCGUAUUUUUCUUCUUAUUUUUUGGUAGCACGGUAAGUUUUUAAAUUUUUCUUUUUGUAACUUUUCUAUUAUUGAUACCGUCGGAUCAAAGCAUCAUCAACCCUUUUCUAUCGAUCGAUCGAUCUCGCCUCCUUCACUGAACAGUAGGAAACGAAGCAAGGCUCUCCUUCUCCUUCUUAACGCCAGAGGCUCUCUCUACUGCGUUCACGGAGGACGGAGCGAAAAGUAAGCGUCGGGAAUUGCCAGGACUUGAGAGAAGAUGGCAUUGCCAAGUCUGGACAGUCAGUCCUCCACUCACUUCAUCAAAGAAGAACAUCAUUCCCUCUCCGCAUCUAUAUUCGACGAAUCGUAAGUUCACGCUUCUGCUCACAUCAUUUCUCUCGUCUGCUAGAAUUUCUUCCCGAUUUUCGUGUCUUAUUGCACGUAAUUUUCUUCCGGUGUUCGUAGAGACCUUUCCUCAAUCGUCGUCGUCUUCUUCAGCUAGGGCUCUGCUUUUUAAAUUCGUUCCGUGUAAAUUUCUCAGUCCGCUACUUCAGAUCAUGGACCAAUAGAGGUCCUUCACUGACAUCAUCAAAGAAGAAGAUCAGUCUCUCUCUCUCUCUCUCGCUCUAUCGCUCUCUCUCGCACUUGAACCCGGCAAACUCGUAAGUUCACUUUUCUCCCAAUUUUGUUGUCUUAUUGCGCAUCAAUUAGGUUGAAGUCGGAAGCUGGUUUCGUAGAGACCUUCCUCAAUCCUCGCCUUCUGCUUCAGCAAAGGGCUCUGUUCUUCAAAAUUCAUUCCACAUUAGAGUCUAAAAGGAUAGCAAUUUUAUCUUAACAAUGGAGUAAUUGAAAUAGGGAAAAGAAUGAAAGGACUAUUAUUGGGACAUAAGCUAGUGGUUGGAGGUUCGAAAAUAUAACAAUCGUCUCCUUAUUUAGUGGAUAGAUGCGUUGGAAAAGCAAUUCCUAAGGAGUCUUAGAAUUAGAAUCCAAGUCCUCUUAUAUGGAGAAAUUUGACAAUGUGAUUCAAUGUCGGAGAAGUAGAAUAUAUAUGUUAAUCGCACAAAGAGAGUAUGUUCAUAUGGACAAGCAAAUUGCAAAGAAUGUUGCUUCCUCCAUAACUAAAGAGAAAGACCUAAUUGAUAAGGGGCUGGCUUGUUGUGAUUAUGAAAUUUCGUUCUAGAUGUAAUGACUGAUAAUUUUGUUUUUAAAUUGGAGAUGCUGUUGUAUUUUAUUAUAUUAAUCAGAUUUAGGGAAAAAGAAAAGAUUUUACUUCGUCAAAUUGAACCAAUAGUUGAUAAAACGNNNNNNNNNNNNNNNNNNNNNNNNNNNNNNNNNNNNNNNNNNNNNNNNNNNNNNNNNNNNNNNNNNNNNNNNNNNNNNNNNNNNNNNNNNNNNNNNNNNNGAUUCUUUUUCGCUGGUCGGCCCAAAUUUGGAAGAGAAGGUCAUCUGCAUGUAGAAACUCAUUGAUAGGGAUGAUUUUCUGUUCAGAGUCCACAUAUUCACUAGUGCUGGUUAGGACUUGAUUUACAUUGAUCUAGAUGAACUCUGGAAGUGUCACUUUCACUGGUCCAAAAUGAAUUCAGUAUUCCAAAUAAUAACUCCUUUAUAUAGUCUUGAGGAAUCAAGGAAGUGUACUUCUACGCCGAUUGGGUUUUAUGAGGUUGAUCACAAUCCAGAUGCACACUCAUUAAUGCCACAUUCUAAAUCUAAAUGAACUGAAAAGUAUGUGCUUCAAGACAUCCUUUUUGGUUUAUGCAUUCUUCAUUUUGAAUUUAAAAACAAGUCUCAUAGGCUUAUUAAAAAGGUUCAAGAGGAUGCUUUUGAGAGAAUGGUGCAAUUAUUUGGCCUGUAGAAUUGGAAAAAUGUGAUGAGAUGGUUUGGUUAGCAAAUGGUUUGAAUGAAUAUGCAGAGCAUUACUCUAUCUGUAAGGUUCAAUUUUUGGUCUUCUAAUAUGAAGGGGACUCCAUUUCCCGUGUCACCAUAAUUGAUGAAGGGAUGUCCACGACAGAAUAUCCACCAAUCAAUGUUGAUAUGAGGAACCAAGCCUCAGCAAUUAUGGAAUUGUCUUGCUCAAAGUGGAAGAUGCCUUCGAUUGCCAUGACGUUUCAGUCAAGCUUCAACUCUGGGGGGAUAAUUUGCAUUCAACCAAGUGUCCUCGAUUUUGUAUGGAAAUCGAAUUUGAUCAGGUUUGCAAAGUUCAUGGCGGUUCCUAUGCACAUUCAUCAGCAGAGUUUGGGAGGGACAAAAGUUACAACUGCUCAUCACAAGAUCUUCCAGGUGUGAUUCUUAAUAUUAGCUAAUUCUUCCAUUGAUUGUGUGUGUGUGUUGAGACUAAGUGUGCCGGCGAUUGCUGUGAUGUUUCGGUUGAGCUCGAAGUCUCCAUUGAUUGUGUUGUUUCUCAUGUUUGAUUCAAAUACUGUACAGGAACUGUCCAUUUCGUUUGGCUAAGAGAAACUGCAUUAGAGUUAAUGCUAAGAGAAACUGUGUUAGAGCUAACUCAUUCUCUUAAUGUUUCUGUGUGUGUGUGUGUGUGUGUGUGUGUGUUUUUCUGUGUGUGCGUGUGUGCAUGUGUGCGUGCGCGCGCGCGCGCGUGUGUUGAGACUAAGUGUGCCAGCAAUUGCUGUUUCGGUUGAGCUGUGUGUGUGUGUGUGUGUGUUGAGACUAAGUGCGCGUGCGUGCGCGUGCGUGCGUGCAUGCACGUGCGCGCGCGCGCGCGCUUGUGUGUGUUGAGACUAAGUGUGCUGGCGAUUGCUGUGAUGUUUUGGUUGAGCUUGAAGUCUUGGGGGAUUAAUUGCAUUCAGCUUUGCAUGGCAAUGGAAUUUGAUUAGGUUUGCAAAGUUCAUUGAAAUUCCCAUGCACAUUCAUUAGCAAAAAGUUUGGGGAGGGACAAAGUUCAAACUGCUCAUCACGAGAUUUUCUGAGAGUGAAUCUUAAUAUAUUAGCAAAUUCUCCCCUUGACUGUGUUGUUCCCAUAUUUGAUUCGAAUAUCAGGUAGGAACUCUCCACGUCGUUAGGCUAAGAGAAACUGUGUUAAAGCUAAUUCAUUAUUGUAAUGUUUCUUUGUCUAUAGCUCUCCCGCCUGUACAUAUGUAUGUGUUUGGGGAUCUCAUAAAUAAUGGAAACAAAGCAAGCCAGUCAUAUCAGAUUUCAUUGUGAUGAGAAUGGAUUUGUGUGCAUAUAGGCCUCAGGAAGAUAGAACAUUAGUAAGACUCAGAUCUAUUGAUUUAGGGUUGCCGUGUCGGUAGAUAUGGGUUUUACAUAACAAGAAUAGAAUAUGCCUAAAACGCUAAAGCUUUUUUCAUGUUCUGUUUGUGGCUGCUGUAGGUAAGCUGAGAGAGUCAGGCUUGUGAAGAGCUCUCGAACUAGCCAGCAAAUUUGUACUCGAUUAUCCUUUCUUCCAAAUUGCGGUGAGGUGAAUAUAUCUGAAGAAAAGCAAUAUGGUAAGAUCCUCAUGACAAUGACAACUCUUGGAUUUAAAUCACAUAGAGUUGCUAGACUAUGUUAGAUCUAGAUAUUUAAUCACGUGGCCAAAAAAAAAAAAAAAAUUGGGUCCUUUACAUGCUUUGAAAAGGAUAUUCAUACUGUCUUCCUCAGAAAUCGUUGGUUGUUUUCUUCUUUCGGAUGACAAAAUUGCGAAUUGUCUCCUUGAGCAGAGAGUUUCUGGUUCAUUCCUAAAGACGCAUGUUAAGAAAAGCCCGCAGACCAUGGCUCUCAUAUUGCAAGACAGCAUGGCGUUGAAGCUCACCAGCCGUGAACAUUAUGGAAAGCUAUUUGCCUACAGGGCUGCAUUCAUGAGAGAAACUUCUCUGAAGGCGGAAGACGCGUUAUGUGUUUGAGCUCUACUGAUAUGGACAAUAUCAUGUUUGGACCAUCCAACUUCAGAACCAUUGAUAAGACUUGGCUGAAUGAUAAUACUAUGCAAUACGAUAUAGCAGAGGAAGUUUCGGCUUAGCUCACUUUUGGUGAGAAUGUGGCUUUCAGAAUGGCUAGGCUAAAUUCUGCUUCCAAUUCGGCAAAAUGGAUAAAAGCAUGAGUCUUGUUCCAAUGGAUGAAAUGGUCCUGAAUGUGUACAAUGCCUUUCUUUGAUCCUAGACUUAAUAAUCACCAUGAGGGCACGAGUUGUGAGUCGGAGGAAGCUGAUUCCUACUUUUGACUUUGUAACUUCCAUUUCAGGAGACAAUCCCUCAAAUCUGGGGCUUCUUCAAGGUUUCUAGUGGCACAACCUGACCUUUAGAAUUGUAGAGGGUAGUAACAUCGGAUACACUUCCCCUAAGCCAUAUACCAAGUCUAAAUUUCAAGGUGUAACCAUGACUUUACAAGCUCUGAUGAACUUAAUCAGAUUCUGUUCAUUGUCUCUUUUUGAUUUUUUCAGGAUUUCGUGAUCAGUCUUUUCGCAUGAGAGAAGUUCGUUAGUUUCUUCUCAUAUGGAAAGCAUUCAGAAUUUAUUCUGUCAAAUUAACUGAGUAAUGAUAUGUAUAGCAAAGCAAUUUCCAAUCUAUGCUGCAUCUUUUCAUGGUUAGUCAAUUGAGGAAAUUUUCACAUUAAUAUCUACUAAAAUUCCUCAUUGUUCAACUGUGGAAAAAAGGAUUUCUAGUCACCCACCUUUCUACCCUCGGCCAUGCCGCCAAAUGAAAUGAUAUCAUAGGAUUUAUAUAAAGAAGUACCCCAGAGUGGAAGGAAUAGCUUCACUAUUUCUAUUUUUAUAGAAAUGGGAAGUAGUCUAUAUGUAGAUUGAGCCAUUCUGAGUUGGUUUUUCCUGGUCUUACACUUCCUAGAGCUCUCAUUACACGCCUAAAUUAGCUUGCAAAUUCGGUUUAUAGAUGUCCUUUUUCAAAAUAGUGAUCCCGCAUUUUAUAUGAAUAGUUUAGUAAGAUCUUGAGCUUAAUUCGUCACCAAUACCUAAAGCUUAAUUAUGAUUGCUAGUGCCUACAAUAUGACGACCGUUCUAGCAAUUGAUGUCCACUUGUUGGAGUAUUUUUUUCCCCAUUUAUACAGCAUUUAUAAUUGAAGCCAAUAGAACGCUAGAACAACAUUCACUAAUAACACGUAAUAAAAAAGAAUGUUAGCUAGAAAUAUCUUUUAAUCCUUUAGCACUUUCAAAAGGAUAAAUUAAUCCUUAAAUUUCCUCGACCUCAAAUUAUUACCUUCUUGUUUUUUGCCCUCCAAUUUUAUCCUUUGAUUUCUCAUUCCACAUAACAAUUGCAUAGCUUGGUUGUUCAAACAUGUAGAUUAUUAUCAUAUUUCGGGUGGAUUCAUUAAGCAACAUAUUCGAAAAAAAAAGCAAAGAGCAACUCUUAGGUAUUCUGGCAGUGAAGCUCGUCGGGAGCUAUAGACUUGUAAGAGGGGCUUGGUCUCUAUAUUUUUCUUCUGGUUGACAUGCAUUUCCGAGAGAAACUCACACGCAUGUAGGAGACGGUUUGCCUAUUUGAGCUAAUUGAUAGGGAUGAUGGUAUUUGAAGACUCCAUUUUGAGUUUGCAUGUUUCAGCUAGUUGACAGGGAUGAUGGUGUUUGAGACUUCAUUGUAUGAAAUGAGUACUCCCAUGUUUAGUCGUGCUGCAUCACUGACAAGUAAAUUUCCUUUUCUUUGUUAAUUGAAAAUAAACUCAAAAAGAUUUUAUGAAGACUUUGGUGCCUCGAUUUGUAACACAACGAUUUAGGCAGGAAUUCUAGGUAGUUAUAUUUUCAUGAAUUUCCACUUCUUCUUAAUGUUCACAAGAGUUACCACCUUAGUAGAAGACAAUGACAAUAUCAAAAUGGAUGAGUCAUUUAUCCAGGUUAGAGUCAGGACAACUAAACUGAACUCUAUCAUUAGGUCCCUCAUAAAUGAAUGGACUAAGAUGAUCACCUAAAUGCUUGCAUUCUUUGCAGCAACAGCUUCUCAUUACUAUAUGCUUAUCACAACUUGCGACUCAGAUACCUCUAUGUAAUGACAUGCUUUUCCUUCUCCCCAACGUGGUGUCAUAGAAUCCACAAAGAAUCCUUUUUAGAUCUUCAUGAUUUUUAUUUCUAGGGAGUUUUUGUGUUGAUCCGCUGUCACAUAACACGUGUAUAAUCAACGUCAACAUUGCUUAGGAGUGAGCUUUAGGAGGUCACCAAUUCUCUACACCGCUUUGUAACAGAACGAAACAACAUAUAAUAUUGAUACUAAUAACCAGAAAGCAAAGCAGACCCAUAUAAAAUUUCAUUGAACCCCUAAAACACCAGAGCACAUAAUUAACAAAUUUGAUGGGAUCAUCGACUAAUUUAAAGAACAGCGGUUAAGCUAUGCAACAACAGGUUACCUAUAGUAUAGGUCCUAUACGAGGGUUAGGAGUGUCAUUGAAUAGCAAAAGCAAAUUACUACUUCGAAAAGAGACGAGCAUGUCCAGACUCCAGAAUCUGCCAAUGGUUGCUUACCCUUUCGAACAAAGUAAGGCAGGAAAAUAGGACGCGGGAGACGUGGAGCUUUCUCGAUCCUUCUUCUUCUUCCUCGGGAGCGAAACUGGGGGAACCUCUGCUUCACUCCAUGGAGGACGGAACGAAAACGAAGCGUCGGAAAUUGCGAGGACUGAGAGAAGCGAAGCUGCACUUAGCGGAGCGGAGUGAAGUAGAGGGGGGAGAGAGAGGGAGACUCAACCAGAUGGAGUGUUACUGUCGCCGCCGUCGCCGCCGCCGCCGCCGCCGCCAGAGAGAAGACGAAAGUGCGACGCCGGAGAUGGCAUAACCGAGUCUGGAUGGACAGUCCCCCACUCACUUCAUCAAAGAAGAAGAUCAUACUCUCUCUCUCUCUGACGAAUCGUAAGUUCAAUGCUUCUGCACCCACCAUUUCUCCCGUCCGCCAGAAUUUCUUCCGAUUUUCGUUUCUUAUCGUGCGUAAUUUUCUUCUGAUUUGCGGAAAACCUUUCCUCAAUCGUUGUCGUGUUCUUCAGCAAGGUCUCUGCUUUCAAAAUUCGUUCCACAGUCGAGUCUUGUCCAUGUAAAUUUCUCAACCCACUGCUUCAGAUCGUGGACCAAUAGAGGUCCUCAAUCGUCGUCGUCGACAUCUCGCGUGCUUCUCUUGUGAGUAUGUGUAUGGUUUUUCUUUAUCAUACUGGCUGCUUUGGAAGUGUGCAUGGAGCAUUUAGUCAGAUCAUGGCCAGCGAAGAAAAGGAGCUAAUCCGCACAAGCAUGUGGCGUUCUUCUCUGCCAAUACGCAAGCAUUUGUGAUAGAAUCACGUAUGUGUAGGAGAUUUCUUACGUGUGUGAGCUCAUUAUGGAGAUGAUAUAAGGAGUCGCUUUUAUGCUUUGUUCUUAAUAAACUUCAGAGUGCUCAUCGUCAUGAGAAUUUGGAGGGAUGACUUGCGGUUUAACAUAUUGAGUUUCUGUUGUAUAACUCUCUUUCCGUCGCUCUUUGCAAAUUCUAGAAAAGUUUCUAAGAAGCUCUUGUUUGAAUCUUGAUUGAUUACGUCAUGAUUUGUACAUAAACUAUCACUAAAGUUAUCAUUUUUCAAGUACAGGGAGGACCAAACAGUUAGAAGAUUUGAGGCACCCGGAGCUGGUUUUUUAUGGUCCCACACACCCAAGACCUCUCACUGGUCUUUAAUUGGCCAACAAAUUUCAAACGGAGAAUCCCUUCUUCAAGGUGGUGAUGAGGCCAUCUUCUGUUAACUAUGGCAUGGUAAGAUCCCAAGCUUAUUUACUCAAACUGGCAUGACUGAAAAUCGAAUAUAUCAAUGCUGUUUAUAUCUUUGCCCAUACUCUAAUGUAAUUCCAAGUUCACCUCAUUAAACCACGACAUGUUCUUUUCCCUGAAGUGUUCAUGAGUAUAUGUUUAAAACCAGGUAUACAUCUUAAUGAUGGAGUAAUCAAAGCAGGAAAAAGAAUGAAAGGAUAGUUAUGGGGACAUAAGCUGGUGGUUGGAGGUUCGGAAAGAAAACAGUCGUCUUCUUUUUUUUUUUGGAUAGAUGUGUUAGAAAAGCAAAUGCCGAGGCAAGUCUUAAGAAUUAGAAUUUGAGUUAUAUGUUAAUCACACAAGGAGACUAUGACAUGAACAGGCAAAUUGCAAAGAAUGUUGCUGUCUCCAUAAACUCUGGACUGCUCAUUAUCAUGGGAAUUUGGAGGGGUGUUGCGGUUUAACAUGUCUUGUUUCUGCUUGCCUAACUCUCUUUCUCUUGUUCUCUUCAAAUUCUAGAAGAGGUUUUUUAAGAAGCUCUGGUUUUAAUCUUGAUUGAUUACGUAAUGAUGUGGGAAUAACUUCCAACCCAUGCUAUAUUUUUUCAUGGCAAGUCCAAUUAAUGAAGUGUAAACAAACUGUUGCUAAAGUUGUCAUUUUCCAAGCACAGGAAGGACCAAACAGUUAGCAGAUUGAGGCAUCCUGAGCUGGUUAUUUUAUGGUCCCACACACCCAAGGCUUGUCACUACUCAUAAAUCGGCCAACAAAUUUCAAAUGGAACAUCCCUUUUUCAAAGUGGUGAUGAGGCCGUCUUAUGUUAAGUAUGGCUUGGUAAGAUCCCAAGCUUAUAUCCUGAGACUGGCAUGUCUGAAAAUCAAAUAUAUUCAUGCCGUUUAUAUCUUUGCCUAUACUCUAGUGUAUUUUUCCAAGUUUACUUAAUUGUAUAGUAAACCAUAUGAUAUGUUAUAUUCCUUGAAGUGUCCAUGGGUAUAUGUUUAAAAUCAGGUAUAUAUCAUAACAAUGGAGUAAUUGAAGCAGGGAAAAGAACGAAAGGACAGUUAUUGGGACAUAAGCUAGUGGUUGGAGUUUCAGAAAGAUAGUGAUUAUCUUCUUUUUUUGUGGAUAGAUGUGAUGCAAAAGCAAUUGCUGAGGUGUCUUAAGAAUUAGAAUCCAAGUUCUCUUAUAUGGAGAAAUUUGACAAUGGAGAAAUCAGGUAUAUGUAAAUCGCACAAGGAAACUAUGUGGAUAUGGACAAGCAAAUUGCAAAGAAUGUUGCUGCUUCCAUAACUAAAGAGAAAGACCUAAGAAAUGAGGGGGUGGCAUUUUAUGAUUCUGAAAUUUUGUUGUAGAUCUAAUGACUGAUAAUUUUGUUGUCAACUAGGAUAUACUGUUGUAUUUUGUUAUAUUAAUCAAAUUUGGGGAAAAAAGAAGAUGAUUUUACUUUGUCAAAUUGAACCAAUAGUUUGAUAAAACCUUAUUUGAGCUGCGCUUGGAAGAAUCGAACAGCUUAAGUUUGACAUUUGACAUAUAUGUGCCAGUCAUCGAUGUAUUUGCUUUUUCCCUGUGAUUGUGGUCUGUGUAGCUGAAAUUCGUAUAUAUAGGACAUGGAAGGCUUCUUCUGAAUGUUUCCCUAUUGCACUCUAGGAGCAUAGAUAUUGAUAUUUGACUUUGGAUUGAUGACUUGCAUCAUAUGGUUUAUAUUAAAACUCACGUUGUGCGUGAUUUGAUUCUCUCAUUAGAGUAUGCUUAUAUUUUGGUCUGUUUUUCACCAUAUGUUGGUCUUUCAACCAUGUUUAGGGGCAGUCUGCUCCUAUUCAAUUCAUCAUGCAACAUAUUUAGGAAAUCAUGUGAAUUGCGACUUUCAGGUAUUCAGUCAGAUCAUGGAGGGUGAAGCUAAGGAGCUAUGGAGACGCAAUAUUGGGGCGGGGGGUUGUUUUUUUCUAUUGGUUGGCCCACAUUUGCAAGAAAAAGUCAUCUGCGUGUAGAAAUUCAUUGAUAGGAUAAUGUGGUGUUCAGAGUCUAUGUAUCCACUAGUGCUACUUAGGACUAUAUUUACAUCAAUCGAGAUGAACUCUGGAAAGGUCACUUUGGCUGGUACAAAAUGAAUUCAGUAUUCCAAAUAAUAACUGCUUCAGAUAGUCUUGAUGGACCAAGGAAGUGUACUUCUACGUUGAUUUUGUUUAUGAGGUUGAUAAUAAUCCAAAUGCACACUCAUUAAUGCCACAUUCCAAAUCUGAAUGAACUGAAAAGGAUGUGCUUCAAGAUGUCCUUUUUGGUUUAUGCAUUCUUGUUAUAUUGUUCUUCAUUCUGAAUAUGAAAUCAAGUCUCAUAGGCUUAUGAAGAUUAUACAUUUUAUUUUUUCCCACAGGGAAUACCAAAGAGGUUCAUGAAAAUAUGGUGACAAUCUCUCGAAAGGAUGAUUUCUGAGAGAUUGGUUUGGCCUGUGGAAUUGGAAAAAUGUGAUGAGAUGGUUUGGCUAUCAAAGGGUUGGAAUGAAUUUGCAGAGCAUUGCUAUAUCUGUGAGAGUGUGAGGGCCAAUUUUUCGUCUCAAAUCUGAAGAGGACUCCAUUUACCAUGUAAUCAUUUUUGAUAAAAGCAUGUCCGAGAUAGAAUAACUGCCAAUCAAUGUCAAUAUGAGGAACCGAGCCUCAGCAAUUGUGGAAUUAUCUUGUUAAAAGUGGAAGAUGCCUGCAAUUGCCAUGAUGUUGCAGUUGAGCUUGAAGUCUUAGGAGAUGAAGCCAAGUGUCCUUGGCUUUGUAUGACGAUGGAAUUUGAUCAGUUUUGCGAAGUUCAUGGCAGUUCCUAUGCAUGUUCAUCAGCACGGAGUUUGGGGAGGGACAGAAGUUUGAACAGCUCAUCAUGAGAUUUUCCAAGUAUGAAUCUUUUUAUAUUAGCUAAUUCUCCCAUUGAUUGCGUUCUCUCAUUUGAUUCGAAUUCCAUACUGGAACUCUCUAGAGCUAAAUUCAUUCUUAUAGUGUUUCUUUGUCUCUGGUUCUCCCAUGUGUGCAUAUGUAUGUGUUGGGGCUUCUUGUAAAUUCAAGCGAAUGGAAACAAGCCAAACUGGUCAUAUCGGAUUUGAUUAUGCUGAGAAUUGUAUUGGCAUGCAAAUUGGCCUCAGGAAGCUACACUGUUAGUAAGACUCAGAACUAUUGAUUUAGGGUUGCUAUGUUGGCAGAUAUGAGUUUCACAUAACUAGAAUAGACUAUGCCUAGAAAGCAAAAAAUUUCUUCAUGUUCUUUUGUGACUGCUGCAGGUGUAAGCUGAGAGAGCCGGGCUUGUGCAGCGCUCUUGAACCGGCCAACAAAUUUAAACCUGAGUAUCCUUUGUCCGAAAUUGCAGUGAGGUGAAUACAUCUUAAAAAAAGACAAUGUGGCAAGAUACUCAUGACAAUGACAACUCUUGGGUUUAAAUCACAGAGUCGCUAGACUAUGUUAGCACUAGGUUAAUCGCGCAUCAUGUCAAUAGUUUCUGUUGUUAUCCUUCACAUGCUUUGAAAAGGAUCCUCCCACUAUCUUCCUCAGAAAUCAUUGGUUGUUUUCUUGUUUCUGAUGACAAAAUUGCAAAAUGUCUGUACUUGAGUAGAGAGUUCCUGGUUAAUUCCCAAAGACGCAUAUUAAGGAAAGCUCAUAGAUCACUGGUUUCAUAUUUCAAGACAAAUCAUGGCCAUUGAAGCUCAUCAGCCACGACCAUUAUGGAAACUUAUCUGCUCGUUGGGCUGCAUUCAGGAGAGAAACUCCUCUGCAGGUGGAAGACGUCUGUGCGUUCGAGCUUUAUCGGAAGGGACAAUAUCGUGUUCAAAGUAUCCAUCUUCAGAACCACUGAUAAGAUUUGCGUGAAUAACAAUACUAUGCAAAUACGAUGCAGCAGAGGCAGCAUCGGUUUUAGCUCACUUUUAGUGAGAACUAAACAGACAGAAUUGCUAGGCUGAAUUCUGCUUCUAGUUCGGCAAAAUAGAUAAAAGCAUGAGUUUUGUUCCAAUGAAUGAAAUGGUCCUGAACGUGUACGAUACCUUUCCUUGACCCUAGACUUAAUGAUCACCAUGUGGGCGGGAGUCGUGAGUUGGAGGGAGCUGAUAACUAAUGUCAGUUCUGUAAUGUCCAUUUCUGGAGACAAUCUUUCAAACUUGGUGCUUCUUUAAGGUUUCCGGUGGCUCGAUAUGACCUUUAGAAUUGUAAAUGGUAGUAACGUCGAAAACACUUCCCUUGAGCCAUAUACCAGGUCUGAAUUUCAAGGUGCGACCAUGAGUUUACAAGCUUCGGUGGACUUACAUCAGAUUCUUUUCAUCGUCUCUUUCUGAUUUCUUGAAGAUUUCGUGAUCAGUCUUUUAGCACGUGGGCGCCAAUUGAAGUUUGUUGAAGGGCUUUCGGAAUUUUUUAUUUUUUAUUUUUCAUAUUAGCUGAAUGUUGAUAUGCAUGACAAAGCAAAUAUGCUGGCGUCUUUGGGUCGCUGCGGCACGACUCUUCCGCAUACUCUCUCGACAGAUACAGCAUCCGAGCCUCCAGCAGUGGCUUUUCGUCUUAGAAUCGGCGCUCUCAGAACUCGCUCUCGCCGCCGGAUAAAGCUCGCCGAUUCUCUCUCUCUCUCUUCCUUACAAGAACUCGAUACCUCCUCCAAAGCACAACCGACGGCAAUGGAAAUUUGGGAGACAGCAAGAGGAUGGGAGAAAACAAAAGCGAAACAUCCUGGAGAUGCAACGUCCCGGCAAUUGCGAUUGUUGAUCAAGGAAACUCCGUGGUCAAUUUCGCUGUCGUGGCAGCAAGGCGACUGUUAUCUUCGAACCGGUAGCCACACUGUUUGUGCUUCAGUCGCUGCUGGAAGCAACAAUCGUUAGAGAAUUCAAUCUCGAUGAAUCGCUGGCGGGUGCUCCGUUCGCGAUUGGACUUUCUCUCCAGAUUUUCUCCGACUAGAUUUUUUUUUUUUUGCAACUUCUCUCUCUCUCUCUCUCUCUCUCUCUGGCUCUGGAUUCCCCUGAUUCAUCUCCACCAAUUCAGAUCAUGCCCACGGUGAAGCACACCAUCGGAUUCCAUAUUCGAGUCGUGACCACUCCGAUUCGAGUCGUUGCUUUUCCUGUCCUUACCCAUGUCUGUCGCCGGGCCAUCUCAAGCUCACGUGGCCAUCGCCACCGAACCAUCAUCAGGGCCGUUUCAUGUCCGAUUGAACUUCCAAGUCAAAUUCCGAUUCACUCCAAAAUACGUUCUGUUGACUCUUGCUUCGUUCUGUCCCGCUCCCACUUCAUCGCCGUCUUUCAAUUCCAUUGUUUCGCCCAUCCAUGCCACACGCAAAGGGGAUGCGGAGUGGUUUGUUCACUGUUUACAAGAGUUUUAUCCGAUUGCCAAGGCUGAGGUUGGAUGGAUGAUCAUCAUCUGGAUACAAUCCACCGAUUCGAAGGAUGAGAUUCUUCGGGUUUCGCUCUCAGCUCCCCUGCCGGUCCGGCCUCGCUUCAUCAACCGCGGCAGCCGAGGCCAAUCUGGGUCGUCAUUAUCAUCCGAGACGAUAUGCCAAGCGUGAAGAUUGGCGGCGGUGAGCACGAAGAGAAAACAACGAAGAACAAAAAGGAGCGAAGCAGCGGAUGGUGGUUCUUUGGCUGAGAAGGAAAUAAAGUGCUGAAAAAAAAAAAAAAAGAGACGAAGGGAAAAAAUAGAGUGCCCACGAGAAAUCGAUCAAAAGGAAGACUUGCAGAAGAGAUGUAAUUCGUCAUUCCAUCGAGCACCUUCCUUGCAAACUCGAUCCCUCCUCCACAGUGCGACCGACGGCAAUGGAUCUUUGGAAACAGAUAUCAACGGACGAAGUCAAAACAUGUCAAAAUUAAUUCUAGAAUCGAAUCGAAGAUGAAAUGACCUGGUGAUAAGUACGACCGUCGAUCUGACAUAUAUCAUGAUCGCCCGAAUGUUAGCGAGGAACCGGCUGUCCAUGGAUAUUUCUUAUGGUGCGAUCUUCGUUCCUCCGUCUGUUGUUACAGAAUCGUUUCACUUUCUCUGUCUCUCUAAGCGCAAUUCAACGAACACCUUCUGCUCAGAGGACGCAGCACUCAAUGACCAGGAAACUCCGUCUGUCAAGUUCUUCGCCAUGCAUCGUUUUCUCUUUGUCCAUCUUCAUUCUUCACUAAGCCUUCCUCCAUCAGGGUCGUUUCCUAUCCGAUUGAACUUCCAAGCCCAGUUUCGAUUCAUUCCAGAAUACGUUUUGUCGAUUCUUGCUUCGUUCUAUUCUCUCCCACUUCAUCCCCGCCUUUCGGUUUCCAAAUGCCGUCGCUCGCGUCCUUCGUUUCGCCCGUCUAAGCCGCGCACAAAGGGGAUGUCGGGCUGGUGUAUAGGAUCCACUGAUUUGAAGGAUGAGAUUCUUCGGGUUCACUAUCGGCCCUCCUGCCGGUCCAAGAAGCCCGUUGAAAGGAAGACUUGCACAAAAGAUGGAAUUCCUUGAGAGGAAGAUUCAUCCCACGACUCAAGCCAUCAUUUUCAUUUUCUUUUCCUUAGAAAAAGGCAUCAAAAACUCCAAACGACGCCAUUGCUGCGUCUCUUCGUUUCACAUACCUUUGUCGGAUCUCUCCCUCCAUCUCGAUGCCCUCCCCCGCUCAGUGAAUUCCGAGUCGCUCCACCAUCACCCUCACUGUCUACUGCUGCCUUGAAACCGAGUUGCACUCACCUAUUUCCAGUGUGAGCCUUGUGAUUGAUUCCGUCCCUUGCCGUCUUUAGAAACUUUCGGUGAUAAUUUUUUUUUUUUUUUCCUUCUUCCGGUUUAAAUAGCGUUUUCGUAUUGUGGAUUCUUACAUGUUUUGACAGAGGCUUCAAUCUGGUGGCCUCGAGCCAUGUUUAAUGCUCUUGUCAUUUUGCUCGUCAAUGGAGUUCAUGUCAGAUUUUUUUUUUUCCUUUUUUCCUUGUUUACAAUCGUGAAUCCGAGACCACUUGGAAACGAGCGAACAUUGAACUGAAAAUGUCGUGAGAAAUCGCCACAGCGAGCAAGGGUUGUGCAGAGUUAAGCUCAGUCAAACAAUGGUUCCGUUUUCCUCUGUUUUUUGGCAUCCUAUCCUAUAGUUACUUCUGGAUUUAGUUGUGGUGCAAGGGUGACUUACUAGCCAUUCCUGAUCAGUCCUUCGGUUAAUGCUUUUCUCUAAAUCUCGACUUGAGGAAACCUCGGAACAUAAGUUUUUGCAUUUCCUCAAAUAAUUUCAGUAGUUUGUCUCAAUAUUUUCUGUGCUAAGCUAGCUUGACAUUCUAUAUGGAAUCCAUCUACAAUGUUAUAAUCUCUUCUGCUAUAUGUGAGAAUACCCUAGAGUUGUGUAAUGCGGUCGAUGGUAUGAAAAGUGCUAGGUAUAAACAAUCGGUCUACCAACUUGGUGUGCAAAUGAGAUUUUUCCCAUCAUGUAGUCUUUUUGUACAAUCAAGUUACUAAACUUUGAUUUCAAUUGCCUGAUGCACUAACAUUAUUUUCCCCCCUAUCCAAUCAAUGCAUUACGAAGACUUUUCGAACAAUUUUUCUACGCAUUAUUGACGUGGUGUCUUACAUAUCUGAUUGGAGAUGCUAUUACAACGACAUGAUGCCAUAUGGGUCUCAAUUAAGAAAAAAGCCAAAAACAAAAAGUUUAAAAAAAGAUAGGGUUACGUGGCCCUUGUGUUACGAGGGGAGGUUCUCAAGGUGUAAGCCGAUCAGGAGGAAGCUAAAGUGAUCAUAAGUAUCUAAAUCUUUUUUUAUCCCCAUUAGAUUUUCUAAAGAUUUCUUUAAUUGAGUCCAUAAUUACUAUUUUCAUUUCAAUUUGCCCCGCAAAUUGAUGAAGGUCAAUAAGCGAUUUUAGAGUCAUGAAAAAUCUAGUUGCUAGAAGCAAGCCAAACCAACACAAUGGUAAUUUCGUCACAUAUUUUUACCGACACAAUCGUAAUUUCAUCACAUAUUUUUACGCUCAAGGGCAUUGGUUUAUUUACUAAAAUAAUCAUUACUUAUUGAAGUUUGCCUCCACUAAGAAAAAUCUCUAGAUGCAUCCAUGGAUCAACCAUAAUUUGGUCGGGUUUCGAUUAAGUUACAAUUUCUGAAGUUCAUUCCGCGAUUGAAAUGAGAAUUUAAUGAUUGAUUGCAAAAAUGCGCUAUAUAAUUCAGUCAUCACAAUUGAUUUACCCUAAAUAAGUAGGUCUUAUAUUUUGAAGGUCAGUCUUAGUGCGUUUAAUAUUGUUCUUUAAGUAAGUAAUAGUAAUAUUUGUGUUCUUUUGGAUAUAUAACGCAAUUCCAACACAAGUCCACACUUUAACUUCUGGCCUAGCCUCAUCCGAUCAAACUUUCGCAAAAUUCCCAUCAAUCAAUCUCAUUUUCCUCUUCAACCGAGAGGCCACUCGUAGCCACAAUCACCGCCUUCUCCCCAUCUUCAGUUGAAUGAAAACCUGCUGAAUGAGCGUCAUGCGAUCUUUUGCGGCCAUUUUGGCUCAGUCUUUGAAAGUUGAGCUGAAAACUUUUGGGGAAUAAAUAUCUGAAAUCAUUUGAUAUAGGACUACACACUCUGCUUCUGCUUUGGAAUCGUAGGUAAGUGUUAGUUUUUGAAUUUGUAUGUCAGAGAGAUGAACUACACACGUAUCCAUAUUCAACUGUUGAAGUUUCUGCUGUAGGCAAAGGUGAAAUCAAGACUUGAUUACGUGCAAAUGUUCUGCCUGGGUUUUCUCAUGUGAAACCAAACAACCUCAGUGUAAGCUGUGAUUUCUCCUAUAAUAGGUCCAGAAGAAAAUAGAAGAAAUGAUAGCGUAAAAUAUAAAUACUUUUUUUCUUUUGGGCGUUCCGAGAAAUUACUCGAAAGAGCUCUAUCUUUUGACAGGUGGCUAAAAAUCUGUUGUUUUAACCUGGGCCAGAUUUUUAACUAGUGCCAAUAUACAGGAUGCGGUGGCUUCUCAAAGAAGGUGUUGUAGCACUUUUUUGUGUUCUCAUUUUGACAUCUGUCAAGCUAAAAUAGAAUGUGAUGAAUGGAAAUUCACUAGCAUAUCUACAAUUUUCUUUUUCUUUCUAUAACAUUUCAAACUCCUUCGUUUAUGAUUGUUUUCUGUGAUUAUGUUUGUCUCCCAGUUACUGAUUAAUGUCUCUUUUUAUGUUACAUGGACUGCUGUGAACGGACUCUUUUUGUUUUCUCUUCCUAUUUUGGCUAGAUUGAAAAGUCUUCUACUGUGUUGAUACAGCUGUAGUGUUGCAUGCUCCAAUAUUUUCGGACUUGCUGAACGGUAGUUCUUCAAUUUAUAGCAUCGCCUCACUUCUUGCAUUGUAUCAAAUUAGGUGCUUUGAUGGUGGGUAUCUACUAUUCAUAACUAUCAAUUUAGUAAACAUCAAUUUUGUCGCAAGAAGCGUACUAUGUAUGCUAGUGCUUCAUUCUCUCUUUCUUUGGUUCUUGUAGGUAUUGGUGGCUGCUACUAUUGGUGCCUUUUACUUUGCAUAAACAAAAGGGAUACACGCUUACUUACUUCGAUUAGCUCCCACCUGAAGUAUCCGUCUCCCUCUGCACUCCCACCCUGUUCUUUGCUUAUCUUCCUAUUUUAUCAGUUUCUCAAUUAAGAGUAUUUGAAACUGAGCAAGAAUAGACUUGUGGUCACUCUUGAUGGUGAUAUUUUGUCUAAUCCAUGUCGUACCACAUCAUUAGUACGCUCAGUACUUCGUCAUGAAGCAACCAAAAACAGCAUGUAAAAGGGACAUCCUAAUUAAAGAAGGAACCACAAGGGCACUUCAAGGCUAGUAUCGCUAGUGCCUGCACAGCAAAAGGAAGAGAACUAUAGAGGGUAUAUCUAGGAAAUGUUCCAAUAUUCAAUGAGGUAAACCCAAUAUAGCUAAGAAGUUCACCCAGACUGCAAACCUAGAACAUCUGAAAAGCAAUGAAUGAUAUAUGUAUCCAGCCUCUGUAGUAUGUAGCGUUCAGCAGGAAAGCUAUGUCUAGAAAUGAAAAGCAUGUAGAAAACUACGUUAAUGAACAUGCCUCAGAUGGACAGCAAAGCUGAAUGAUUGCUUAGUUGAGCAGAACAUGCCUAUGUGAUUUAAUAACUUGCACAAUACCAUGUUAGGAGGGUAAAGAACCCAUGCAUGCACAGAAGUUAUAUGCCCUAUACACUUAAAACAUUUAGUGGACUGGUGAACCUCCCCGUUUGUCAUGAUUCUGAUCUUUUUUUUUAAAAAAUAUGAUCUGCGUGUGGAAUGAGCUACGAAACAAUUCUCGUUCAAUUGAUCUUACUGGAGAAUUAUCUGAUACUUCGGUUUGGCAAUGAUCUUGAUGCAAAAUCCUGCUGCAAUAUCAUCACCAUUUAAAAGAAAGGAAAAAUGAUAUAAAUAUAAUGGAUUGAAUCUAGCAUCAAUUGAAAGUCAAUCAACAAAUGUCCAAUUCCACGACCUCAAUUUCACCUCAGAAGCAGCUAAGAAAACUUAUAGGAAGAGGAGGGAGGAGCUGUGCAGUGAAAAGAGGAGGAACAGCUUGCUGUAGGAACUACAGUGGCAUUGCCAUGGUGGUAAUCAAUCCUCAGGUACAUUGGAGGUCGCACUUCCACCUUGUUCUUUGCUUCAUUUUUCUUUCAAUUUAUAUCAGUUUCUCAAGUAAGAGUAUUUGACACUGAGCAAGAACAGACCUGUGAGCAUGAACAAAAUGAUAACCCAUGGGGUGGUCACUCUUGCUGGUGAUAUUUGUAAAAUCCACGUCAUACCUACAUUGUUAGUACACUCAGUACUUCCUCAUGAAGCAGCCAAAAAGCUACAUAUGAAAGAGACUUCCUUAAAAUAUAAAAGAAACCACACGGGAACUUCGAGGCCGGUAUCAUUAUGCCUGCAAAGCAGAAGGAAGAGAAUUAUGGAAGAUACAUCUAGGAAAUGCUGCAAUAUUCAAUGAGGUAAACCCAACGUGGCUAAGAAGCUCACCGAAACUACAAACCUACAAAAUAUGAGAAGCCAUGGAGGAUACAUAACCAAGCCUCCGUAAUAUGUAGCGUUCAAUAGGAAAGCUACGCCUAGAAAUGAGAGAAUUUGCUCUAAGGAUUGGAAGCACAUAGAAAAGUGCUUUUCCAGACGCACCUCAGAUGGACAUCAAGUUGAAUGAUUAGCUUAGUUGAACACCCCUCUGUGAUUAAAUUCCAAUCAAACUGGUCAAAACACAUUAAUAACUUCCACAAUGCAACGUUAGGAGGGUAAGGAACCCAUGCAUGCACAGGAGAUAGAUGUUCAAUGCAUACAUUUAAAACGUUUAGUGGACCAUGUGAACCACCCUAUUUAUCAUGAUUUUGAUCUGACUACAUCAGCAAUCGAACAAACAUUAACAUAUAAGUGAACAAGAUUACAUGAUACAACCUCUUGGUUGAAGUGAUUCAUGCAGAACCAAAACAUACCCUCCAAGUUCUCAGUCUGUUCCUGUUUGUAAUGCCUAGCAUGGCAAUCACAAAAAUGGUGACUACAUUCCCACCAAACACUACGACUGUGGACACCAUUAAGGAGAAGCCAAUCCAAGAAUAGUGAAACUGCCAUACUAUUCCAUUUAAACUAGAAAAGACAAUGUAUCAAAUUUAAAUGAUAUAUAUUACUAAAGCACUCGAAAAAUCUAUUUUCAUCCUACACCUGAAAAGCCACAAACAGAGCUGCUCAAUCAAAAUCCCCUAAAACAACAUAUGCUCCAUUAACUAGUUAACGAACAAAUGAAACUACUUAAACACUAAUCAUCAUAUUACUUACUUCCAUAGAGAAUGGGCCAUAGGGACAAGAGAGAAGUGUGCGGUGAAAGCUUGUUUAAGUGCUGUGAUCAUUAUUUUUCUCUAUAGUUGUAGCGGAACUUAGCACUUGUGGAUAUAUAUUAAAACCAGUCACUGUGAGAGACAGCUCAAUGAUCACCGAGUCGAACUAAAAGGGCUUAACCAAAAAUUUGAAAGGCAAGAGCAUCACAUGAUCUGUUCUAAAUUUAGCAUCAAAAGUCAUUGCAUCCAACACAUAUCUAAAUAUACAAAAAUUACAUAUUGAGAAAAGAUUCAUUGAUGAAAAUAUGUAGAUUGAAGCCCCGAUCAAGAUAAUGACAAAAGAUCAGAAACACCACAAGCGCAAGCCGAAAGUGAUUCGUCAAAAAAGCUAUGGUUUGCAAGUAAAGCGAUUGGAAUGAGCUACGGAACAAUUAUCAUUCAACUGAUCUUGUCGGAAGAGUUUUUCAAUACUCCGAUUUGGCAGUGACCCUAAUGCAGAAACUUGCUGCGAUAUCAUCACCAAUUAAAAGAUGCAAAGGAAAAAAUGAUAUCAAUAUAACGGACUGAAUCUAGCCAUCAUCAAAAUUCAAUCAACAAACGCCAAAUUCCAAGACCUCAAUUUCGCCUUAGAAGCAACUAAACGAAAAAAAAAAAAAAACCUACGGGUUGGGGAAGGGGGAGGAGCCACGUGGUGCUAAGAGGAGGAACGGGCCACCCUAGGGACUACGGUGGCGAUGCCAUGGUGGCUCUCGAUCCUCAAAUACAUCGGAGAUCGGACAUCACAAUGACGGCGACGACUUGGUGUGAGACAGAGCAGAGGAAGAAAUGGAGGAGUUUCCAAGAAGUGCAGCAGAAGGGAUCGGAGAACAUGAAAUUGAAAAGGAAAAAAGUAAUCCUGAUUCAUUUGGGACUUUUUUUUCUUACCCAAUAACAAAUUUCAAACAAAAUUGCUUCAAUUUAAAUCGCUAGAAAAUGUCCAUUGCAAUGAAUAUUGACCAGUUGGCGAGUUUGAAUUCUUAUUUGAUAUUGACGUGAUCAUUCCACACUCUUAUUUACAACAAAAUCCGCUCUAAACUAGUUUUUUUUAGAAAAAAGAUGAUCUCGUUUUAGAUUUUUAUUUGAAAUUUUUCUUAAAUUAUGUAAUGGCUAUUUUAGGGAGAAAUGCUGACUCAUGCGGUCCUCAAACAUGAAAAUGAGAAGGGUGAGGGGGAUUCUGAGGGUGGGCCCCACCAUCAUCAGGAAGCUUGACAAUAUAAAAAUGGAAGAGCUGGACUUCAAAGAUUUGCAUAAAGGCUUGUUCGGUGAUGGUUAUUGAUGUUUCGUUAUUUCAAUUUUUGAUGACUUGGCGUGAGAGGAAGGAGAUGAAGCGAUGGAGGAGUUUCUAAGGAGUGCAACGGAAGGGACUGGGAAGAGGAAACUGGAAAGAAGACUUAAUCCCAGAAUUUUCUUUAAUUUUGUUGUAUUAUAAAUUUCAAACAAAAUUACCUCAUUAAAAUAGUGAGAAUGUCCAUUGCAUUACAAUGAAAAUUUGACCCAUGGACGAACUCGAAUCCAUAUUUAAUAAUUUCUUUUCAUUAAAGGUCUUUGUUUGAUAUUAAUUGGAUCAUUUCAUGUUUUUAUUUAAAAUGAAAUCUAUUUUGCAUUUUUUUUAUAAAUAAAUGACUUGAUUUCAGCUCUCUAUUUGGAAUUUUUCUUAAAUUGUGUAAUCGCUAUUUUUAGCACCGGAAAAUGCUGGCACCGGGGGGGGGGGGUUCCCGAUGGUGGGCCCAUCAUUAUCGUCUAUCCACGUGAGGUGAAACUCUCCGUACAUUUCUUUUUCUUGAUUUUAAACUUCCUUGGAAAAUAGUUUUCCAAAAAAAAAAAAAACUUGGAAAAUAGAGGAGCUAGUUUGACUCUUGGACUUCGACUUGGAAAAGCUUUUGGACUAUUAUCAAAGAAAAAAUUGUUGGAUGAUGAUUAUCGAUCUUUUGUUAUUUCCAUUUGGAAGGGUUUUGAUACUUUAUAAUCUUAUUUAUGUUGAAGUCUUCUUCUUUUCAACUAGAAUUAUCUACAUGAAAUGAUGAUUUUAAAAGAUACACAAUUUUUAAAAGGCAUUUGCUUAUAAAAUUUCUUGCCUUAAAUCAAAAGGAAGGUUAAUGCAAUCCAUUCGUCCCCUCAAGGCUCAAAUCCAACAAGAGGAGGGGGAGGAGCCGUGUGGUGGAAAGGGGAGGAACAGGUUGCUGUUGUGGCUACGGUGGUGUUGCUGCAUGGCUGCCAAUCCUUAGGUACAUCAGAGAUCGGACUUUUCAAUAGUGGCGACACGCUGGUGUCAAGGGCGAUAGCAAUGACUUGGCGCAGAAGGGAGGAGGGGAAGAAAUAGAGGGAUCAGAAAACAUGAAAUUGGGCCACAAGCUUAGACUUUUAUUUGAGGUUAAUUUGGCAACUUUAUAUCCGAACUUAUGAAGCAAAAUCGACACUUUUCUUUUUCUUGCUUUUAAGCUUCCUCUAUAUGAAAAUGGAGGAACGACUUGAACGAUUUGCAGAAAGAUUUCUCGACUUUGACCUAGAAAAACUUGUGGACUAUUAUCACAAGAAAAUUUAUUAGAUGAUGAUUAUUGAUCUUUCGUUAUUUCAAUUUUGAAGAGCAUCGAUGCUUUAGGAUCUUGUUUCUUUUGAGUUCUUCUUUACAACCACAAUUGUUUGCAAAGAGCAUUCAUAUGAUACGCAUGGCAAAACAAUUACCAAUCAAUGUUAUAUUUAUUCAUGAUUAGUCAAUUAAACAAUUUUUACACAAUUUCUAUUAAGGCUUUGUUCAUUUCGCGAAAAAUAUCCCGUUUCUAAAAAGUGUUUUCCAAGAAACCUUUUUUUAGAAAAAUGAUUUUUUUUUUGUAUUUGUUUGAAACUUGAUCAUGAACUAGAAAAUAUUUUCCGUUGUUCGGUUUGGAAAAUUCAAUUUUUUUUUGGUCGAUGGAAAAUUCAAUUUGAUUUCCCUUUGUUCAUUCAUUUUAACAAAUUUUUUAUUUUCUUAAAAAAUCUUUUUUUUUGUUUUUAUUUUUCUUUCUAUUUUUUUUCUUUUUUCUCUUUUCUUUUCCUCCUCCUUUCCUCCUCCUUCUCAAGUCAAUCGCCAUGGCCACGGCAAUGGCCGGUGAGCUCCAGGUCUCGAGCCUUGCCAAAUCAACAAGCGAGAGGCUCACACUCGUCGACUUGGCAAGGCCCAAGCUUGAGGGCUUGGGUCUCACUAAAUCGGCAACCGAGUGAGUUGCUCACCAUAGGCUUGCUCGAUUGGCGAGUGGUGAGCCUAACUCGUUGAUCUGGUGAGGCCUGAGGUCAGCAAACUAGGGACUUGCCUAUGGCUGGUACAAAAGAAACAGAAAAAAAAAAUUAAUUAGAAAAUAAUUAAAAAAAGAAAGAUAGAAAGGAUAACAUGGGUGUGAGAUAAGAGAGAGUGAGUGAGAAAAAUAUUUUCCCAAACUUAAAAGGUAAAAAAUAUUUUCCCUAUUAUAGAAGACCUUUUUUUCAUUGAUAAAAAAUAUUUCCCAGUUUAGUUCAUUUUCUGGAAGUUGUUCUUUACGAAAUAAAUGAAACUUAAAUUCCUCAUUGUUCCAUUGUGGAAAAUGGAUUUCAAGUCACGCCCCUUACCCUCGGCCAUGCUGCCAAAUGAUAUCAUAUCGUAAGAAAGUCCCCCAAUGUGGAAGGAGCAGCUUUACUAUUUCUAUUAUUGUAGAAAUGGGAAGUAGUCUAUGCAGAUCGAGCCAUUCUGAGUUGGUUUUUCAUGGUCUUCUACUUCAAAGACCUCUCAUUACUCCUAAAUUAGCCCACAAAUAAUUUUAUAACUAUCCUUUUUCAAAAUGGUGAUCCCGCAUCUUUUAUGAGUUAUCUGGUAAGAUCUUGAGCUUAAAUCGCCAUUGGUAUACCUAGAGCUCGACUAUGAUUGCUAGCGCUUACAGUACCAUGACCGUUUUAGUAGUUGAUGUCCACUCAUUGGAGAUUUUUUUUCAUCUAUAUUGUGUUUAUAAAUAAUCCAAUAGAAAACUAAGAUGAUACUCAUUAAUAACAUAUAUUAGAAAAUGAUGUUAGCUAUUAAUAUCUUUCAUCCUCGAGCACUUUCAAAUAGAUAAUCCUUGGAUUUCUUUGACUUCAAAUCAUCACCUUCUUGCUCUUUGCCCUCUUAUUUUAUCUUUUGAUUUCUCAUUUCACUUAUAUAAUUUCAUAGCUUGGUUGUUCAAACAUGUAAAUGUGCAGAGUAUUCCUGAUGUAUUCAUUAAGCAACAUAUUCAGGAAAAGCAAAGAGCAACUCUUAGGUUCCGACAUUGAAGUUCAUCAGGAGCUAUAGACUCAUCAGAGGGGCUCUGUCUCUGUCCUUUUGUUCCAGUUGAUGUGCAUUUCAGAGAGAAACUCAUCUGCGUGCAGGCAAUGUCUGCAUGAACGAAUGAACAAAGAUAAUCACCUGAAAGCCUGCAUUACUCGUUACUUGGGUACCUCCACGUAACAAUGUGCUUUUUCUUCUCGACAUUUAUCAAAAAUCCACAAAGACACUUCCUCAUAUCUCUAUGUUUUGUAUUUCCAGAGUCUUUAUGCUAAUUUGCGAUCAUAAGAUACAUGUAUACAAAAACAAAUGCAGCAAUUGGCCUAUCAUCAACAGAGAAGUUGCCUAGCUCACUAAUUUCCUACCCCCCACCCCUUUUUUAGGAUAGAAUGAAACAACACAUAAUAUUGAUACUAAUAACCAUGAAGCAACGCAGACUAAAUUAAUCCAACCCCUAGAAUAGCAGAGCACGUAAUCAACAAAUUGAAUUCAACAAGACUGAAUCAUAGACUAAUUACCCUCAUUAUCAAAUGGAACAACAAUUUAGAGAACAGCAAUUAAGCUAUGCAACAAUAGAUCACCCAUCAAAGUUAUGAGGGCAAAGAGACAUCGAAUAGCAAAAGCAAUUACUACUUCAGAGCAGGACGAGCAUGUCCAGAAUGUGUGAAUGGUUGCUUACCCUUUCGAACAAAAGAAGUAGACAUGAAAAUUUCUGAGGCUAAAACCAAAAAUUACAAGCUGAGUUAAUCAGAGCAAUAAUGAUGGUCCCAUCUUGCGUCAACGAUGUUAUCAUGGGUAUAUGUGCCAUGUAUUAUCUCAUUUUUCUGUGCUUAUGUUGAUCCCGUCAUAAAACUAAUAUCAACUGAAAAGGAGACUUCGAGUAAACACCGAUUGAAUUUGCGACCACGCAUAAUAUUCACGCCUUGACAACAACGCAUUCAAAUAAUGCAACUAAACAGUCUGUGUUAAGAAAUUAGUGACUGCCAAUCUGAAAAAACCAGAGGAUGAGGAAGCACUUUGGUUGGAGGGACAUACCAGAAAUGUUGCACGGAUCAUGAGCAACUCUCAUUUUGCACACCCUGGGCCAUUCUCGCAUCUGAUAGAGUCAGAGAGUGAUGAGCGAUCUAACGAGGUCAGAUCCAGUAAAGCUUCCUCUAGAUGGGAUGGCGACAUCUUCACGAGGCUUGGGAAUGAUGGGCACUGACUCCUGCUGCAGCUCCUCUUGAAACUAUAGGGACUGAUGUAUUGCCAGCCGACAUGUAGUUCAUCUUUUCAGCAGAAUUUAUAACUUGUUCAACUGCCUACAUAGCGAAAUUGAAUGUCAUAAACUCCACAACAGGCCUGAGACCAUAGAAAGCAGCGCCGAAUUCAACUCCAGCAAAACCAGCCUCUGUGAUCAACAACCCUCUCAGGUCCAUACUUCUGCCAAAAAAAAAGAACCUUUAGACACAUCAAAAGACUCUAGGAUCUGCAGACAUUUCCCCAUCAAACGCAGCAUUCAGAGCCUCCCUCACAGUCAUCUCUUUCCCCGCAGUAGCAUUACUACGUAAGGGCAUUUCUGCGGCACAUCAUGCACUCUCGAACUCGAACUUGCUCGCACGCCAGAUAGAGCUCGCUGAUUCUCUCUCUCUCUCUCUCUCUCUCUCUCUCUCUCCUUGGAAACAGAGUCCAGCUUUGUCAUUCCAUCAAACACCUUCCUUGCAAACUCGACAGAUUUUUCUCCGACCAGAUUUCUUUUUCGCAUCUCUCUCUCUCUCUAUACAUAUACAUAUAUCCAUAUAUGUAUAUGUAUAUCAUCCCCACGGUGAACAACACCAUCAGAUUCCAUACUCGAGUCGCGGCCACUCUGAUUCAAGCCGUCGCUUUCCUAUCCGUGUCCAUGUCUGGACCAGAUUUAUCUUUGGCCGGGCCAUCCCGGGCUCACGCCGCCGUCACCACUGAACCAUUAUCAGGGCCGUUUCAUUUCCAAGACGAAUUUCGAUUCACUCCAGAACAUGUGCUGUCAACUCUUGCUUCGUUCUGUUCGCUCCCACUUCAUCGCCGGUUUCCACCGUUUCGCCCGUGCACGCCACGCGCAAAUGGGGAUGCGGGGUGGCGUUCGCUGUUUACAAGAGCCUUUUAUCCGAUUGCCAAGGCUGAGGUUGGAUGGAUCAUCAUCAUCAUCAUCAUCUGGAUACGAUCCGCCGAUUCGAGGGAUGAGAUUCUUUGGGUUUCGCUCUCAGCACCUCCAACGGUCCCGCGUCGCUUCGUCAACCGCAGCAGCCGAGGCCAAUCUGAGUCGUCGUCGUCGUCAUCCGAGACGAUACGCCGAGCUUGAAGAUUGGCGGGGGCGAGCAUGAACAGAAAAGCAAAGGAGAAUUAAAAAAGACGCCGGUGGUUGUUCUUUGGAUGAUUAAGGAAUUGAGUUUGAAAAUAAAAUAAAAUAAAAUAAAAGGGCAAAAAGAAACCCACCGUCCUUUUCGGAAAAGCCGGCAAAAAAUGUCAAAUUAUAUUCAGUUUUCGUCGUGCUGAUUUUUCUUUUUGUUAUGUCAAAAGCUCAAAAUUAUAUCCCUCUAAAUUUUUUUCUUCGUGUCAAAAAUCCUAAAUUUAUAUUAAUAUGACACAUUAAACUUCUAUCAAAAUUUCGUUUGAUAAUUUUCUAUAUUUUUUUUUGGUCGAAGUUGUUCUUAUUCAAUUUUACGUCAAUAUCAUUUACCUUCAAUUUUCUAACAAUACUUAUUGAUAGAGAACAAACGUGUCACAUAAGUAUAAUUUGAAAUCUUUGAUGAUACAAAAAAAAAUGAGAUAUAUGUGUUAAAGUGAGCAUAGUUUUGGAUAUUUGAUGGCUUUUGCCCUUUUUUUCUCAGCUUCAUGAACAAUCAGUCAUAACUCAGAACCAAGAAAACAUUAAUCUCUCUCAUGAAAGCAAGCAUUAACUUGUCGCCUGCCUGGCGAGUUGUUCUUGUCCCUUUUACCGUUAGGAAGGCGUUUUUUCUUUAGAUUUGCUCAUACGAUGAAUUUGCAGCUUAAAAUCUGCUUAUGUAAAUCGCACAAGUCUAUCAACCGCAACUUGUUCUCACUUGAAUAAGCAGUGUUUUAAUGUCACUUGUGAAAAGAAAAUUCCACUUUUAUCUCUCGAACUUCAAUUGAGUAGAAAUAUAUUUAAUGCCGAUAGCUAAUUCGACUUAAGAUUUCUAUUUAAAUUCCUUCUUAUUGAAAAAUUGACCCAAUGUUAUUGCUUGUUAAGGGCGGACAACGACCAAUGGCGUCGGAAAUGAUUGGAUUCCAAGAUUUCAAGAAAUCUUCGACUGGGAAUGGAUCGUCGUUUUAUUACCAUAUAGGGUGGGCUAGAGAAGCCGAUUGGGCUUGAUGGACCUGACGAAAUUUUAUCUCGUGAGAACUAUGUGAAUUGGGCCACGAACCAGAAAAGCCUCCAUUUUGAAACCCCAUUAUAUUCUAAAUGUUUUUUUGGUUUCUAAAUUUGUUUAUUCUUUAUUUGUUUUUUUAUCUAUUCUUUUUUCGCUCUCUUUUGUUGUUUUUGCUAUUUUCUAUUUUUGUACUUUCAUAGGAAUAACUGCUUGAAUUGUUGACAAAAAUUCAGGUGUUAACAACAUGCGUGAUAACACUAAGGUCAGUGCCAUGGAAAGCUCGGUAUUUUCAUAAAUUGAUUGAUUAACAAGUGCCUUUUGCAUUGACUAGCACAUUCCCCAAAAAUAUUUUCUGCAAAACCAAAAAUCUUAAAGAGGGCGGGAAGAAAAAGCUCCUCCCUCCUAAAAAUAAGCCAAAUUUAAGAGUAUAAGAAUCAAAAUUAAAUUCUAUAUCGGCAUUACCAACAAUUUUUAUUAAAUUGUUACUCCCCCAUCUCCUUGCGGACUCAACUCUAGCUCUGAUACACAUGAAGUAAUUUGAAUGUGAUAAUUCUUAUUUUUGGACCCAAGAUCUACCAUUAUUUAAAAUGGAGGAGUAUCAGAGAAAGCUUCUCUUGCUAGUGCAAAAAUGUGAGCAAAAUCAUGAGAUAGGGCUUCGCUUCUGAGCCAAAAGAGGGUCGGCUAGCAAGUCCAAGUUGAAGAUCGGUAGCAUGGAGCUUCUUCCGUCAACAAAGCCCUAAAUCCAAAAUGUUCAAGCACCACACUGUCAAUUUAUGGGGAAAUUUGAAGAGAUAAGGCUUCUUGAAUAUUCUAUCUGCGUUGCUUCAACUGAUUAAGUAUAGAUAGAUUCUCCAAUUUUUCUUCGAACAAAGGAUUUUACCAAUCUUCUCUUUCUGAUGGUAACAACUAGAGGUGUCAAUGAGGUUGGUUUUCAAUGGGCUUGUUGUCAAUGCAUAUUGUAAAUCUUGCUAUGAGAAUGAGUAAUUUGCUUUUGAUGCUUGAUUGUGCAUUGCUUCCCGAAAAGACCUAAUGCAAAGAUACUUAAUGUUUUAUAAGAGAUGAUUGUGGAUUUAUUCGAAUAGAAGGAGAAGGUUUGACUGAUAGAGGCUAGAGAAAAAGUGAGAUCUUGAGAGGAUAACAAAUCUUGAAGAGAAGAUUUGGAAGAACAAAGUUUUUUGAAGAGGAUAUAUCUAGAGGGAAAUCUUGCUUCUUAUCAACAUGAGUCAGGGAUGGAAUGACUACGUGAUUGGAAUUUGGUUUGAGUUGGAGAUGUCAAAGAGAGAAUCAAAGGAGAGGACUCGUGUUGGAAAGAUAGUUUUACUUGUGACGUUUAUACUAACAAUCCUAAGUGUUGAAGUAAAAAUAAAAAGUUGUUUGACAAUCACUAAAUAUUUGGAAUUCCUUUCCAAACAUAGAACUAUGAUCAUAACCAGUAGGCCAUAAUCAUACAAUUGGGAAAUUCUAAUUAUUAUCAAUUGUUUGAAAGGUCUUGUGUUGAUUGCUUACUGGUUAGGUGGUGUUUUACGGCUUUGCUCUAGGAUUGGCAAACGGUUUGGCUCGGCUUGAGCACAACACGGCCCUCAGUAGCCAUUUGGUUGGCUCCGAAUAAUUAAAAAUGGCCCAAAGGGCCAGGCCCUUGGAGCAAAGAAUUUUUUUUUUUAAAUGCUGGCAUGAAAUGAGCACUUUAGUUUAGUCAUUUAGAAGUCUGGACAUGAUUUGAGCAAAAAAGUCAUGAAUACUUAGAAAAAAUGGAAGAGUCUAAUCUAAUGUAAAGGAACUUCUACGCACUCCUUUAUUAUCUUAGCACUAAAUAAUUCAUGAGCAUUUAAAAAAAUGUUUUAUCAUAGAUAUUACUUUAAAUUAUAUUGUAUUGGACAAAUCAUAAUAUUCAGGUAUACACAUAAUUGAGCAGUACAAAUAUAAUGAGUAGGCUAAACUCAUCCAUGAAAUGUAUGCUGACUCAACAUAAAUUUGGAUACAUUGCACUCAUGAAUUAUUGCUAAAAAAAAAAAUUGAUAACAGCAGAUGCACUAAACCACUUGACUUUGUCUGGGAGCACAUGAGAUUUGCCACAUAGUUAGUCAUAUUAAUUACACUAAAUGUUUCAUAAGAUCCAUAUAAUUUCAUAAUUUAAUACUACAUAACUUUAUUAUGUCUUUAGCUCAUUCAAAGAGAAUCAACAAAGUGAAUUAGACUAUGGGCGUGCAUGGAAACGUUUCUAAGAAACGUUUUCGGCACACUUCUGUACGGAAAGUGUGCCCGGGAACAAAAAAGGAACAGAAACGCGUUUGGUUGCGUUUCUGUUUCUUUUUUGUUUUUUUGUUUCUGAAACGAAAUAAGAACAAAAAAAAAAGAAACAAAAAAAAGUUGUUUCUUUUGAAAAGAAACACUUCUUCAACGGAACAAAAGAACAAAAACCAAAGAAGCAAAAGAACAAAAUCGGAACAAAGGCGACGAACUCUUCUCCUUCGUGCGUGCUCGUCGCUCCUCUCGUCGGCUGAAGCUUCAUUCUUCCUUUUCCGGCGUCUCUCCCAUCUCUCCGGCGGCUCCCACUCGGCUGACUCUCCGGCGAUUCCUCACUCCGGCGACUCCAGGUACGUUUCCGGUCAGCGUUGCUCCCCGUUCGGCCCUCCUCCUCCGGUCAGUGUCACUUCCCGUUCGGCCCUCCUCCUCCGGUCAGCGUCGCUCCCCCUUCGGCGCUCCUUCUCCGGUCGGCACUGCUCCCCCUUCGGCGCGGCAAGCCGUCCCUCGAGCGAGCGUUGCUCGCCCAGAUCUGCCGCGCCGAAGGGGAGCAACGCUCACUCGAGCUGCAGCUCGAUCUGCAGCUCGUCGAGCUCGCCCUUCGCUCGCUCGAGCUCCAGCUGGUGCGAGCUCACUCGAGCUCAAGCUCCAGCUGCUGCGAGCUCGAGCUGCAGCUCGAUCUACUGCGAGCUCGCUCGAGCUCGAGCUGCAGCUCGAUCUGCUGCGAGCUCCAGCUGCUGCGAGCUCGCUCAAGCUCGAGCUCCAGCUGGUGCGAGCUCGCUCGAGCUCGAGCUGCAGCUCAAUCUGCUGCGAGCUCGCUCGAGCUUGAGCUGCAGCUCGAUCUGCUGCGAGCUCGAGCUGCUGCGAGCUCGCUCGAGCUCGAGCUGCUGCGAGCUCGCUCGAGCUGGAGCGAGAGCUGCUGCGAGCUGCUCGAGCGAGAGCUGCUGCGAGCUGCUCGAGCGAGCAGCAGCAGCUCGAGCUGCAGCUGCUGCUCCAGCAGCUCCUCCAGCAGCUGCAGCAGCUCCAGCUCCAGCUGCAGCUGCAGCAGCAGCUCGAGCUGCUCGAGCGGCAGCAGCAGCUCGCCUGAGCUGCAGCUGCAGCUGCUGCAGCAGCUCGAGCUGCUCGAGCAGCAGCUGAUGCAGCUGCUCACUCGUGCAGUUGCAGGAGCAGCUCGCUCGAGCUGCUCGUGCAGCUGCAGGAGCAGCUCGUGCAGCUGCAGCAGCAGCUCGCUCGAGCUGCUUGUGCAGCUGCUGCAGCAGCUCGAGCUACUCCAUUCUCAAUCUCAUGUUGAAUGAGUCUAACUGUCGUUCCUCCUGCGUCAUCAUUUUGAUGCUCUCCGAUGCAGUCGCUUUCGCCUGCUCAUUUUCCCGACUCGAGCUUGAGCCCAUCUGAAAAUUCUAACUUUCUCGCCCUGCCGUUUUCAGGGUGCCCUGUCUGAAGCGGGGCGGCAUCAGGUUCACGAUCAACGGCUUCCGAUACUUCAACCUGGUGCUGAUCUCCAACGUGGCGGGCGCAGGGGACAUCGUGAGGGUGAGCGUCAAGGGUUCGCGCACGGGAUGGAUGAGCAUGAGCCGCAACUGGGGCCAGAACUGGCAGUCCAACGCCGUCCUCGUCGGCCAGUUCCUAUCGUUCUGGGUCACCGGCAGAGACCGCCGCACCUCCACCUCCUGGAACAUCGUCCCCGUUGGCUGGCAGUUUGGCCAGACCUUCACCCACAAGAACUUCAGGGUUUGACUCCAGCGUUGACCGGGGCUCAUUUUAUCAAGAUUUUUAUUUAAGGGAGACAACAUUAGGGUCCGAGACUGAUGGUUUUCUGAUUAUUGUAAGGCAAGUGAGGUAUAGAAAUGUAGCUGAAGUGGCCGCACGAACGCAUUGUAGCCCGCAGCUUAUGAUAGUGAUAGAGGGUGUGAUAUAUUUAUACUUUUGAUAUGGGUGUAUAAGUCUCGAUGACCCUAUUAUAAAUUAUAAUCAUAUGAUUUGAGAAAGUUUGUGUUUUCGUGGUCUACGUUUGGUAUUUGGAAUGGUGUUAUCUUGCUUAAGAUUGAAGGUUGGACUAGCUUAAAAAAUGUAUUUUAGUUGACUGAAAAGUGAAUAAUGUCCAUCAUGUGUUUGCAAAGUGCACCGUGUCUAUGCGAGAUAAUUACUAAAAAAAACAAAAUCCUAAAUUCAUAAUGCAUAUGUCAAAGUAAUCCUAAACUUUAUUAAUUUAGUCAAUUUAACUAUAAAUUUUUUUUUAUGAUUUAUCAAUGUAGUCAUUUCAGUUAAUUUUGGUUGAAAAUCAAAGGCGUGGACAAAAUAAAAUUAAUGAGCAUUUUAUAAGAAUGACAAUUCAAUAUCAAUUUUAAAUUUAUUAAAAAAAUAAUAAAUAAAAAAAACAGAAAUUUUUUUGUCGUUACCAAACGUGUUUCUGUUCUUUUUCUAUUCUAGGAACAAAAAUUGACUGCAGUUAUCAAACAUGUUUCUGUUCUUUUUUUAUUCCAAGAACAGUUUUUUUUUACACUUACCAAACGCGUUCUUUUGUUCAGAAAUUGUUCCCCGGAACAGAAACACUUUUUUUUGUUUCUGUUCCCAGGAACAAAAAAGAAACAGAAUUGUUUCCAUGCGCAGCCUAUAUCUCCUGGAUGAAAACUGGCCUUAAGUUCUCUUGGGAAGCAACUUCCACAUGUCGCUUCUUGGUGGCCUGUGUUCCUCGAACCACUAUCAAUCCUUUUUUCGCUUCUUUUUAGGGUUUUACUGUCAAGCAUCUUUGCCUCGAUCACCGCGUAAUCUAUUUGUCCUUUUUUCAGACUAUAAUGUUAUGAAUAUCUUCAUAGGAUUCCCAAUCGAUAAAGCUCUGUCAUUGGAAAAAAACCAUGCGCGUUGCUCGGGUCCACAAGAUGCAAUAAUUUGACUAGUUAUUAGAUAUAUGGGGUGUCCCUACUCCCUCUCGAGUCCACAUUCAUAUAGUUAAGGUUGUGAAUGUACAUAUUAUUGUGUUCUCUCAUUCUAUGUGCUUAUAUUAUGGUCUUUCAUACUUAUAUGUUACUUGUUCAAAUAUGCAUGUGGAUAGACAAUUCUCUUUGUAUUCUUCAAGGGAUAUAUUGAGGGAAAUAAUUGAAUCACAACUUUGAGUCAUUUAGACAUCAUGCACGAUGAGAUUGAGGAUUCAUCCCAUCUUAUCAAAAAGAUGAGGACUAAAUUACAUUUUCAUUUUUCUUUGUUACAUUCAACUGCAAUCACAAGAGUUUGGUAAAGUUGCUUGUAGUUUUAUAAGUCCUUUUUUCCUUCAUAUUGCCAUCUUUUAAUUGUUGUUUAAUUAAAUCACAUCUUUUAUAAAUAGCAAGUACUUGAAAAUAUGAAUUCCUAUCAACAAUAAGCAUUGCAUGGUGAACGAUUUGAUUAUUAAAGUUACUGUUUUCAAGAAGGCAGCGAUGCAUUAUUACCACCGUCCCAUGAUUGUACCAUGCUUGCAAAAGUGAGGUCCAUACGUACUCUUUUGUCUAAUAGAGCUUUGUGGUUGGAAAAUAGCUUUGCUCGUUCCUCGAACCCCUCAUCACUCCUUUUGUCACUUCACUUUAGUGACGCAUGGUCAACCAUCUUUGCCUCUGUCACCGAGCAAUCUGUUUGUCCUUUCUUGGACUUUAAUGAUAUGAAUAUCUUCAAAGGAUUCGCAAUUGAUUGUCCUGAACCAAUCGUAAUGAAGUAUACUAUACAUGAUUCAAGUUUCCACAACAUCCUUUCAACCAUUAUCUACUAUUCUUGAAAGGAAGAGUAGUCGCACGGAUACAAAGAUUUAAACCACAAAAAUUAAUGCAACAAAGUAAUGGGCUCAAAGUUACUUGUAUGAUCUCAGCCAUUGAAUGAAAAAAAAAUUGACAUCGAUUGUUGGAUUUGGCAUGACCAUUUUGUCCUACCAAACCCUGCAGCGCGUAUCUGACGCCAAAAGUAGUAAGCUACGUUAUAUCACCAUUAUGCUAAUUCAAUUUGUGAACCAUAGUUUGGGUUCUCUAGCUUUAACCUUCUGAAAUGAGGCAACUACAACUAAAAUUCAAUGCACAGCACACUGCUUAUGAAAAUUGAUAUUAUCAAGUUGCAGAAUUUAAAACUCCAUAGUUUUCUUCCUCUCUUUUUUCUGCACUUUGGUUUGACUAUGAGUUAUUGUAUAAUAAAGAAUUAAUUGAAAAAAGUUUCUUGAGAAGCUGUGGAAAUGAUCUCUCCAACUCAAUGCUUUUCAAGGCUCUGGUCAGUUCAACCGGGACUGUAAAACUAGAAAAGCAAAACAAUAACAUCUUCUUAUUGUGGAAAGGGUGUCCGGGAUUUACGGAGCAUUACUCCAUUGGUCAUGUUCAUCUCAUAGUUUUCAAAUAUAAAGGGAACUCCUCUUUUCACCUAAUAUUAUUCAACGAGAGUGUGUAGAGAUAUUAUGAUGAUAUACAGCUGCACAAAAACGCAACUAAUUUAAACUAAGCGUGCAAUUCAGUGAUAUUGUGAACAUUCUCAUGGCUACUUAAUACGUGCAUGAGUUCAAUCAAACAUCGGCAUGGCUUUGGCGAUUUAUUAAAUGAGAUUAGCAUAGAUUGACAUGUAGCUCCAAAAUUAUGGCACCCCAUCAUUCAAUUUCACUUCCUACAAGGUCAUAUUAGUAUAUAAAAAAUAGCAAUAUGGACUAGUCACAUAAUGAUAUGAAAAAAAUUAAUUGAAAUAUGAAGAACAAAAAAAUGUCGUAACAAUUAGCCUUGUCCUGGUCACGGAUCAGGCUCUGUCCAGUUGUGACUCAUCUAGUCUAGUGAUGUCCAUGAUAUGAAGGAAGUUCUUAAUCUCUACGCGCAAAAACUAAUCGAUAAAAGAUAAGUCUUCGAUCUCCAAAGGAUGCGAAAACAUGAGUUAGACUUUAAAUUUUAUUAUUGGUCGAAAGCUAGACUUUAAGUUAAUGAUGAUUUGAAAGAUUUAAACAAUAAUUUAUCUAGAACGAGCGACUGAUCUGAAGAUAUCAUCUAGAAUAAGACGCGAAAAGGCUCCAAAUCCUCCUCAGAUCGAUUGUGCGGCUCCCUUUUUCCUCUCGAUGUGUCUUUUCCCCCUUGGCUUUUCUCGGAUUCCCUUUCUAUUUCGGUGUCUGCAUAAGGCCGGUCGCGUCUCCCUAAGUGAAGAGGUUGAUUAGUCUAUUCAUGCUAGGAUCUCUGCCUUCAUUUCCUUGAAAUGGACGAGAGAUCUUUUGAAUCCCUUGCACGCGGAGCUGAAUGGUGCUUCUUACAAUUGCCAAUAAGUACGUUCCGCGUAUAGUAAAUAAUUAAUGGAAAAUCAGGAUAGUCCGCUGAACACAGUUUUUUUUUUUUUUUUUGGUGCUUCGAGAAAACGUGAAGGCUUCAUUCUUUUUUUCUCUUUUUGCCAGAGAUCCCCGGCUCUCCCUUCAAUUUUAGUCAAACCUCUUACUCAUUCUUCCCCUUUGUCAAUUGCAUGAAAGUUACUCCCUUCCUUUGUCAAUUUCAGCAUCCCCACGUCCCACAAAUGCCUUGAUUCAAACUCUGCUUAAGCGAGGAAUCAUGCCCAAGUAUGGUAUGAUUCCUUGCCAAUAUGAUUCCACAUUAAUCCGUACCAUAAUGACUUAAAAUUCUUGCUUGAAAUUUUGAGUUUAUUCUUACAACUAUUGUUGGCAAAAAGAAAAAAAAAAAUGAAAAAUGAAACAACUUCAAAUUUUCCUUAUAAACCAAGUUUUCCUUCUAUUUAAAAGCGUGAUUUGAGGGGUUCUUCGUCAAAUAUGUGAAAAUUGGAGAGACAAUACAUGAAAAGUCAAGAAAGGGUUUAAUUAGUCCAAGUCAAAUAUGUCAAUAGGUAGAACACUAUCAAAAUUCAAUAAAUAUAAAAUAUAUAUAUAUAUAUAUAUAUGCAUAUAACAUGGCCAUUUUAUGUUUUAUUAAGUGUUUUCUUUAUUUUUGAUUUAGAAUUUUAUGUUCUUUUGAAAUAAAAAGUCUAACAACAGAAGUUUCCAAUCGAUUAUAGCAUUAGGAAAAGAAUAUCAAGCAAUGUCUAAUUUAUGACAUGUAGCAGCUCUCUAUAUGGUGGUGGGAUUAUUACCAGAAUAGUAUGGAACCUAUUGCAAUUAUGUGAAUCAAUUCUAAACUUUUUUUUUUUUUGAUAAAUUCAGUCCCAAACUUUUUGAAUUUGUGCCACUUCAAUAUAUCCAAGCAAUUUUAGCCGACCGACACCGACAUGAACUUUCUUAAAUAAUUGUUUAAUAAUUUUUUUUAUAUUUUUAUAUUUUCUUUUCUUAAAAUUUCCCCCCUUUCCCUUAAGGCCAUGACAGCCUUGCUCACCUAGACUGGGUGAGGGUUGGGACGCCCUCGUCCAAUGCUAGUGAGUGCAUCUCGGCCAUCACCUGCUGACCCUUGCUGGCCCUAAGCUAUGUAGCACGGACACUCUCCGGAAAGUUUCGUGUUGUGUCCGACACUCCGACACAUGUCCGACACGCUCCGACACGUGGUCAAUGAGUGUCGAAAAAUCCAACAUGUCGUCAACUCUCUCCAACACACUCUGACAUGCGAGUCCAUAAUUCCGACACUCGAUUCCGACACGCACGGGGUUAAUUUUAAAAAAAUUAAUACUUGAGGGGUCAAAAUAUAAAUAUACACAAAAUAAGUAAUAAAAUUGCUAUAAAUAUACACGCAUGAGGUCAAUUUUUUUUUCAGUUUUUUUUAGAAUUUUUUAUUUUUUUAAAAGUCUUUUACUAUGAAAGAAGUAAUAAAAAAUGCUAUAUGUGAUAAAUAAAUAAAUUUAAAAAUAUCAUUUCAGCAUUUUUCUUUAAACAAUAUUUUUUCCUCUAAGUUUUGUGUAUUAUUGUAACAAAUUAAAAUAAUGAAUGAUAUUAUUUGAUAUUUUUCGUGUAAAUUAAUUCUAGGCUGUUAUUAUUAUUAUUAUUAUUAUUAUUAUUAUUAUUAUUAUUAUUAUUAUUAUUAUUAUUAUUAUUAUUAUUAUUAUUUAUGUAUUUAUAUAUAAAAAUAUAUUUAAUAUAUAAUGUGUUGGCGUGUCGUGUCGUGUCUUGUUAUGUGUCGCAUGUCCAUGUCGGUGCUACAUAGGCCCUAAGUGAAAGGGGAAAAAAUUAAAGAAAAGAAAAAUGAUAAAAGAAAAUUCAAAAUUUAUUAAAAUAUUAUUUAAAAAAGUCUACGUCAGCGCUGUCAAUGCCAUGUCAGCACCAGUUACCAAAAUUGGCUAAAUGGAUUAAACUGGCACAAAUGCAAAAAAAAAUUGGGAUUAAAUUGACUAAAAAAGAAUUUAUGAUUGAAUUGACAUAAUUGCAAGAGGUUUAUAAAUUUUUUUUUUAUAGUUUUCUCUAUAUAAUAUAUAGUAGAAACUAAAGGCAUGUAUGACAAAAUUUUUGGAACAAAAAUCAAUUUUUUGCCAGAAAUUGAUUUCUCAAUUUAUAUUCCCUGGACAAGUUUCUAAGUAGAAAAACACGCUUGAUAAUGAUUCAAAAUUUCUAUUUCUAGAACAUAAAUUCGUUUGAUGACAUAAUAAAAUUUCUAUUUCUAGGGGACGAUGAUAGGCAUUUGGUAGUGGGCAGUUGGUAGCUAGCGUCUGGCCCGGCAACUGGGGAUGGGCGUCUAAUGAUCAACGUUCGGCGUCAAGCAAUCCGGAGUCAAGCAAUCCAACGUUUUGAGGCGGCCGGAUGGUCAGCGACGAGCUUCCUGCACUCCACGGGCGGCGGGUGAAUGUUAAGCAGUAACGAGAGUGAAUGAUGAAAAGAGUUUUCAUUUCUCAUUUUUGUUCUAGAAAUAGAAUAGUUAAAAAAAUUUAGCUUUUGAUUUAUGCUCCAUAUCUAUUUAUGAAAUAAAAAUCAGUUCAAAAAAUCGAAAAAUGAAGUUACAUUAACAAAUGAAUUUCUAUUCUAAAACUAUUUCGAGUAAUAGAAAAACAAAGAAAUAGAGAAAUGGAAAUAUUGUCAUGUAUUUGAUGAUGCUUGUUCCUUAUGUAGGCAAUGGUAUGAUGAUAGCAUUCGAAACUCUUACUCUAUACUUUCGUUUCCUAUGAUAUUCUUUUCUAAAUUAUUAUUUCCAAGAAACUAGCCAUGCAUUAUUAACCGAAUCCCAUGAUUAAACCAUUCAUGCAAAACUGGAGUCCACAUGUAUUCUAUUGUCAGAUGGACUUUGUCAUUGGAAAAAUGCUAUAUGUGUUGCUCAAGUCCAGGAGAUGCAAUAAUUUGUCUAGAUGUUAAGUAAAUGGGGGUGUCCCCAUUCCCUCUCAUAUCCCCAUUUAAUGAAGAUGGUGCUGGAUCUAUUACUACCUCAUUCAUUAGUAAUUUGACUUGAGAUUAUAUUAUGUGCCAAAUGUAUAGCCCAAGAGCACAAAUUUUGAAAGUCUAAGAUAGAUGACUUUCAUAUUAUGCACCCUAUCAUAUAGUUAAGGCUGUGAAUUAUAACUCUUGAAAGUAGCAAAUAUUGUUAAGUGUCGUGAAUAUAUAUAUGUAUGUAUGUAUGUAUGUAUGUAUGUAUGUAUGUAUGUAUUGUUGUGUUCUCUCAUUCUACGUGCUCAUAUUAUGGGCUUUCGUAUUCAUACAUUGCUUGUUCAAAUAUGCAUGCAUACAAUUCUCUUCGCAUUUUUCAAAGGAUAUAUUGAGAAAUAAUCGAAUUGCAACUCUUAGGCAUUUAGGUAAAUCGUGCAAGGUGAAGUCGUAGAUACACUACAUCUUGUAAAAAAAAUGAGGACUAAAUUGCAUUUACAUUGUUCUCUAUUAAGUCCGAACAAUCACAAAAGUUUAGUAGUGUUGCCUAUAGUUUUAUAAGCCAUGCAUUUUAAUUGGUGUUUCAUUAAAUCACAUCUUUUACAAAUGGUAAAAGAUGGUAGCAUUCAGUAUUUUUAGUCUAUACUUUUGUUUUCUAUGACAUCAUUAUUAAAGUUAUUAUUUCCCAUAAGGCAGCCAUUCAUUUGUUACCACAAUCCCAUGAUUGAACCACGCAUGCAAAAGUGGGGUCCAUAAGUACUCUUUUCUCUGAUAGAGCUCUCUUGUUGGAAAAUAGCUAGGCAAGUUGCUCAAGUCCAGAUAAAGUAAUAAUGUAACUAGACAUUAAGGGCGCCAAUAGUAAUCAUUAUAUUCUAGAAAUAAGUUUUUAUUCCAGAAAUAGAUUUUCCUAUUUCUACUCUCCGAAUGAAUUUUAAGCACAAAUAUGCAUUUGAUAACAUGAAAUUUCUAUUUUCAAAAUGAAAAUUCGUUUGAUAUCGAUACAACAUUUUUCCUUCUUAAUUGGCAGUAGCGAAGGACAAACGUCAAACGGCGGACAGCAGCGACAUCCAGUAGAUGUCGAAUGGCGGACGGUCAUCAACAGACGAAGACCAACGACUUGCAGAUGGCAGUGGUGCGACCAACAAUUGGUAGCGGCAAACAAUGACUGGUGGUGGUGGACAACGAGCAGCGAUAGGCAGGCCGCUAUCUAGUAGCAAUGAGGAGCGAUAAGAAUAAUUUUUAUUUUUCAUUUUUAUUCUAGAAUUAAAAAAGUAGAAAAUUUUUAUUUUUCAUUUCUAUUCCAAACUUAUUUCUAGGCUAAAAAUUUGUUUUAGAAAUAGAAAAAAAAAGGAAAUUAUGUUACCAAACGGAUGGUUAUUAUACGCAUCCUAAAUCGUGGUAUGUCCGAUCUCCUCUUGAGUCCAAGAUGCUUUUUGAAAAUGCUAAAUAGACGAAAGUGGAGCAUCAAACACGAGAUUUUGGCUACAAUGUGGAAAUAAAUUAAUAAAUUAAUGAUAAGCCAAGAUGGUUAUAACGAGAUCUUUGGCGGCAAAAUGUGCAGUGAAAUCAUGAAAGUUUGAUUGUUAGGUCCAAGCACGCCUCAUGUAGCAAGCAACCACUCAGACCCUAUCAACUUUUUCCAGUAAAAAGUAGGUAUGUUUUGACGCCGCCCUUCCUUCUUCGUCUCUCUUCGUCCUUGCUCUAUUUCACUCGUUCUUCUUCUCGGCACAACUAUUCUUCCUCCUCCUUCCUUCUUUCUCUUCUGCAUCUGCUCCUCCUUCCUCCUAUUGUCCCAAUGGCACGAUAGACAUAUGACGCGGGCACAUUUCGCACUAGACAAUCUACAGUCCUAUGUAUAUGGUCCACAUCAUCAUCAACUCCAUUUACAUGUUUGACAAAAAGGAUUUGAAAGAAUUAAGUAAAUAUAUAUAAUAUAGGUACGCAAUUGGAAGAAAAAAAAGUUCAAAGACCUACUGAUAAUUUUGGCAAAAAGUUCAAUUACUACUAUGCCUAAAUCCCUUAUUAAGUAUCAAAUACUGCUUCAAAAUUAGUUCGAGCAAUCAUCUAUUUUUUUGAAAAAUGUAAUUAAGACAACUAUUUCUUUUAUAUAAAAUAUGCAUUGCAGCUCACAAGAUAUUACCAUCGUUUGAGGUACACUCGUUUUGGUGAUGAAGUGUCCAGAAUAGCUUUAUUUAACAUGUUGCCUUAUUGAUUCGUGCCCAAUGCGCAGAGUCUGCAAAGUACUACUUUGCGGGCCAAUGCCGACACAUGUCCCUCUAACCUCCGUUGAUGUACCAUCAAGUUCCUAUCAAUCUUCACCAAAGAAGAUGAGUUUGCCCGAGAAUCCUCAAAAGGUGCGCCCAUGAGAGGGCAUUGAGUAUAUUCAAAGGAUCAAUAAUAUGAUUCUAGCGGAUCCAUCGGUAGAGACUUUUGAAGAGUGUGAAAUGGAAUAGCUCGUCAAAAUAUUUAAAAGAGAAAAGGACAAAAGUUUUGACAGCUCGACGGGUACUUCGAGUGAACACCAACACCACAUUGUGUGUACCGUGCAAGGCUUCUUGCACGGUGCCUUAGAAGCCUAUUUUAUUGAGUCCACUAUGCAUUAUUGGCGUGAGAGUUGCUCUCUUUCUCUGAAGAAAAAUCAAAGAAAAUUGGCCAUCGAUGUUGCUGUUCCAGAAUAAUAGGAAAAAUUACAUUAAACUCAUAUCAAUGACUAAUUUUUGAAAUAGCAAUAACAAAGAGACAUUAACAAAAUUCCAACCAUAUCAUCGUAUGGUAAUUUUAUGAUAUUUAUUUCACAUUCUAAUAUGAUAAUUAUGGUUCGCCUAAGAAUUAAAUAACUUCAAUUUGAUUUUGUCAAUUGAGUUUUUUUUUUCAAGUAAAGAGAAGCCUAGAGGGCCUUUCUAUCAACAAAUCUGCGAAAGAUUAUACAUGAAAAGUCAAGAUUUAUUUCCAACUAACGGUUAAUAUUAUUAGACAUAAGGAUCUAAGUUAGCCCAAGUCUAAUGUGUCAAUCACAAGAACAUUAUCAAAACCUGCUAUUCAAUGUAUAAUCUCCACAAUGGCAAAUCAUCGAGAGCAACUCAUCUCUUAAACUCUUAAGGGGACAUCACAUAUCCUCACACAACAAGGGUUAAUUAAAGUGAAGGGAAAGCUUGUUCAUUUGGGCCUCAUCAAGAGAGUUGUAAGUUUUAGCUUGAUAAUUGGUGACUCUUUUGCUUAAUGGAUCAGUGAUUCAUUGCCCUGCGAGGAGAGAAGUGGGAAAGCAAUGUUUCUUGACAGUAAAAGGACAGAGGCCAGACAAGUGAAGGCACCCGAUCAGUUCAUGCAUUUACAAAUACUUAGAUGUUUGUCUGGUAGUUGUGGACGAAAGGACAUGAAGGUAAACAUUGGUGAUGGUGACUGGUCGAGUAAAGGAACAGUAAAAUGCAAAAAUCCAUCGCAGCCUCUACAACUACUCUCUCUGUAUCCCUCUCCCACCACUAACCCUAAUUAAACCAAUCUUUUGUAUAUUUAGACAGUUGUCCAUGAGCAGUGGAAGAAAGGACAUGUAGACUUGGACACUAGUGAUGGUGACUAAUCAGGAAACAGUAAAAUGCAAAAAAAAAAUCGUCCAUUUUUCCAUAUAUAUGCUUUUUAUGAGUCAUCUAUUUCUAUCACUGAAUCUUUUAUCGGUCUAUUAUCUUUCUUGUCUCGAUGAAGUGACUGACAUAUGGUGGCCUUUUUGUAUUUUUAUUUUUGGCCAGUGACGACGUGGGGGUAGUCUGCUCAUCACUCUACUUCCCAAGUGGAAGCUCUGUCCAUACCCUAUCUCCUCUUUCCUCCUUGGGUUUUUGUAAGGUUGAUCGGUUCCUGGUUCAGUCCGGUUCCAAGGUGGAAUUGGGAACCGGACCGGAAGAAUCGGUUCCCAAUUUUGGGAACCGUAGACCGGACCGUUGGUCUUAGGACCGAGAACCGGACCGGACCAUCGGUUCCGGUCCGGUCCAGUCCGGUCCAAAAGAAUUGACACUUUAUUUUUUCACUAAGGAAUGAUCAUUUACUAAAGAAUAAUCAUACUCCGGACCGAUCAAUCAAAUUCGGUUUCCGAGCAAUCUAAUAAAACUACUCACACAUGUUUCCACGUGCAAAAUAUUCAAACUUCACUUGUGUGAAUAUUAAUCAUAGUUUAUGUGUUUCAUGCUUAAUUUUAAGCAUAAAACCCAUAAACAAUCUGAUUAAAGGUUGUGUUUGGUUUAGGUUUUAUAGGCAAUCUCUUUUCUAUAUUUCGAAUGUUUAGUCAAUAUGAGACUUUUUAAGGUUUGAAGUGCCUUGUCGUUUGCAAGUGAAGGGAGCAAGAGAGAGAGAGAGAGUGAGCAUGAGGAGAGUUUUAUCUAUAAAUAAAGAGUAACAACAAGAGUUUUGGUAGUCUCUUGGCCACAUAAGAGGUUGUUACAUAAAUUGCAAUUCCGAUUGCAAUAAGUUUUAUAUAUAAUAUUAAUAUAUUAUAUGUGUUUAUAUAUUAUAUGAAUAUAAAUUAUAUAUAAAAAAAUUUGGUCCGGUCCAGUUGGUCCGGUUCCCACCUUGGAACUAGGAACCAGACCAACCGGCCGCCGGUUCCAAGAUUAGGAACCGGGAACCGGACCACCGACCAUGGGAACCGCCCAAAACCGACCGGUCCGGUCCGGUUCGGUCCAGUUCCGGUUCGGGCGGUUUCCGUUGCACACCCCUAGGUUUUUGAUUCAUUCCCAAAUUUUCAAAUAGCUGGAUAGCUAGUAUUAAAACUCAGCCAUUUAUUAUAAAUUGUCCCAGCAAAAUGUUGCUGUUUUUAGACGCUACCAAUCCUUCAAAAAAAUUAAAAGUGAAAGAAAAAUUAAGUUUAUAAAUUAUGAAAACCCACAUAACUUUACUUGGCAAUAAAUGUAUGUUUUUGAAAGUUUUUAAAACCAAUUUGUGAUUACUGCAAUAUUUAAAAAAUACAUGUUAAAAGUGUAAGACUUGCCACAUAUCCCAAACAUCUAAGAGAAAAGAGGGAAACUCUAAGAAUGAGAGACCACAAAACAAUGUUAGUGAUCACUCGAAUUGUUUCCUAUAUUAAUUGUGUUGUAAAGAGUAGCAUUAUUAAAAAAAAGUAAACUGAUUUAAAUUGUUUAAUCUACUUAUAAAUUUUGAUCUAACAAUUCUAAACGAAGAUGCAAUAAUUUAACUAGACAUAUGAUAACGGUGCCUCCACUCCAUCUCAAGUCCACUUUUACCAAAGAUGUUCUAAAAGAAAAGCCAAAAAGACGAAAGCAUUGAUUUUUCAAUAAUGACUUUGCAUGAGGAGCAUCACACAUGAGAGACUUUGGCUACAAUGUGGAUUUGAUAGUUAUACUUGUUUUUUCUACUUUUGCUAUGAAACCUUUUCAUAAAAAAUGAUUCGGCAUUUAUCUGUUGAUUAGCGACUAUUCCUGCAAAAAAAGUUGCUAUGCGAUUAUUUUUCGACACUAGCUUUCCUUCAUCCACUUCUCUACUGGCUCCAUGAAUUUGUCUUGGAUGCUUCACUGAGAAUUGCUUCAUUAAACUGAAAGCAAAAAUUCACAAGGCUAUAAGAGAUAUAUUCCUCUCGUGAGCCUUCCUUCCCACCAGAACCUUUGAAAAAUAGUGAGGAAAAUCUUCUAAAGUCAACUAUAUAUAUAUAUAUAUAUAUAUAUAUAUAUAUAUAUAUAUAUAUAUAUAUAUAUAUAUAUAUAUAUAUAUAUAUAUAUAUAUAUGGACACACAUUUCUCACCCCAAUUUAGUUUAAAUCACAUCCCUUUACGUAAGCUGGCCAAAAUAUCCUCCACACGCAGGUGUAUCCUCAAGCAUUAACAGAUCCGCCUUAUUUUUUUUCAAAAAAUAAAUUUGCCUUUUUCAUUUUCUCUCAAAUCUAUUGUCUUGUAUCUUUUCUUAUUUACUGUAGAGAUUCUGAUUUAAAUCUUCUCACUUACUCUUCUGAUUUAAGAAUUUUUUUUAUAUAAUAAUUUAUCUAAAAAACAUCUUCUGCCUAUUAAUCACAAAAAAAAUGGCUGAUUUAUUUCAAAGAUUGGAGCAUAAGCAUGUUCCGGAUUAUCAAAUUGCAUUUACGCUUUUGUUGAACUUUUGCUAUAAUUUUUCAUAAACAUCACGACCAAAUCUUCGGUUCUUAGAUUCUUCACAUUUGAAGUUUCAUCAUUUUGUAGAAGAGGUCGCCUCAACUAGUUAACUUUGUGGGAGAUUUGCUUUAUAUGAGUUUAUAGGUUGGUGAAUUUAAGAUAAUUCUCUUCAUUCAAAUGGUUAUGGCCAAUGGUAUUGAGACAUUUAAAAUUUACUUAAUUUUUAUAGCUAAUUGAUUAUUUUACGUUUUAAUGCUAGAAAAUUUGGGAGAUCAUUGGAUGAGUGUUUCAUUUUGAGGAUUUUUUAUUUUAAGUUUGGUUUCUCUGCAUCUCUACGGUUAUUUUAAGAACGAUAGUUGUUGCUAAACAUAAGAAACACGGAAGCUCGUUGUUUCAUUCAACUUGUUGACUAUCUAAAAUACAAUUUCGUGUUGAGUAAAAGAAAUCAACAGUUUAUAAAAUAUGGAUUUUAUAUUGAAAAACUAAUGGCCACCUAGGCUCCACCUAAACUAAUAUUGUGCACUCCUGAUUAGACAGGUUACUUAUAUAACAUAAUAUUCUAUUUACUCCAUAUUACUUUUUUUAAUAACGGGUAUCGAUGCAUUGGGGAUAAAGUGACUAUCAUAAUCAAAUUGCUUUUAGAUUGCGUUUUCUUUUAGAUAAAACAUAUAAAAAAAAGAUAAAAAGAAAAGGAUAAAAAAAUCUCAUUUGUGUCUAUAGUAGGAUUACUUUUAGGGAUUAAUUUGAUGGAUGUUUUCGUCUUUAAUAUGCUAGAGAAUUUUUUAGUAGAUAAUUUUCUUUAGCCGAAAUUAGAUUUUGGCUUUUAUUUUUAGCUCACAAGAUAUUCAUGUCUCGCGGUUUAAUAUCGAUGAAAAUGUUAAUAUUAUAAGAAAGAAUAGAGAUGCCUUCUCAUGUAUUUUCCAAGGUGCCACUUGUGCUUUUCUGCCGUCGUAUGUGGGGCGCAUUAAAAAUUGAGUUAAUGGCAGACCGUGUAAAGUUACAUGUCACGUGUUCAAUUUGUCAAAAGGCAAAAUGUGGUAAAAGUUAGAACUCCGUGUCACGUGGGUGUGGCCAGUCCUCGUCCAUUGAUUUUAUUUAUUCCGAGGGCGAUGGUUUGAGUGGAAUCAUUUGUUUACAACUUCAACAGCUGAUAAUCAUCUCCUUCUUUCUCCAUUCGUUGCUAUUCGACGCGCUCCUUCCUUCAACCUGCUUUCGCGCUCAAUCUCUUCGCCUUGUUUGUCUCUCGCUCCGUUUCGAUCUUUCUUCACCUCGGCUCAACCAUUCCUCAUCCUGCUCCUCCUCUUCUUCUUCUUCAGUAUCUGUUGCUCUUUUUCAUCAUUCUCUCUCUGGCUCUCUAUUUUCUCGCUCUUUCUUUCUCAAAAAAACAAAAAAUCAAAUAAAAAUGUCGGCCGAUUCUGUCGUUUCUAUUGUAUGGGAUGUCUUGAAGAUGGUAGUUGUUCCCAUCAAGCGUCAAUUCGGAUACGUGAUCUCAUCCGAGAACUUCGCUGAGGGUCUUAGGAAGGAAAGCCAGAAUCUGGAGAACAAGGCUGAGAGGCUCCACAAUGCCUCGGAAGUGGCCAGAAACAAUCUCCGGAAUUUCUACAGGGAGUUCACGGAGUGGGAGGCAAGUGCUGAGGAGGCUUUGAAGGAGGCAGGAAUCCUAUUGGACGACUUCGAAAAGGCUACCAAGACCUUGCUACGGGACUCUUCCCGACCCCUAUUGGCGCUAUCAGUUCAGCAGGAAGGCCAAGGGCAAGAUCGAGGUCAUUAAACAACUCACUCAAAAAUGCAGUGAAUUCAAGGAAUCGAACAUCUCCUUCACCGAGCCUGCUCCGGGGAAUUUCACUGCUCUGACAUCUCCUUCAAUGUCGAUUAAUUUUAGGGACGAUGCCAUCUUCGAAUCCAGAGCUCAAAUCAUAAGGGACAUCAAGGAGGCUCUUGCCGAAAAUAGCAAUAGCGUGGUUGGGGUUCAUGGGAUGGGUGGGCUCGGCAAGUCCACCCUUUUAGAGGAAGUCAGAAGGAUAAUAAGCAAAGAGAAGUCGUUUGACUGGGUCGCUAAGGCCGACGUGUCGAAAAAUCCAGACAUCAAGAGGAUUCAAGGAGAGAUUGCGGACGCGUUGGGCCUUACUGACAUAAAGAGUAAAGAGUCCCUUACCGGGCGAGCGGAACUUCUGCACAGUAGGUUAAAAAAGGAGGAGAGGGAGAAAAAGAAGGUGCUCAUAAUACUGGAUAACCUGUGGAAGGAGCUUGACUUGAAAUCAGUCGGCAUUCCUUGCAGACAUGACAACAAAGUCACAGGAUGCAAGUUAUUGUUGACGUCGAGAGAUCAAAAAGUUUUGCAAGACAUGCACAGUGACGAGGACUUUCGCCUUCUGGGACUGUGGGAGAAAGAGGCAAAAAGAUUGUUUGAGGGAAUAGUGGGAGACGAAGUUCAUGAGGACGAGUUCAAACCCUGGGUGGAAGUAGCACUCAACAAAUGUGCAGGUGUGCCUUUCCUAAUUGUCGCAAUGGCAAAACGCCUUAAAAAUGCUGCUUUAUAUGAAUGGAAAGACACUUUGAAAAAUAUCAAGAAGUUUCAAGAUAAAAAAAUCAAUGACUUGAUAGAUCAGAUGUUGCAAUGGAGUUAUGAUCAAUUAAAAGAGGAGGUGAAGUCAUUAUUACGACUUUGUGUUGUUUAUCAUAUCUCCAAGCCUUCUCUUGAAAACUUGGUGAGGUUUUGCGUUGGGUUGAGGUUAUUUAAAGAAAUUGACAGCAUGGAAGAUGCUAGAAAUAGGUUGAGAUCACAUAUCUAUACUCUUCGAGCCUCCUCCCUUUUGUUAGACAGUGAAGAUGUUGAUGGUUUCAAGAUACAUGACUUGGUUUGUGAGUUUGUUACCUCAGUCUCUUCAAGAGAUCACCCUCUUCUCAUGUUGAAAGAUAAAGUCAAGUCAGUAACAGAGUUGUUGAAGGACAAGCCCAAUAAUUAUAGGGCAAUGUGCUUUCCCUUCGUUGACAUGGAGGAGCUUCCCCAGGAGUUAGAUUGCCCUGAAUUGCAGGUUUUUUUGUUGUUCACAAACAAUAAAUCUCUUCAUGUUCCAGAUUCAUUAUUUUACUCUAUGAAGAAAGUCAUGGUCUUAAAUCUUACUGGAAUACGUCUCACUUGCUCCCCUUCACCGUUUCAAUUAUUGAAAAACUUAUACACUUUGUGUCUUGACAAUUGUUCAAUAGAUAAUGUAUCCAUUCUUGGCGAGCUAAAAGGGUUACAAGUUCUUAGCUGUGUGAACUCCAACCUUAAAAAAUUGCCGAAAGAAAUUGGGCAACUGACAGAGCUAAGGUUGUUGGACUUGAACCAUUGUUCACAUCUUCAAAUAAUUGAACCGGGUGUGCUUGAAAGAUUGAUCAAAUUGGAGGACUUGUAUAUGGAGAAUAGCUUUAAACAAUGGAAUGCCAUGGAGCAAACUCAACCAACUAAUGCCAGUUUGAUUGAGUUGAAUUGCAUGAAAAAUCUUUUCACUCUACAUGUCUCCAUUCCCAAUCCGAGUAUGCUCCCAAAUGACCUAGAUGUUGAGAAAUUAGAAAAGCACAAAAUCCAAAUAGGAAAUGCAAGGCGCUGGUGGAAGCACAAAGGAUUGAGGAUUUUGGACCUCAAGUUGGAUCCAAAAAGCAAUGUUCUUCGAAAAGGAUGCAUACAAAGUAUCUUAAGAAAAAUUGACGAUUUGUUUUUGGACAAGUUGAAUGAAAUUGAGCAAAGUAUUUGCGCAUUAUCUCAAGAUGGUUUUCCGAAAUUAAAGCAUCUACUAGUCCAAGAUAGUCCCUCUAUCCUUUACAUCCUCCGAUGGCAUUCCUUUGGUGCUUUUGAGAUGUUGGAGUCUUUACUUCUCAUAAAUCUCAUCAACUUGGAGAAGAUAUGCUAUAGCCAUAUUUCCUCCUCCAAGUCCUUAGGUAAAUUAAAAGUAAUUCAAGUCAAAAGUUGUGACAAGAUGGAAGUUUUAUUUCCUCUUUCGUUACUAAGAGGACUUCCACAACUAGAAGAGAUCAAACUCGUUGAUUGCAAGUUAAUGCGCAGCAUUGUGGAAGUUGAUGAUUGUGGCAAAGUGGAAUUGCAUAAUUUGCAUGUAUUGGAAUUGCAUGGCUUGCCAAAUAUCAAGAAUUUUUUCAUAGCCCGGACAACUCCUUCAAGUAGUACAUUAGACGACCAAGUUGGCACUCAAAUUGCAUUCUUCAAUGGGCAACAGGUAACUUUCUAUCAAAAGAAUAUAAACUGUAUUAUUUUUUCCUACCUUUGCUAAUUAGAUGCAACACAUCUCAUGUUACUUAUUCAUUUUGUUAUUUCCAGUUCAUUUUAAUCCUAAUUACCUUAUCCGUUCAUGCCAUCUCUGCAAUUAGAUAAAUCAAUCUUCUGGUUCUCUCCAUUGUGUAGAAAUCCAACCAAUUGUAUGAAAUCCAUGUAAGCUUAUUUUGUGAUAGGUUUUGAGUUAUUUUCAAUUUAAAUGCUGCAAGUGUAUCUAUAUUAAUAAGGUUUCAUAAAGCAAAACCGAAGGGAAUUUCGGCACUAAAGUAAUUCCAUAAGCAAUUUAAAAUCUUUUGAUAUGGAUUAAUUGAAUUUAUUUAUCCAACUUUGUUAUUAUCCACAAAGUAUAUAAUAUAGGUGACUCUCCUAAAAACCAAUACGAAUAAUGGGAAUGAGGACUGGGUUUUUUAAUAAAAGCAACAUGCUAAUUUGAUUGAUGCAUGUGUUUUGUGUAUUGUGUUUAAAUAAAUGGUUUGUCAUUCCAUAGAACCCAUAAUUAUAAGAGUACAGAGUUUUUUGCAUGUUUAUGCAUGCAUGUUGUAUAUAUACUUUGUACGUACUUUUGGCAUCACAAGCACAAAUCCAUAAUAUGUGUAUAUCUUGUUAAAUUGGUUAUUGAUAGUGAUUUACUAACAUUAAAGAGAAGUUCGCAAACUAAGGAUGAUCGAUUGCCCAACUAAGAAAAGCACAUGGCUACUUUGCACGGGGGAAAAUUUUGCUGCAAGUGGAGCCUUUUUGUUGACUAGAUAAGAUGGCCUUUUGUAGUGGCACAAUUAUCACUGGAGUUGAUCAUGGGCCCAAGACCCAAAAAUAGAUUAGCUCCUGUCAGUAAAGAGUGGAAGUAAUUUAAGUUGAGGGUCCGACACACUAGUGUGGGACUCAUCUUCUUCCCCUUCUUUGAGCUUCCAUGGAGAGAAACCUUUCAAAGAUAAUGGAACGACAUCGGGGAAAUUUUAAAAGAGCCUUUGUGGCUUUGCCUUUUUUUUUUUUUUUUUAAUAUUGUAAUCUUGUAUAUUAGAUCCUUUUGAUAUAACCUUUAUACCAAGUUUUAAGAUGACGACAAAUCAUUCAAGUUCAACAAUGGGAAGCAAUUAAUCAUUAGGGUUUGUUUAGUGGUCACCCUUCCUACAUGGAAAUGGGGAGAUGGGAGGGUCAAAUCCCUACUUUCUUAUUGGAAUUGAGGUGUGGAUGUUUUAAUUUUAUCUGUGGGUUUCAACUUCUACACCCUACAAGGAGGGCAAAAGUUUAAGAGUGAAUGUUAGAGUAGGAAUAUAGUAGUAUCGAUUAAAAAAAAAAGUAGUGCAAUUACAAUGUUGAUAAAUUAGAUUGUCACGACAAAAACUAAUGGCAUUCGAUUGAAAUUGAGGUCGAUUAUUUAUAGUAUAUUAAAUUCUAGACUCGUAGUGGAGGAAACAUAGCUAACGGUUUAAGUAGCUUUAGUAAUAACAUUUAAUAGGAGAUCCUUUUGGUAUAAUCUUUACACCAAGUUUAAAGAAGAUGAAAAAUCAUGCAAGUUCAAAAAGGGGAGCAAUUACAGGCGAAAUUUCCUUUCUUAUUUGUUUUUAUCAAUAAAAAUGACGUUAGGCUGCUGUAGAUAUAUGUUAUGGUCCGAUCUGCACUUCUACGGAUGGUAAUUUACUAAAAUGAAAGAGAAUUAGUAAAUUAAGGAUAAACAAUGGCCCCAAUUAAGGAAAAGCUCGCGGCUAUAUUUUAUAUGGGGGAAAACUACUGAAAGUAGAGGGUUUUGUUUGAUUAGACAAGGUUGCUCUUUUAUAGUGGCGCGGGCCCGUGGCUCAUGCCAUAUGUUAGUUUCCCUGUUGAUAAAGAGCGGUGGAGAUAUAAGUGGUGGGUCCCACAAAUUGUGAUGUUAGAGUGCGACUUUUCUUCAACGCAUGCUUUGAGCUCCCAUAUAGAGAGCUUCCUUUCAAAUAUAAUGGAACUAGAUCAGGAAAUUUUGCAACGAGCCUUUGUGGCUUAGCCCCUUCCUUCUUUUUUUUUUUUUUUUGGGCGGUAGUCUUUGGGGCUUUUAACUUUCUAGGAUUCUAAUUCUUCAUAAAAGAGUUACUCUUGCCUUAGUACUUCUUUUUAUUUUUAUUUUUUUUGCAUAAAACCUAAGUAUGCAAUGCUCCAUGGGUUUAUAAUGAAAUGUUACAUAAAACUUAAUAAAUCUCCUCCGACAUUAUAAAGCAGUAGCAGCCUACAAAAGUAGUAGCCUAAGAUUGGCUUGUCGGGGAUGACAAUAACCUAAUGAACGAAAGACAAAAAAUUUAAACUUGUUUUAUGGGUGGGAGCGAGAGGUGAUGAUGAGAUAGCGCAAGCAACUUUGCAAAUGAAUAAUUUCUUAGAGUUAUAGCAAUGAACUUUUGGGGAAAAAAAGAAGAAGAAAAUAAAGAAAAUAAAGUUUUACAUUGUCAUCAGAUACAAUUGGAUCCCUUCAAGCUCAAAUGUUAUGGUUUCAAACAUGUUCACUGUGGAUUUAGACUCACCUUAAAGAAAUUACGACAACGAGGACUAUCAAUUAAGAUAGGCUACACAUGCACCUGAAUUUAAAGGAACACUAGAGGUAGUUUACAAGGUAUAGGAAAAAAGAAGUCCAAAUAAUCUUAAGUGAUUUACUAAUUUUCGAGGAAAGUUGGGAUCUUAGCUAGUAACUAUGACUAAUGAGUACUUAGUUAUCGCGAUACCACAGCUGCUGACGUUUUCCAACCAAAAAAAAAGACCGCUAACAUGUCCAAUUUCAUGUUAUUUCGGGCAAAGUAGUCCCAUUUUGCCUAAUCAAAUCGGAGAAAUUGAAGACACUUAAGACGAAAAAGACAAAGAAAUGCCCGUUUUGUAGGAUUUUAUCAAGAAGCAGACAAUUUCAGUGUGUGACAAGUCAUCUUGACCUUGCGAACCAAAAAAAAAAAAAAAGAGUCCUCUUGACCUAAAUGGAUGAGGAAUGAUGUCAUGUCCGGCUAUCAACUCCCUACGGUCAUAACUCUUAUUCAUAUACCAUCAUUUGUCUAAGGUUUAAUUUUUGAGUUGUGCCUGUAACAAGAUGAUAUAUAGAUAUAGAAGGCUUGAUCUCGUCGAGAUUAAGGGGACAUGAGCUGUAUAUAUCUCCAUCAAAUUGAUAUAAUUAGAUAGAUAUUUUGUGCAUCAAUUGAUUGUCAUUAGUAACCGAAAUGAGUGCUAAUUCUUGAUGAUUGCAAUUCCUGAUUUUUGCUAGUAAAAUGCGAGCAAAAUUUAAUCGUAACAGCAUCCCUUGUAAUAUCGUAACUAAAAGGUAAAAUUCAUUAGUUGUCUUUUGAGGUCAUAAAUUAGAUUUUGUUUAUGAUGGAUUUCCUUACAUGCAAAAGGUAUCGUACAGGUUGCAUAUUAUCUUGCUUGUAAAUUUCCUUUAGCAAACAUUUAUAAUACCUGCUAUAUCGCGUAAAUUUCCCUAUUGUCCUUUGUAAUUGUAAAUGCUAUUUUUGAUGGAUUUGUCUAUCAGAUCUCAAUCCCAUCCUUGGAGUCAUUGACAAUGAAAGAACUUCCUAAUAUGGAAGAGAUAUGGAGCAAUGAAUCUCCACCGGAGCUGAGCAAUCUCCGAUCUCUCCAAGUGAUGCUAUGCAAAUCUCUCUCGAAGGUUAUCAACUUUGGGUCGCUAGUAAAACUACACAAGUUGCACUAUUUAUGUAUAAGAGAUUGCAAUUCGGUGCAAGAAAUUUUUGAUCUUGACAGACCAAAUGCUAAUGGAGACGUUAAGACUUUGUCUUCGGAGUUAACCACCUUGGAAUUAUAUAACUUGGGGAGCUUGAGGUGCAUAUGGAAUAAGAAUCAUUGCGGAAGAGUGAGUUUCCUUCAUUUAGAGAGGUUGGAGGCGCAUGUUUGUCCCAACCUCAAGUUUAUGUUUUUCCCAUCCAUGGUUAAAUCUCUCGGACAAUUGAGAGAUCUAUCAGUAAAACAUUGCAAUAAGAUGGAGGCAAUCAUUAUGGAGGAGUUGGGAUUGGAAACAUCAAAAACUAUGGUAUUCCCAAUGCUAACAAACUUAAAUUUACAACAUUUGGAAAGUUUGAUGUGCUUCUCUCGUGGAAAGCGUAAGAUUGAUUUUUUUUGUUUUCGUCAUUAAAGAUCUUCUUAUAGAUAGAUUUCAGCCUUGCAAUACAAAUGGUGACAUUCUUUUCAUCCAAUGAAAAACUGAUGACAGGUUCACGAGAAGCUCGAAGUCAAGACCACAUCAAAUCAAGCUCCAAUGCGCUCUUUUGUCAACAGGUACAUGAUUUACGUUAUGUCAAAAUAACAAAUAUAACAAAAGUAUUAAAUAUGCGGGAGAUCAAGCAUAGCCAAAAUAUUUUAAAAGCAAACGAGUAGCAUACAUGCAUUAAGUGUUCAUAGUUGCCAGCAUAUAUGAGUUGCAAUGUCUUAUUUUUAAUUUCUAUGGAAAUAGUUUUCAUAAAGGUUGUUGAGCAUCUCUCAUGUUACAUGCACAAAGAAUGAUGGCCAAUACAACUGCCAAGCAAGAUCUCUCAGAGCUUUUUAAGAUUCAAAAGAAUCUUAGAUCUCUCAUGAGUCUCACAUGUACGGCUUAGCCAUUGCAUACAAGUACAUUGAAAAAACAAUCGAGAGGAAAGUGAGCAGUAAGGUUUGAGAGGUUGGAGACGAAGGGCCUUUGAAACACUCACUUGACUUCAUUUGCACUUACAAGAUCUCUCUCUCUCUUUUAACUGCACCAGCAAAAGGAAUCUGAGCCUUCUCAGUCGCCAAACUAAGCAAGAUCUCUAGGGUCCAAGGCUUUAGAAAUCACAAUUUUAAUUUUUACAUGAACCACAAGACCAUUCUAAUGAAAUUCUUGUUAAAGAAAUAAAAUACACUUUGCAAAUUAUCCAUUUCAGUUGAACCAUCUGACUUGUAGAGUGAAUAUCGGAAGAACGCUUGAGUGGAAAAUGAAAUAGACUAAUUUACGAGGGUUCACUUUGACUAAACUAAAAGCAAUAUAGGCCGUUCACCUAAAAUGAUGUUUUUGCUGCCAAAGAGGCUUUGAAAAUGUGCCCUCCCACAAGAUUAAUACGUCGACUUUCUUAAAUAAUUUUACUUUUCUAUAAUGAGAUAUUCAUGAAAAUCUUUGACUAUUUGAUUCGAGUAUAUGUAAAAUCUGUUGUUGGCAUCUAACUAUUGGAUUUUCACUGAAUUUUAAAAGGAAAAUUCAAUCGAUUAAGUAUAUUGGAUUCUUUGAAGUGGAGAAUGAUGUGAGUAAGAUUUGGUCGUCUAACACAAGCGAUUCCUUUUUCAAUUGCUUUUUCUUAGCCUCACUUUUUAAUUGAUUUAAAGUGAUAUAAUAUUGAUUAGAGCCAUUCUGUAUUAGAUAAAAUCACACCUGCUACUAUAGUGCACCUUUUGAUGGCUGAUUGGUGAGCUUUUUAAUCUCAAUCUCUCUGUCAUUUUCUUUCUAAUUCUAAUAUUCUUCCUCAGGCCAUCCUCAGCUUCAUUUUUCGUUCACUACAUCAAUUUAGUGACUUCUAAGUUCUAAUGUUAAUUACCCUUUUGACGUGGUUCUUGUUUCUUUAAAUAAAUUCUUCCUCAUCUCUAAGAGAUUUAACUAUUGCUACAUAUACUAGCUAAUCCAUUAUUUUAGGGAAGUAACUAAAUUGAAGAGGGAGAGAUUUUAUUUAAAUUCGGGUUCUAUGGGAAACUAUUGUGAUUAUAAUUUUUUUUUUUUAUGAGCAUAUCCAAAUUAAAAUUUUGUCCAUUGUCAAUAGAAUCUGGUCAGAAUAGAAUUCCUACUUUUUUAUUUGUCUCCAAUAAUUCCAAUAGCCUGCUCACCAUAGAGUCAUCGACAAUAGUAUGAAGAUUUUUUUUACUACCUUUUUUUUUUUCCUUUUGUGGAACUUAAGACAUAAUCGACAGUUCCACAAAUUCAUAAUUUACAUCUUGGAAGUUCCUAAUUAACUGAAUUACUAAUUCUGUGAUCGAAUAUCGUAGGUUGUGCUUCCUAGCUUGGAGACAUUAAAUAUCACUGGCUUGGACAACAUUGAGAUGAUAUGGGACAAUCAAGUUGCUGCAAAUUCUUUCCCCAAGCUAAAAUCGCUUUUUGUGGAUAAAUGCAAUAAGGUUGUGACAGUUGUUCCUUCUUCCAUUUUGGGACAGCUCUUGUGCCUAGAAAGUUUAAAGGCAAACACAUGUGGUUCAUUGGAAGUUGUUUUUGAACUUCGGCCACUAAAUUCUAUAGAUGGACCUCAAGUUGCUGUUCCGUUAAAAAAGCUGAUGGUAUCAAGAUUACCAAAGCUAAAGUGUGUAUGGAAAAAAGAACUCACCCAUCAAGUUAACUUCCAAUGCCUACAUUCUAUUAGCGUUUUCGAUUGCAAGAGCCUCACCUCUCUAUUUCCAGCCUCAAUAGCCAAAGAUCUAGUCCAACUUGAGGAGUUAGAGAUCAAUGGAUGUGGCAUUAUGGAACUCAUUGAAAAGGAAGAAGGACUAGUUCCCACGUUUGAUUUCCCAAAGUUAACCUCCCUCAAGCUUAAGCAUCUGACAGAGUUGAAGUGCAUCUACACCGAAACACAUGUUUUACAUUGGCCAACAUUGAAGACCUUGCAAGUCUAUGACUGUAACAAAUUGGAGAUCUUUGCUUUGCAACUUGAGAAUGAGAUGCUACUUCAUAAACAACCCCUCUUGCUGAUAGAAAAGGUAAGACCUGAGAUUAUCUGUGUUUGCUUUGAUGGUGAAUAUUUGAAGUGAUGAUUAGCGUCAACCAAGCAUCUCAUACAAGCAGCUCUUACAUGCGAAGAUGUAAAUUGUACGACUCUCCUUGAAUCCAUAGAAAUAUUACAACAUUGAAACGUCAUAUGUUCUUCAAGUAUUAACUGAAAAUUCUUGUCAAUGUCUAAUGUACCGAAGGAAUACUCGUUGAACCCCUUUCAAAAAAGAUUUAGGCUAAUUUCGAUGGUUCUCUCUCCUAAAUGCCACAAAGAUUGAAAAAACGUGGCAUAUGUCGUGAUAUUAACAUGGUACAAGUGUAUUUGAAUCGUAAGAGAUUAAUGAUAUUAUGCUAAAAAGGGAAAGAUGGGACAUUAUUGUUAACAUUAUUGUUAUUAUUCACAAAAUGUAUAAUAUAGGCAACUCUCUUAAAAACCAACAUGAAGAAUGGAAAGGAGGACCAUGUUUAAAAAAAAAAAAAAUACUAUGCUAAUCUAAUUGACGCAUGCCUUUUGUAUAUCAUCUUUAAACAAGCAAUUAGUCAUUACAUAGACCUCAUAAUUAUAAGAGCACGGAAUUUUGUAAUAUGUUCAUGCGUGCAUGUAGUAUGCAUAGAUAUAUUUGUACGUAUUUUUGGCAACACAAACACAAAUCCACAAUGGCUGCUCGAUAUCUUAUUAAAUUUGUUAUUGAUAGCGAUUUACUAACAUUAAAGAGAAGUUUGUAAGCUAAGGACAAACAAUUGCCUGGAUAAGAAAAACGCACGACUGUUUUGUCCAACGAAAGUUGACGCGGCGGGAGAGUGGGGGGGGGGGGUGGUGGGGGGCGGCGCGGGGGGGAGGGGCGCAAGACUCCCUCAAUAUGUUAAUUUUUCCUCUGGGUCUGGGACAUAUUUGUUAUGAGUCCCACGAAGGUGUGUGUGUGCCUUUGCGUUUUCGCUUUUUCUUAACCGCCUCUUUGGGGCUUUUAAUUUUUGCCAUUGUUCUCAUUGGACACUAGCAAUAGAUAUCAGUUGAACUUUUUUUUGGGCUGAAAUUUGAGGUUGAAAGUGUUGUCAAGUUUGCUUCAUUAUACAGAGAGAGAUAACUAGUGCUCCACUCGCUAAUCCAUUUUUGAAGGAGAAAUUAUUGGUAUGGAAUAAAACUAGCUCAUCAUCAAAUUAAGCUCAGCAUUGCAAGUUUUUUUUAGCUAAGAAAAGACUGAAAAUCAGAAACAACGUUAGUAUGGAGAUUUUUUUUACUCUGUUUUAUUGUUUUAUUCUCUCUUAUUUUUUUCCCUUUUGUGCAACUUAAUAAUUUCUCUCUCCCCUUGGCACUCGUGUAUAUUUACAUCUUGAAAGUUUAUGAUUCAAGAUUUAAUUAAUCACUAAUUUCAUGAGCAAAUUCUAUAGGUUGGCUUUCAGAGACUGGGGACAUUAGAAAUCAGUGGCUUGGAUAAUCUCAAGUUUUUAUUUUUCCCAUCCAUGGUUAAAUCUCUUGCACAACUGAAAAAGCUGACCAUAUCAAAUUGUGAGAAGAUGGAGGCAAUCUUUAUGGAGGAAGAAGGGUUGGGAAUGAAAACAUCAGAAUUUUUGGCAUUCCAGAUGUUAAUCAUUUUACACUUAGAACAAUUGAACAGUUUGACUAAACUAAAAGCAAUAUAGGCCUUUUACCUAAAUCGUUGUUUAUGCACCCAAAGAGGCUGUGGAAACGGGCCCUCCCACAAAAUAAAUACAUCGACUUUCUUAAAUAAUUUUAAUUCCUAUAAUGGGAUAUUCGGGAAAACCUUCGAUUAUUUGACUUGGGUAUAAGUAUGAUCUAUCCUUGAUAUCUAACUAUUGGAUCCUCCAGCAUGGAUAAAAAAAUCAUUGAAUUUUAAAAGGAAAAUUCAAUCGAUUAAGUAUAUUUAGUUCUUUCAAGUGGGGAAUGAAGUAAGUGAGAUUUGUUCGUUUGGCCCAUUCAAUUCCUUUUUUAAUGGCUUUCUCUUAGCCUCACUCUUUAAUUGCUUUAGAGUGAUAUAAUAUUGAUUUGAGGCAUUUGGUAUCGGAAAAAAUUACACGCCUUAAUGUAUUGCACCUUUUGAUGGAUGAUUGGUUGGCUUUUUAAUCUCAAUCUCUCCAUCAUUUUAUUUCUAAUUGCUAAUAUUCUUCCUCGAGCGAUCCACUGCAAUUUUCUUUUACUACAUCAAUUCCCUAACUUCUAACGUUGAUCACCCUUUUGACAUGGUUUUUGUUUCUUUAACUCAAUUCUUCCUUGUCUGUAAGUGAUUUAAAGUACGAUCCAAUAUUAUUUGUUUUGCUUUGAUGGUGAAUAUUUAAAGUGAUGGUUAAACCAAGCAUCUCAUACAAGAUGCUUGUACAAGCGAAGAUAUAAACUGUACACCUCUCCUUGAAUCCAUAGACAUAUUGCAACAUUGAAACAUCAUAUGUUCUUUGAGUAUUGAUUGAACAUUCUUGUCAAUGUUUGAUGUGACAAAUGCAUACUCAUUGAUCCCCUUAAAAAAGAGGCUAAUUCCAAUCAUUUAGCUCUCUUUUAAGUACCACAAAGAUUAAAAAAACACGUGGUAUGUGGUGUGAUCUUACCAUGGCACAAGUGUGUUGUCUAAUUUGAACCCUAUAAAAAGUGUUGAUCUUAUGCUAACAAAGAAAAGAUGGACAUUAUUGUUGACAUUAACGAUUGAAAUUAGUGCAAUUGUGACUAUAAUUGAUGCAGGAGUUAUUUUCACAAGGCAUAUAUCUUUAGAAAUGUGAAUUUAAGGAGUUAAUCAAGUUCAAAUAUGGAUACAAGUCAAAUAUAAAAUAUCAGCGAUAAUGUUUGUUUCAUGAGGGCACAUUUCUUUCCAUUGAAUCACGAGACUCGACAUUUUAAAAUGCAAUUAUUGUGCUCGAUAUGCAGGAUUCAAGAUAUAUUCAACAUCUGCAAACUCUAGAUGUGUCACAUUGUGAUGGGUUAUUAAAUAUGUUCACACCGAUAAUUGCUGAAAAUUUGGUGGCACUUACAAAAUUGAGGAUAAGUAAUUGUAGAAUAUUGACAGAAGUCAUUAAUGAUGAGAAAGGUGGGGAUGUCCGUGUGGUGGCUUUCAAUCAAUUGAAGUAUAUGGAGCUUGAUGGGUUGAUAGGGUUGAGAAGUUUCAGUUCGGGUGGAUACACUUUGAUGUUCCCGCUCUUGGAAGAUAUCAUUGUGACUAGAUGUCCCAACAUGAAGUUUUUCUCUUAAGGACCGAUGGAGGCAUCAAAGUUAAAGAGAGUUCAAGUAUCAAAGGAAGUGUGGUUUUGGGCAAGAAACCUCAACAUCACCAUCCAGAAUAUGUUUGAAGAAAUGGUACGCACUAGUUACCAAAUUCCAUGUAUUUUGAUGGUUUUGAUCACUAGAUGAAUAAUAGCUUUUUGCUAGCUAGAAGUUUAUGCUUAACGAUGCAUUUUUUUCAUAGGGCACGUUUGCUGGAGUAGAGAAAAUGUUGCUAUCUGAGUUCCCUGGGUUGAUUGGAAAAUGGCACAACGAACUUAAUCCCAUCAAGUCGUAUUGGCAACUAAAAUCAGUGGUGGUAGAUAAAUGUCCAUUUAUUAACGCUGUUCCAUCCAGAUUAAUGCUUGUCUUAGACAAUUUGAGCUAUUUGCAAGUGCGUGAUUGUGAGUUGCUUGAAGAAAUAUUUGAUUUGGAAGGGCUGGAGGUUGUGGAAAGCACUCGAGUACUGCCUCAGCUACGGGAAUUGAACUUGGUCAAUCUACCAAAAUUAAGGCGACUGUGGAACAAAGAUCUUCAAGAAUCGCUAUGCUUCAAUUCUCUAAAAAGUCUCAUCCUUUAUAAUUGCAGCAACUUGGGACAUGCUUUAUCUCCAUCAAUGGCUCAAUGCCUUGCCAAUCUUGAAGUAAUGGAAAUAAAGGAGUGUGGUCAAAUGGAAGGAGUGAUCGUAGAGGAAGAAGCAAAGGGAAGCGCAAUGAAGAAGAUUACAUUCCCAAAGCUCCAGUGGAUGAUGAUGGAAUACUUGCCCAAUUUGACUUGUUUCCUCUUGGGAAAAAAUCAUAUACUGGAAUGCCCCAAAUUACAAAAGAUGAUAAUUGCCCAUUGCCCCAAGAUGGAAAGUUUGAUUAGGCAAUCUCAGAUGGAGGAUGACCACAGCACCCCUUCAUUUUUCACUUCCCAGGUCAGUCUUUCAAAUAAAUGCGUCUUUGGUGUUUCAUUGGGACUUGUUCUCGUAGUAUUGGACAAUGCACGAUAUGAUGCAAAUUUUGUGCUUGUGCCAAUUUAUAUACAUAAUCUUCUAAUAUUUAAGAUGAAGAUUAAAAAUAUUCUAAUCCUCAAUAAAUAUUACUAUUAUAUGUACAUCUCCAUAUCCUAUUAGAAGUGUUAAGUUGGUGUAAGUUUAUGAAAUCAUAUCAUAUGCAGUACUUUAGAAUUAAUCAGCGAGGUUCCUAAAAAAGUUAUCACAAUAACCAUAUAAAAACAUUUGCUUUUUGCAAUUUCAAUUAUAAAGAACUAAAACAGAAAACAUAGAAUGGCAUCUAAAAAUGGCAUAAAAAAUAUUAAGUAUCGCCCCUUCAUAUUUAUUUGCGUGGAAGCAAACUAUUGUCAUUCUAUUAAACAUGAAGAAAAGGGAAAAGUAAAACUUCAUAAUUGUAAAAGCCAAUUUCACAAAUUGUUUAACUAUUACAGCUCAUUAUACCAUAAUUAGUGGAGCCAACUUUUGUAUUUCUUAAUAAUCAUCUAUGCUUGAGCAAGGUCUUGAUAAUAAAAAAAAAAAUAAAAAUAAAAAAGGUCAAUAUGCAUGAAGUGGUUUGCCUUCCUUGUUCGUAAAUCAUAUUUGAAUAGCUAUACUCCAACAACCUAUCAAAUUAUGCACCUGUAUUAUACAAUAAAUUUUAACUUUGGUUUAUCAUAUUGAGUGAUAAUUAGUGUGAUAUUAUGCACAAUCUAUAUUUAGUAGGAGAAAAUGCAGAUUACUUUUUCCGGAAAAAGAAAUGGCUUAAAAAAGGAAAAAAUAAAAGAGAAAAAAGGACAUCUGGAUAAAUAGUAGCAAUUCCAAGGGCGGUUGCUGACAUUGCAAGUCUUAUUUCAUAACUAGAUGACAAUAUUUAGUCAAUGUCCUAGUUAAAAUGAAAAUAUUAUAAAUCAGAAUAAAUUAUCCGACCAACAACACCACCCAAGGGAAAAUAUUAGGGGCAUUAAAUACACUGCAUAGGAUUCGUAUUGAAUCAUCCGCAGACUGACACGUGGCAACGCCGGACCCACUUGUCAGUUGAGCGAUUAAAAUUUUUGCUCCCCCUUUCUCUUCAAUAACAGCCCAUCAUAGGGGAAGCUCUGCUCUCCGCAACAACUUGGGCGAAAUGAGGUUCUACCGGGAAACCAUGGAUUUUUUAGUUUUCGCCAUUGGUUACUGGUCUGCUCUCCUCCUCCUGGUAUGGCUCUGCUCCCUCUCUCUUUCCUCCGCGAAGGUGCAUCUCUAUGCGUGAACCACACCACAGCCUUGGCCUCCAUUAGUUGCUGUGCGCUCACUGGACAGAGGAAAAAAAAAAACCAGAAAAAGGAAAAAAUUAGACAAAGUCUAUUUGGUGUUUUAGACUUCUCCCCCCUUAAGAAUUGUUCUGUCUCAGCCAUUUCGGUUCACCUUGAUCCUCUUUUUCGCAACAAGGAAAAAAAAAGUGAACCAAAUCUUAGAGUCAAGUAACAGUAACUCUUCUUUCUUCCCCUCGCUCCCCUUCCUCUACUUUCUUUUUUUGGGAAGAUUAAUUGGGUGGUCCGUCCAAUGGUUGAAUCGGAAGCUUCGGAAUCGCUUCUCUAAAGCUCGCCUCCUCUCUGCGCGCGUGCAUGCGUGGGUUCCGAGCGAUUACGCGAACCGAAGCUUGUUGGUUAUGGUGGUGGAUCGAGGUGGAUCUCCGAUGCGGAAGCGAUUGCGGCGUCAAUUUUGUCGGGGCGUUGAUUCCCGGCAAAGAAAAAUUAAAAAAAAUCUUCUCUUCAGCCCUCUCUUCCUCCUCCUUCGUCCACAGCUGUCCGACCUUCGCUCCUCCUCCGCCGUCGCCAACGGCGGAGUCACCAGCACCUUGAUUAGGCUGACCCUUGCUGUGUCCAAGCCGAGCAUGGCCGUCUUCCUCUGUUUUGUCCGCCUCAUCGUUCUAUAGAUCUCGAAAUCUGGCCGUCCAUAGCGACGGAGUUGCAGAUCUGGAAAUCAACCACCGUCGCUUGUAGCCAUGGACGAGCCGCUGUCGCUGUAGCCAUGGUUGCAGAUCUGGAAGUCCCGUCGCGAGUAACGACGGCUUAUGGACUGCCAUUGUCCCCUCCGUCGACGCCCACGGUCGGCUCGUGGUCGGCCCCGUCCAUGGCCGAGCCACCCCUCCAUCGUCACAACUGCUCGUGGUCGUUGCCCGUUCUGAUCUGGACUGGAGUCGUGCCUCCAGAUCUGGUUUCAUCCAUGGACGCAAGCCUAGCUCGUCCAUGGCUCGCGAGGAGGCUCCCCCACAAAUCUGGCGACCACUGCUUGUCCAUGGCCAUGAGCCUUGACGGCGAGUUUGAGAUCUCGACGGCUAUGGACUGCGAGAUCAAACAGCGAAAGAAAAAAUAGAGAAACAGAUGUCAGGGAAGAAUGGCCAUGGAUGAGAGGGCCGGAGCUUGAACGCGGCCAUGGACGAGCGGCGUCAUGAACGGGCAGACCACAAAGACGACGGAGAGGGUUGGAUGCCAAGCAAUGGUCGCCUUGGACGCGGCGCCGGGAACUCCGCCGGUGGCGACGGCAGAGGGAGGCGGGAAGGUUGGGCUUAAUGUGGAUGGAGAUGGAGAUGGAGAAGGAAAGUGAGGUGGAUUGAGAUUUUUAAUGUUUAGUCAAUGUCCUGGCUACAUAAAAAAUUAAAAAUAAUAGGAAUUGAUCAUCCAGUCAACACUUUCAUUCCGUCUCAUGAAGUUCUUCUCCUCAUGUGAAGACUAAACGCAAUAAAUGACAACCUCCUCCGGCACUUCUCUUUUUUGGGUCGAAUCCUCAGGCACUUGAAAAUGCGCGAUGUCGACCCAAAUUUGAUUGUUUUGACCUUUUUUUUUUUAUUACAGAUUCCAUGCAAGUUUUGUUUUGUUUUUUUUUUCCCUGAUGGAGGAAUUUUUUUUAUUCUCAUAAUUCUGCGCAAUUCUUUCAAUUGUUUUAUGUGAGUAGAAUGUUUAAUUAUAACAAGUAUCUACACAUUUGUUUACUUUUUAAUUGUAAGAAUUAUCACUAAUUAUUUAUUUAUACUGUCAUUUGCAUGUAUAAGUUAUAUAAUACCCAGCCCCGCAUUCUAAGAAUAUUUCAAAAAGUCAUUAUAACACUCAAUCAACAAUACUAAUAAAUUUGGGAAAGUAUGAAAAUAGUCAUCUAAUCUUUUGGUAGUGAUAAGUUGUAAUAGCGCUAAUUUCAUUUUUAUAUCAAAUAUGAGCUGUCAUAUACUAAUUGAUAGAUUUAAGGAAGUGUGGAAAGUCAAUUCUUUUUUUUUUGGUGACAGAUCGUAAUUGCAUUAAUUAUAUUGUAACCAAAUGAAAAAUAUCAAUACUUACUUUUCAAUGAAUAAUUCAUUGGAGGUCAUGAUGUAGUAAAAAAAAAAUCUUGAUUUUCUCCAUACAAACAAAAUACGAUCAGCGGAUGCACACCCACUUUUUGCCAAGGGGUGGAUCACUCGGUACACUGCAAGAUUCUAUUUUAUUUUUCCACCUUAAAUUUUAAUAAAUAUUAUUUCAAGGAUGUUAUUAAUGGUCCAAUGUAAAACUAGUAAAUUGACCCAACUUGUUUUUGCUGAGAUCAUAACAUUAUGUUAUUUAUUCAAGUCGUUAUGUUACCCAUGCCUAUUAAGAAAUUAUUUUCUUUCAAUACAAAAAAUUUCCAUGCAUAAAAAAGAAAAAGGUUGUGAACAAUUGAAGUUACUAUAAUUUUUUUUUUUAUAUCCGGUUUGCCAUAUAAAUUUCAUGACUCUUCUCUGCAGUGAAUUUUAUUAAUUUGAGGAUUCAUAAGUACUGUUCGCAAUUUAGUAUGAAUAAUUAGCAGUGCUCAUGGUAAAUAAAGGAAAUAAUGUUGAGCCAAGCAUUAGUUUCAUCCAUUCCUUAUUCAAUACAUACACUACUUAAGUUCUUCACACCCACUAUUCAUAUCCUUAGUUGACUAGCUCAUCAACACCAUGCCCUUGCUUUUUCUCUAAUUGUUAUGCAUGUUCACCUUGAAGCAAACAAAUCUAAAACAUAACCGAUCUUUGCCGACUAACAUAACGGAAAUUUUCAGCUUGUAUCACUGAAUCUAAAUGUUGCUCUUUUCAAUAGUUCUAUCGGACUGCCUAGCAAGCUCCCUAAACUUUUUGCCAAUCUUCGUGCUUAUUCAUUACAAAAAUACAACUUGUCAUGCCUCCAUGGAACCAACAUUGUUUUGCGGGAUUCAUAUUCUGUUCUUCUUCGUCUUUGUCCUCAUUUAAUUGCAUAGAGAAACAAUUGAGUGAGCUAUCAUUGAUGUUUAGUCAACGGCUCCAUUCAUGCAUUAGCAUAAAUAGGAGGGCUCUCAUUUCUCUCUCUUUCAAUUUUGCAUUGUAGGUUUUCUUAUGCUUUAGAUGCUCUUGCAUCCAACUGGAAAAUAGCGUCUCUCUCUCUGUGAUUGUGACAUAAGAGCUACUAUAAAAAAAAAAAUGAGGACUUAGGAGGAGGGGGAUUAGGAUGAAGUUGAAAGGUACAGAACCAGUCUUAGCAACCAUUUGAAUGAACCCAAGUUCCAUGUCCAUAAGGCCUAUCAACCUAAUUCCCAGACUUUUAAGUUAUCGCUAUGAUUUGCCGAGUAAUUAAGAAAAGUCAACAUUGUCUGGUCACUCCAAAAUCUUAUAAAUGCAUUUAUAAUUUCAUGUUUGUUGCAAUGCAUUAUCUCUAGCCUUAGUCUUCAAUCAACUUGUAUAAAGGCAUCAAUCAACCCCUCUCUAUUUAUGUCACUAAUGAGAUCUUGACUUCUCAUGAUUUGUGAGAAUGAGGGAAGUCUGGAAAUUUCUUCUUUAAGGUCAUAACUCAAUGCAAUCACAUUCAUUGUGUCAUUUUUUUUCUCAAUAUGGCAGGUACAAUUUCCUCAACUUAUACGGAUGGAUCUUUCCCACAUGGGCAAUUUAAGCAAAAUAUGGACUGACGGUCCUCUAGAAACUCUGACUUUUGAUUGCUUACGGGAAGUGAAGGUUCUUAAUUGUAAGAGCCUUGCAAAUUUGUUUCCAUAUUGGGUGGCUACAAGUUUAACCCAACUUGGAAAACUUCAAGUGGAGUCUUGUGAGAUUGAGGAAAUAGUCGCUAGUGGGGAUGACACUCCAUGCUCCAAUACUACUCAAGAUCUUUUCCCAGAACUAACCUCUCUGGUGUUACAUGACAUGCCACGACUCAAGAGCUUUUGUCCUAACUUGCCUUUGAAUUUGCCAUUAUUGAAGCAAUUACGAGUGACUCAUUGUGAAAAACUAAGCAUGUUAUCCUUUGUGGCAUCCAUGAACAGAUGGGUUCAAAGAGAUGAUCAACAAGACCUUUCAGAUCAAGAAGCACACUCUUCAUUUGAGAGGGUAUGAUUAUAGUUGCUCUCCCUUAGUUUCCACUUUGUUCUUUAAAGCAGUCACUAAUAUCAUAUCCAUUGCAUAUCAUGUCGCGUUAUGAUGUUAUAGAAAACAUGAUCUCCCCUACCUAUUAGUUUGUCGACAACAUUAAGAUAUUUCUAAUAUCUUACGUACACUUCCAUUUGUGGACAUGCAUAAGAUAUUCCAUUACCGAGAGUUACAAAAAAAAAUUAUAGUAUUCUAUUGAUAACAGAAUAUAUUCCUAAUCUAACCUAAUGGUGCUCUUGGGCGACAUCAAUAAGGAUUUGCCAAGAGGUCCUCUCCAUUAUUGACACGUGUUGCACACUUGAACUUUUCUUCUCUAUUUCAUUUUCUACAAACUCUAAAAAAAUCAAUUCAAACAAUUUUUUUUAUAACAAAAAUAACAUUAGUACCUUAGUGCACUAUUUUCUACUGUAUUUUUUAAUACACUAGUCGUCGUGUUAUCCUGUUAUAAUACUAUAGAAAACUAGAAUCCCUUUCCUAUAAGUUUGCAGACAACAUAAGAUAUUUCUUAUAUCUUAAGCAUACUUCUGAAUUUAUGGACCCCAUAUGUUUUAGUGACAUCUUGAGUGCAUCCCGUUACAUAAGAUUCCAAAGAAGAUAAAUUUUUGUCAACAAGAUAAGAUAUUCCUUACAAAAGAUGAAUUUAGUGAGUGCAGGGAUCUUGAAUUUAGAUUCACUCUAUCCACUUGACCAGACCAACCUCUACAUGAGACUUUUAAAAGCUUGAGUCUUGAACACAAGGUUCUUGAGAUAUAAUGAACUUUAAGAAGAGGACCACCUUCCAUGCGAAUCAUCUUAAUAGGUUUACCUUUUACAGCACGUGAUUUAUUAUCGAAACUUUGUUGAAUUUACUUCUCUUGUUGUAUUGGCAAUUCGACAGGACUUUCCCAACUUGGAGAGACUUUUAUUAGUCAAUAACAAUAUUCAAAUGAUACAAGAUGGAAAUUUUUCGGAUGACAUGUUUAGCAAGCUAAAAGCACUAACACUAGCAUACUUUCAUGAUAAAAAGGCUGCCUUUCCUUCCAUAUUCCUCCUAGAGAGAUUUCAGAAUUUACAAAGCCUUGAAGUCUUCUGUAGCUCAUUUGAAGAUUUAUUCUCGAACGAAGGGCUUGUUGAAGAAAGAAAACAUCCGGUGCUUGAAAAUUUAAGAGAACUUAAGUUGAACAAGCUACACAACUUAAAGUGUGUGUGGAGAGAAGACUCUUUAGUGUCGAAAAUUCUUCAGAGCAUCGAAACAUUUGAGGUUUGGGAUUGUCCCUGUUUGACAACAAUAUUUCCAACCGAGACAUCCUUCCAGAAUCUAACAGAUUUAGUGGUGAAGAAUUCCUCUGGAUUGGUACAUCUAGUAACGACUUCAGCAGUCACAAAUUUGGUACAUCUCACUUAUAUGACUAUAAUAGGAUGUGAAAGAAUGAAAGAAGUAGUGGCCGACGAUGGAAACAGAGAAGAAAAAGUGAUUUCUUUUGAAAAGCUAAUAUGGUUGACACUUGAACAUCUGCUAAACUUAGAAUGCUUCUCUUCUAUCCCAAGUUGCAUCUUUAGGUUCCCAUCCUUAUGGAAUAUUAAAGUGGAAGAGUGUCCAAAAAUGAAGACCUUUUCUAAGGGUAUACUAAACACACCAGAACUAGAACAUGCGUCAUUGUUCAGAUACAAGUGGGAAGGGAAUUGGGAGAAGGGUGAUGAUCUCAAUACAACCAUACAGAAGUUAGCAGCAUAAAUCAAUGCACAUAGAAUUGGAAAAUUCAAUUGAUGUCAUUCUCUCAUCCAUUUUUUUUUUCUUUAGUCUUUCGGCAGCGCCGCAACUUUUUAAAAUUUUUCUUUUUGUGACUUUUCUAUUAUUGAUUUCGUCAAAUCAACAUGACCGUCAACCCUAUCGAUGGAUCUCGGCUCAUCCUUAACUGAACAGAAGGAAGCAAAGCGGGUCUCUCCUUCUCCUUCUCCUUCUUGACGCCAAAGGCUCUUUCUCCAUCUUUCUUCUUCUUCUUCCUCCUCUGUGGAGCGAAAUUGGGGGAAGCCUCUGCUGCCUUCACAAAGGACGGAGCAAAAAUGAAGCAUCAGGAAUUGCCAGGACUGCCAGAAGCGAAGCUGCAAUUAGCCGAGCGGAGCCAAGUAGAUUCAACCAGACGCUGUCGUUGUCGCCGUCGUCACCGCCGGAGGUGGCACAACCGAGUGUGGACAGUUAGUCGUCCACUCACUUCAUCAAAGAAGAAGAAGAUCACACUCUCUCUCCGCAUCUGUAUCCGACAAAUCGUAAGUUCAUGUUUCUUCCGAUUUUGGUGUCUUAUUGCGCGUGAAUUAGGGCUCUAUUCUUCAAAUUCAUUCCACAUUCGAGUCUAAAAACAGGAGUUACUCAAACAAGCAAUAUAUUGCCCUUAAAUCUACAUCUUCUGUACUUCCCUCCCGAGCAUUGGCGAGAUUUCUGCGUGUUUGAGCUCUCAUAGAUGGAGAUGAUAUAUUGUGUUCAAGGUCUCAUGUUGAAAUUUCUUUAGGUAGAGAUAUCUCUGUAACAUCAGGUACAAAUUUCUACCAGGAAAAAGGGAGAAAUCAUGGAACUUGAAAAUAUUCCGAGAAUUGCAUGCCUUGUCAAAAAUCUGAAAAGUCACUUUUACGCCUUGAUCGUAAUAUAGUCUGGACCGUCUGAGGAAUCACUUGUAAUCUUGAUUGGUUAAGUGAUGCUGGAAGGAUAAAAUUUAUUUCCAAUUUAUGCUAAAAUCUUUUUCAUAGCAAGUCAAACUAAUGAAGUGUACUUAAACUAUCUCUAAAGUUGUCGUUUUUUAAGUACAGGCAGGUCCAAACAUUCGAGCAGAUUGAGGCAUCCUGAGCUGGUUUUUUAUGGUCCCAUGCGCCCAAGGCCUCUCACUGCUUUUACAUCGGCCAACAAAUUUCAAAUGGAGCAUCCCUUUUCCAAAGGUGGUGAUGAGGCCUUCUUAUGUUAAGUUUGGCUUGGUAUGAUCCCAUGCUUGUUGAGUCGAGCUCAUGUCUGAAAAUCAAACAUAUCUUAGCUUAUACUCUGGUUUAUAUGCAAGUUGACUUAAUGUAAUAAACCACAUGACAUGUUAUUUUCCUUGAAUUGUUCAUGGGUGUAUGUUUCAAACCAGGUAUAUAUCUUAACAACAAAGUAGUUGAAGUAGGGAAAAGAAUGAAAGGACGGUUAUCGGGACAUAAGCUGGUGGUCAAGGUUUGAAAAGAUAACAAUUAUCUCCUUUUUUGUGGAUAGAUGUUUUGGAAAGCAAUUGCUGGAGCAAGUGUUAAGAAUUAGAAUCCAAGUACUCUUAUAUGGAGAAAUUUGACAAUGUUAUUCAAUGCUGUAAAAGUAGUAAUUAUAUAAAUCAUACAAGGGGACCAGUUGAUACAGACAAUCAAAUUGCAAAGAAUGUUGCUCCCUCCGUGGCUCAAGGGAAAGACCUAAAAGAUAAAAGGGUGGCUAGUUAUGAUUCUGAAGUUUGAUCGUAGAUCUUGAUGACUCUUAUUAUUAAUGUCAAACAGGAGAUACUGUUUUAUUCUGUUAUAUUAAUAAGAUAUUUGAGGAAAAAAAUAGAUGAGUUUACUUUGUCGAAUUGAAUCUGUAGUUUGAUAAAAUUCGAGCUGCAGUUGAAAGAAUUGAACAGCUUAGAUUGAAAUUUUCACUUCCAUCCAUGUUCCAGUCAUCGAUGUCUUUGCCUUUUCCCCUGCACUUGUGGUUUGUGUGGCUGAAAUUCACGGUCUCAAAUAUACAUAGGACAUGGAAGGCCUUUUCUAGUUAUGUACGCGAUCGCACUCCAGGGGCAUAUAUCUUGACAUUUGACCUUGGGUUGCAAGUUGAGAUUGUUUACUCGUAUUAUAUGGUUUAUUUUCAAUUAAAACUCCUGAAACUAGCAACUACUGCCUUAAAUUCGUAUUGUGUGAUUAGAUUCUCUCAUUAGUGUAUGCUUAUGUUUUGGUCUUUCUUCACCAUAAAUUGGUUUUUGACCAUGUAAAUGGGGACUCUGCUCCUGUUCAAUUCAUCAGGCAACAUAAUCUGGAAAAAAUGUAAAUUGCAACUCUCAGCUAUUCAGACAAGUCAUGGACGUUGAAACUCAGGAGCCAUGGACGUGGACACAGGGGGGCCUUUUUUUCUGCUGGUUGGCCCACAUUUGCUAGAGAAGCUCAUCUGCAUGUAGGAGAUGUUUGUAUUUUUGAGCUAAUUGAUAGUGAGGAUGUGUGUUCAGAGUCUACAUUUCCACUAGAGCUGGUAAGGACUUGGUUUACAUUGAUUGAAAUGAACUAUGGAAGUGUCAUUUUCGCUCAUCCAAAAUAAAUCCUGUAUUCAUCGUCAUUUCUUCUUUGGUGGUCUUGGUGAAUCAAUGAAGUAUACUUCUUCCAUUCCCGUUGUGUUUGUGAGGUUCGCAAUAAUCCAGAUGCUCACUUAUUAAUCUGCAUCCCAAAUCUAAAUGAACCAAAAAGGAUGUGAUUCAAGAUUAGAGCAAAAGUUAAAGCCUGAAACGCUCGUCAUGAGAAUUUAGAGAGGCGUGACUUGUUGGUUUCUAAGUUAUGUUUAUGUGAACAACGACACAUUCUUUUUCUUAUUCUCUCUCAAAAUUUGUGAAAUUCUCCUAAUAAGCUUUUUGUAUAUUGAUUUUGUGGCAUUAUGAUUUAGGAGGUGCUAAGGGUAGUAAUCAAUUAUGUCUAAAAUGCAGAACAUGUAGACAUUAGUACCAUGAUCACAAGUACUGAUGUUUAGAUCAUUGUAACUCAAUACAAUGUCGACAGUGGUACCUGCGAGAAUUUUCUUUUUUCUUUUGUGCCUAUCGAUCUGAACAGUCUAAAUGUCAUGUAGCCCUCCUGAGCAGGUUUUGUAUGGUUCCACGUGUCCAUGGCUGGCCACUGCUCUUGAAAAAACUAGAGAAUUUGAAUUUGAGCAUCCACUUUUGAAAUUGGUGAUUUGGCCACUUUUAUUAAAAAGAGAAUUGCAGUAAGGGCCUAUUUCCUUUCAUAAUUGGCAUAUCCCAACCGUGAUGCCAUCUACAUCUCGCCCUGUAGUCUACUAUUUUCCCAAGUGGUUUUGCUUUUUAUUGGAGAUGUUGUUUUCUUUGAAAUGUGUAUGGCUUUAUGUGUAAAACUAGGGCAGUUUUGAUUUUGAAUUUUUUUUUUUUUUUUUAAUUAUGGAUUCAGAAGAUUACAGAUUCUUAAAUAAUAGAUUGUACUUUCCUCACUACUCAGGUGUAAAGAAGAUUGCUUUUGUUCAUUGACUAAGAGGAUGUGGUGAGACAAUCAGUGUUAGCACACCUGAAGCGUUAUCAUGAGAGUUCAAAAAUAGUGUACACUAUUGUAGAGUCUAUGAGCACUGUAUCGUGACAUUUUAACAUCAAAUUGCAAGUUGGGAUUGAAGACUUCUAUUUGUCAGUUAACACUGUUAAUUGAAUUUACUGAAACUAGUAAAUACUAGCAUAUAUUAACAUUUUGUUUGCCUUGUCUUUUUAUUGUUUGUUUGUAUUUAAUCUUUUCCUCAUCAUGCUACAUUGGCGGAGUGUUCCUUGUGAAUUCAUCAAGAAGUACAUUCAGAAGAACCAUUAGAUUGCUACUCUUAGGUAUUUGAACAAAUCAUGACCAGUGCAACUCAAGACCUAUCAACACCAUUUUUUAGCAAACAUCUCUGUGGUUGGCCCAUGUUUGUGAGACAAGCUUAUCUGGAUGAAGGGGAUGUCUUCGUGUUUGAGCUCAUUGAUAUGGAUGAUUUUAUGGUCAAAGGCUCCAUCUCCAAUUAUGCUUGUAAGGACCUCAUUUAGGUCGAUUGAGAUGAACAUUGGACGCAUCACUUGAGGCUGUAUAUUAGUGAAGCAAUUCCUGCCUCACUUAUUCAGUUGCGACAAAUCAAUUGAAAGUGCGCUUACUUUUGGCUUUGCUUCUCUCUCUUGACCUACUUAUAGUCUUAUCAGAAUUCUCUUUUUUCUUUUGUCCAGGUCAGAACAGACAAGUCUGAAUGUCCAGUGAGCCCCUCCUAAGCAAUUUUUUCAUGAUUCCAAGUGUUCGAGGCCUCUCACUGCCCUUGAGAAAGCUAGAGAAUUCAAAUUGGAGUAUCCCUUUUCCAGACAGUGAUGUGGCCAUCUUUUCUUAAGAAAGAAGUGGUGGUAAGGCCCAGAUCUCCAUUCAUAACUGACGUCUCAAUUAUGCAUGCCACCUAUUCUAUAUAUGCGCCCCACUGUGCAAAUUUUUCCCACGUUAAUUUGGUUUUUAUAGAAACACAGGACAUGUUAUCUUCUGUGAAGUGAUCAUGGUUAUAUGUUUUAAACAGGAAUCUUAACAACUGAGUAAAGGGACUAGGAAAAACAAUAAGUUGGGACAGUAAUCAGGAAAUAACCUAAUGACAGGGGGUGCGGAGACAGGAUCAGAGGGUUGGGAAAGGCAAUAACAACCAUAAGUUAGCAAUUUAAUAGUUUCUAAUUGAAGUAUAAGUUCCUCCCAAAGAUGACUACUUGGUACUUUCUCAGGCUGCCUAGGCUUGGGAAGAAGAGGUGACACGAAAUGUCCAGCUUAAGCCAUAGCUACUGCAACAGGCCUAGGCUUGGCAUGACUGAGCUCACUGCAACAGCAUGGCAACACUAGUCAGAUAUUGCUCACUGGCAACAAAUGGUUUACAAGAGCUACCAUUGCAAGCAGGUUCAAACUUGCAAUCGAAAAUGAAGGGAAGCCAAUGUGGCCUAGACCUCAAAAAUUAGUGCCACCAACUCGAUGGUAUGAAACGAAGAAAAGAAGCUCACUUCUUUUUGGCCAGGCAAAAGAAGAUCACUUACUUUCUGUGCUUGUGUGUCCAUUUAGGUCCCUAUGUGUAGCUUUUCAUGUUUAUUCGAUGCAUAUUGCAAUGUAAGAUUGGUGACUCAGAUAUUCACCAGAUUCAACUUGUCUCUAUAUUGAUUACACGUACUUAGUGUAGAAUCUAAGAGCACAGGAUUGUGAUAUUUUGAUUUCAGAUUGCAAGUUGUGAUUAAAGGCGAUCUCAUCAUGUCUUUUAGACUGCUAAUAUGGACUUUGGAAACUAACAACUACUAGCAUAAAUGUACGUUUUGUUUGCCUUUUCGCUUUAGUGUAUGCUUACAUUCCUAUGUGUUAUCAUAUAUUGGCUGGUCAAAUGUCUUCAUGGGUAGAGUGUUCUUAUGAAUUCAUAAAUACAUGCAUUCAAGAAAACCAGCGAAUUGUGACUCCUGGGUGCUCGGACACAUUGUGGCG